GGGCGGGGCGGGUAUGGGGAAUUCCCAUACCCGCCCCGACCCGACCCGCCCCGUUUAAUUUUUUAAACGGGACGGGGAUGGGAAUUGUUUUUAAUAAACGGGGCGGGGUUGGGAUGGGGGCGACCCGUCCCGAACCCGCCCCAUUGUCAUUCCUAAAAAUAACAAUCAAACAUUAAUAAUAAGUUCGGAGAGGUCAUGAAAAUAACCAUCAAAGUUGACAAGAAAUGAGAAACAAGGAAUAACAAUCAAAGUUAACAUGUAAGAAUACUUAAGCUUCGUGUGGGAUAGUGGCCUAUUUUUUAUUUUAACUAGGAGUCAAGUCAAUGCCAUAAUUUUUUAAGGGUGAUUUAGUAUUGUGAAAGUUUUAUUAUACAUGAAAGAAGUUCUUAAGUAAGCCAUAAAACUUUUACAAUAAGUAACAUUUUCCUAAAUUUCCAUAUUAAACUCUAUUUUAAAUCAUAAACUUUUUCAACGAAAUUAGUCAAAUAGGCAUAGAAGCUCUUAUUGAGCUUAUAAAAAAACUUUUGGCUUCUCAAAAGUCAAACCAAACAGGGCCUUAGAAGUGUUCAUUAAAGGAUGAAAAACUUUUUUAUUAGCUCAAUGAUUCUCCUAAUUAUAUUUUGACGAUCACAAAACAAGGUUAAAUACACUAACAACUUUAAGUCAAAUGAAAUUUUCAGUUUCAAUGAUUUAUUCCAAAGAAAGCUCAAGUAUCCUUGUGAGAAAUCAAACGACAAGAAGAAGUGGACAACUUGAAGACUUAAAGUGUCUAGGAUAUAUUAUAAGAUGGUUUCUAUUGAUGCAUUUAGGUCUAGAUUUUUUCUAUGCACUCUAAGAUAUAUUUUUCAUCCUUACCUGAACUUAAAAAUUAUAUUUUACCUUUGAAUUGGAUGAAUAUGCAUUUUAUCUCAAAACCUUGGUCUAAUUCUUACAAAAUUGAUUUAAAAAGGGUUUUAAAUGUAUUAUACUAGUUAUUGGAAUCUUGGAACAAAACCCUAGGAGUCUUUCUACAUUUUUAGGUGCAACUAAUUACGAGCACCUUGAACUGGUCAAAUUGGUUGGGGAAUCAGCUCAAUCAGUUCGGGAAUUGGCUUAACUAGUUAAGCUCACACGUUCGAGGAAUAGUUGAGGCUCCAAAUCAUUUUCUCUCUCUUCCGGUAGGCGGCGUAUAGUUAGUUGAGGUUUUGGCUUGCUCGAUUGAGAUUUGGUUGAGGACUAGUCAAAAGUUUGUUGAACCUAAAAAAGUAUCAAUGGUUAUUUGUUAUGCAUUAAAUACACCAACAACUAGUCAAUCAUUUGAAUCAAAGUUCGACUAGUCGAGACCACUUUUUGUGGUUUUAGGUGUCUGAGAUUGUUUUCUAUAAAUUGAAGUGUUUUAUUACAUCUAUUAAUAAGAAAACACUUCCAUUGAAUUAAAAUACACUUACUUUCUCUCAUUCAAAUCAUCAUUUAAGUGCAUUGAAUCCAAACUUGCAAAACUCCUUUAGUACACCUUUGAAAUCUAUCCUAGUUUUCUUUUAUAUUGAUAGGUAUUUUUCUACUAAAAUUAAGAGUCUUAAAGCUUUAUCUACUUGUUCUUUUUUUAGUAAAAAAGAUUUCAAGUUGGUGGAAAGCUUAAAGAUAUUAUAGUGCCCUUUGGAACUGGUAAAUCCAAUUAUAAAAGCUUGAAGGCUUGUAUUAGAAGUCUUAGAUAGUAGAACCCUCACUCGAUUAAGAAUUUGAGUGAAUGUAAGCGAAUUGUCAAACUAUUAUAAAAAGAGUUUAAAUAUCUCUUCUCUCUACCUUUUGCUCAUUUUUCACUAUUAAUUACUCGUAUCAUGCUUUUAAUUAAUCUUUGCAAAAAGAUCCUAGUCAUCCAAUUCACCCUCCUCUUAGGUGAUUCUCCUAAUUAAAUUAGCUUUGUCUCACAUUUUUAAUAUGCUUGCCAUGUAAUUCCAUAGUGUGAAAAAGCUAUGAUUUAUCCCAUUUCAUAUUUGAUGCAAAAUAGAAUAUAGUAAAAGAUGAGAUAUAUAUUUACCCUCUUUCUCAUAUUUCAUAUAUGAUAAAAACCCUUAUAAAAUGUGGGACCAAGAGAUAACAAGAAUACUAAUUUAUCACUAAAUGAAUAAUUUAUUAAUUUAUCAAUAAAUAGAUAUUUAUUAUUUAGAAUGAACAUUUAUGUUUCUACUACAACACUUAUACAUGUAUGACUUAUAUUGUGCAACUUUGAUAAAUAAAUGUUCAAUAAAUUAAUAAUCUAACUUAAAUAAUAAAAUAUUAUGGUCCCAACUUGACCAGUCUACUAAGUUAAUAACUUUGCUAAAUGCAUAAGAUAACAAUUAUUUUGGAACUGUUUAUCCAAAAAAAAUAUAAAUUAAUAAUUGAUGAAAUACAUAAACUAAAAAUAGCAAACAAAAAUUCAUAAUGUAGUAUUAAGUAACUUUUUAGAAUGUCUAUUUUCUAAAUUCUUCUUUUUCUCAAAAAUAUGCAUCAAAAUUUGUUUGGCAUCAUCCUUAAUUUUUUGCAAUGCAUAUAAUAUCUCUGGCAUAUAUUUUUUUUUUUUGUGUAUAGUACCAGUAGAAAUGUAAUACUCUCUUUAAAUUAAUAAAUAUCUAUUUAUUGAUAAAUCAAUAACUCAACUAAGAUAAUAAUUUUUCUUAGUCCCACGAAUAUCAUAUAGGGAUUUUAUUGUAAAUCCAAAAAUGUGAUUGAAAUUUAAUACUUACAAGCCUAAGAGACUUUAUUAACACAUAAAAGGUAGCGUAUGCAUUGCAAAAAACAAAGAAUGAUGUUGAGUUUCAUAUUAGCUAGGUACAAAGAAAAAGCAAACAACUUUUAAAUCCAUGUUUUAAGAACAAUUAUUAGAAAAUAAAAGUUAUAAAAAGUUACUAUUAUGAAUUUUUGUUUGCUAUUUUUUUUUUUUUUUUUUUUUAUGUUCUUUAUCAAUUAUAAAUUUAUAUUUCCUUGAACCCUUGAAUAUAUCUAAAGGAAUUAUUAUCUUAUACAUUUCACAAGAAUAUUAUUAAUUUAGUAGAUUGGCCCUAAUUGAGACUAGAAAUUUUAUUAUUUAAAUGAGGUUAUUAAUUUAUUGAAUAUUUAUUUAUCAAGGUUUUAUUGUAUAUAUAUAAUUUAAUAAUCUAUAAAGAGAGAUGAGAUAUACACAUCUCUAGGACCACAAAUUCUUUUCUCUCAUCUAUUAUUUUUUAUAUUUUUCUCAUGUUAGUCACUUUGCUAAGAGAAAAAAAAAUUAUUAAAAAUUAAAUCUUUGUUUAAAAAAUAUAAUAGUGUUGUUUGUUUAUACAACUUUGAAUGUUUUAAUUAUUAAUAUUAUCAAUAAAAAAAAUAAAAAUUACCUAUUAAAGAACAAAUUAUAAAGAGAUACUUGAAGAAUACUAAAUAUGAAAAGGAUUUCAUAAUUUUUUUAAAUACCAAACAUUCAAGAUCAAUAUAUUUUCAAUUUUCUAUUCUUUCACAAACCAAACAUUAUACAUGGAAAAUAAUAUCAAAAAUUAAUAUCAUAUCCCAUGUGUAUGUAUAUAUAUAUUAGGAACAACGAGGAUCGUCAAAGCAAAAUUCGGCAAACAACUGCCUGAUUCUGCAAUAAUGGAUGAGGUAUAUGCGCACUACCUUCAUGGGAUUUGAUAGUUUUACAUGCAUGAGAUUAAUUGGCAUGCAACAAAAAUAUCAUAAAAUAUAAGUUAAUCAACUUAGUUUGGUAUGAUCAUAGAAGAAUCUGACAUCGCAUGUUAAAAGGCAACCUAAAAUAUUGUGAUCCAAUAUCUAUAUAUAAGAGCCAGCUCCUUUAACUAAGUUACAAUUAUUCCUUGUGAAUGAAAUGACAAAUAUUCUAAGUAACUCUCUAAAGCUAAAUGCCUGUGCAAUGCUUAAUCAAGUUUUAGAUAUUGCAUCUAACAGUUAUUUUAACAUACUAAAAUGAAGAAUAUUUUAUUUUCCUUUUCCUCAUUUCUAAGUCAGGGAAUUGUCCAUUAGAAGGAAUUUAAUCGAGGGCGGAACAUGAUGCUGUUAACAACAUGCAGCUAGAAUCAAAACCCAACUUCUCCACCUUGUAUCUAUAUCUACUGAUUCAUUUUCUGCUCUUUCAGCUUGUGAAGUGAGAAGACGAGAAAGCAGUGAAGAGGGAGCUUAUGGCAAAGGAGGGAAGUAAACUUAGCAGCAUUUACAGGAGGUUCAAGCCCCACCUCCUCAUGGCUUUGGCUCAGUUUGGCUACACUUUUUUAUAUUUCAUAACAGAAGCUUCCUUCAAUCAUGGGAUGAACCCUCAUGUCUACAUAACCUAUCGACAUAUUGUGGGUGGUUUGGUGACGUUUCCUUUUGCCUAUUUUCUCGAAAGGUACAUUAAUAUCUAUCUCUAUGUAUAUGAAUGAACUGUGCUUACUGUGAAAGUAACUGUGUUUGAGUGGUUGUUUCUAUAUAUGCCCACAUUUAUAUAGUAAGGCUUAACAUAGAAGACUGAAGAGUAACCAUUUAUAUUUAGUAAACACACAUAUGCAUGACUGUAGGUAGUCCCAUAAAUUUCAGUUUUGCCUGCCAUUCACGAGUGAAUUGAUUCUCUUCACCAUAUAUAAUGGUUUAACAACUACUAGGUGUAGCUCACUAUCUCAGAUAUUAGAUCUUCACAGGAGUUGAUUAAUCAGUUAAAUUCUUUCAUGCAGAAAAGUGAGGCCAAAGUUGACAUUAGCUCUGUUUGUGGAGCUUUUUAUUCUCUCCCUCCUGGGGUAAGAACACAUAAAAAUUAUGCCUUUGAUUCUCUGAACGACAGUACAGUACUACAGGGCAAAGAAGGCUGAUCAGUCUCUUGUUUGGUGGUUACAGGGUGGGUUUGAGUCUCAACAUGUAUUUUGCAAGCUUGAGAUACACUUCUCCAACCUUCAUUGCAUCUGUGGUCAACACCAUAGCUUCUCUGACUUUUAUAAUUGCUGUUGUGCUCAGGUCAGUGUCCUUAGUCCACCUAAGAAUUUAUUUGAAAAGACUGGCUGUUUUCAUCAGCUCAUUAAUUAGUUUUCUUAUUAAAAUCAACUUCAUUCAGGAUGGAAGUUCUGGAUUUUCGAAAUCCCCGUGGGAUAGCAAAAGUUCUUGGAACCUUGGUCUCCUUGGCUGGUGUCAUGACUAUGACAUUGUACAAGGGACCUAUCAUGAAAAGCCUUUGGGAUCCUCUUAUCCAUAUUCAGGGAAACACAACUAUCCAUGAGAACUGGUUGAAAGGUUCGAUCCUGACUGUAGCAAGCUGCGUAACAUGGUCCAUCUGGUAUAUUAUGCAGGUAUUUAACCUAAACUCCAAACUACUGAAGUUUCGAAGCAGUUCAGUACUAGCUAAGUUUUUGACAGACUACUAUAGCCAACUGAAUCCCUGAAAGAGAUCACGGCCACCACUCAUAAAUGAUAAGCCAUGAGUUUAAGUACCACUACUAUUAAUGAACUUUGCAACUCUUUGCUUCCAACCGAAAAAAGAAAUAGUAUUUUUCUAAUAAACAGAUAUAAAUUGUAUCAAGAUAUUCUAUAUAUAGGUAAAUAACGACUCCUAAAAAUUGCAGGCAAUUACACUGAAAAGAUAUCCUGCACAACUGUCUCUGACUACAUGGAUGAGCUUUAUUGGGGCAGCACAAUCAGCUGUUUUCACAGUGUGUGUGGAACACAGUAGAGCGGCUUGGACCAUUGGCUUCAACAUUGAUCUGUGGUCCACCGUAUAUGCUGUAAGUUUAGGGUUUCCAAUAGUCUAAUACCCUGUUCCAACUUAAAAUUUAGAUUUUUACUGAAUUCUAUUCAUGGAUCAUUCAUGGCAGGGUGUAGUAUGCUCCGGUUUAAUAAUCUUCGUUCAACUAUGGUGCACAGAAGAAAAAGGACCUGUUUUUGUAACCAUGUUUAAUCCCCUUUCAACAGUAUUAGUAGCAGUUUUAGCAUAUUUCGUCCUUGGAGAAAAACUUUACAUGGGAAGGUAAUUAAGACUCAUAUUGUUUCUACGCUUGAGCACAUCACCCACAUUAUAAUCCUCACCAUAGUUGUAGUUUGAGUCUAUAUAUAUGCAGUGGUUUCUGAACUCCAAAAGUUCAUCUUUGGCUUCUUCAGCAUACUAGGGGGAGCAAUUGUCAUAGUUGGAUUAUACUUGCUGUUGUGGGGUAAAGAAGGUGACCAAGAAGCUCAGGUCAAGUCACAAGAGGAAUCUUAUUCGGCCCGUGAUUUGCAAGGGGGCCACAAGACACAAAUAAUUACCUCAGCUGAGGAGUUACAAAGAGCAGAACCUUAGAGAUUUAAUAAUUAAUUCCUUAGAUAAGCACAGCAAAGGGGAUCAUUAUGAUGAAGACCAAUAAAAUCCCAGAAGAAAGUCAAAAGAAAACGAAAGGGGCAAACACAAGAGAAAUGAACUUUGUUUCUUGAUCACCUCAAUCAUUUUCGGUACAAGCUUCUGUGAAUUAAUGCUAUUUUUUACACCAUGAUACAGAGGACUCCAUCAAGCUCAGCUUCUAAGUUGACGGAGAGGUUCUGAUUGUAUUUCUCUAAUCACGAAAUAGUGUGUCCUUGUGUUACUAGCUUAUUCAGCAAAUGAAGCAAGAUGAUUGAAUAAAAAAGAAAUGCAUGUUUUAGAUUCACCAAAUUGUCCCAAGUUGCCAACCGGUUUAUGUUCCUUUCUAUAAAAAAAAUGUUGCAUAAAUAUCUUUACGAAUAUUUUAGGUCAUGAGGAAAAUAUGUUAUAAAAUAGAGAUGAAUUUGUGAAAACUACAUGCGAUAAAUAAAUAUGCAAGAAAGAAUAAAAGACAUCCAAUAGGGAGCUCAUACAAAAAGUGAGGACAUAUAAAAUGUUUCAAAACUCAUGCAUUGUAUUUAGUUUUUAUUAUCUGUAAUAUUCUUUAUAGUACAAUGAGAUGAUCUUUUUUAUCUUUGAAUGUGGGCAUAGUUGGCUUAGCUACAUUAAAACUCGUGUAUCUUUGUGUAUGUAUUAUUUUAUCUUUAUAUGCCUAUGCUAACACUUCAACAUUAAAAGUUUCCACUAGCAUAACAUUCAUUAACAUGUGCAAUACUUUAUGGAUAAUCACUAUAGUUACAUGUACAUUAUGAGUCUUACUAUUAAUCCCUUGGCAUGGAUCAUGCGACACUAAGGGGUCUCAUGGAUGGGUACCUUGCAACCAUGAGGGAAGCCCUAAAGGAAGGUACAAGGUGGUCAAGGGUUUGUGACAUUAGAUAUGCAAAGGGCUUCAGAACUUGGAUGGGUACAACAAAGAGUUGCACACAAAGAGGAGCAAGCACAGUUGUACACAUGAGGAGCAAGCACGGUCGAGCACAUGCAACAACCAUGCUCAUGCACGCGGACUUGGGUGAUGUUUCCUCUAGAAACUUCCAUGGAUCACGCGCACCCACAAGCCAUGUGCACAAGAAUAGGAGGCUUUCUAGGAAAAUUAAUUAGUGGAUUUUUGGAAUUAUUAAAUGGGUCCAUUAUUCCCCUUCAUGCAUGGGUGAUGUUUCCUCUAGAAACUUCCAAAACAGCCCAAAAUGCUCUUUAAUGAGAGGGGGUAGGUGACUCAAGGUAAGGCAUGGUGACUUAAGUGUGGCCACACCAAGGAAGCCUCAAUGCAAGGCCUUUGACACAAGCAAGGCUCAUGAGGCAAGCCCUAUUGGCACCCAUACAUACAUGGGGCUCCAUGAAUGUAACAAACCUCCAACAUGAAAGGCACCCAUUGUAUGAGGCUUUCACAAUCUUCUCAACUCAUGCAAUGACGUUUAGAACGAUGGAACAAUUUGCAUUUCUGAAAAUCAUUUUUUUCUUCGAACCUCCCUUUGUAGAAAGCAAAUCAUGCUGAAAAGGUGAUAGCAAGAGUCUUUUUACAAUGUACUCAUUUUUCCUUGAUAAAUAGUGCAAGGUUGUGUUGGAUUUAAAAAUAACAAGGGAAAGAAGAGAAAAUUUGGAGAGACAUCAAUUUCUGGGAGGUGAUUACGAUGGAAAAAUAGAUAAGAGUAGAAAAUGGAGCUUUGUACACUUGGAUCAUGAUAAAACUUUUUAUGUUUUCCUUAUAAAUACAAGUAGGAAAACUUGUAAAAUGGUGAGCUUUUUCACUUGUCUUCUUUAAUUUCCUUCUGUCAUUGCCUAUCUAAAGUCCCAUCCAUAAAGAUUGUCACACCAUACAACCAGUUUUCCUUGUGCAAUGUUUAGCUAAUCAUUCAGCCAGGCAACCACGUUAAAUGUAUUUAGCACAAGUGAAUGAUGAUAAUUAAGUGGCGGUCCCUUCAAUUAUAGGUCUGCUACUAUAAUUGAAAAGAACAAUCAUGAAUAAGAAAAAGAGAAGCGUUCCCUAGUUCUGAAAACACCAUCAUUUAAGACAGAUGCUUGCAUCCGCAAAUGCUAAGAUGAAUUUUCAUCCACAGAGAAUCCAUGCAAAACAUUACGUCUCCAAAAAUCUGCCGUCAAACACUAUUUUUUAGGCAUAGCGAGGGAGCCCCAAAACAGAGUAUUGAAACUCUGAAAUAGAAAGAACACUGUUGUAGUUGCACCAACUUAAUAUAUUCUUUUGCAUUCCAUUUACCUAUCAUCAAGUUUCCUAGUAGCCUAAUCUUGAUUUUUCUUCCAAGGAGUUCAGCUACUUCCACACAUCUCAAGCUUGUCUCAGAAAUAAAAGUCUCUGCCUUUACAUUUUGAACCCAGAAACAGUACGAUACUAUUUAAAAUUUCUUAGAUAAAGAUAAGUCCAAUGUACAUUUAAAAUCAGAAAUUGUACGGUUCAAAAAAAUUAUUGAAGCAAAUAGAUAGCAUCCAACGACAUGCCUUGCCAAACUCUGCCAUUUAUUUACUACUAAUUUAACCUAAAGAUCAGGCAAAAUAGAGGAGCAGUAAUAUUUACAUGUAGAAAUGAGCAACAAGACUGUUAGAUGAUUGUAGAAUAAAGCAUCAGGAAAUUAUCAUUACUCUUUUAAAAAUUACUAUGCUGCAGGUGGCCUCAGCUCAUGAUCAUGGGAAGUAUCAAGAGCAGAUGAAGGUAUAUAUUGCCACAUUGGAAACAAGCCAUAGCUCGGGAAAACAGCCGACUUAUUUGCCCCAGUAUGAUGUGUUGCUGCAGGGUAGGUAGGCCAAAACCCUGCAGCUGGAGCAGAAAUUGCUUUCAUCUGCUGCUCUAUCCUUUCUUUAUCCGCCUUUAGCAAGAGUUUCUCUUCACGAAGUUCAUUCUUCUCUGCCUGUAGGAAAUAAAAAAUUAAUAGCUAGUAACAGAAAGCUCUCAAGUAACGUCAAUCUCAGAAAUAACUGAAGAUUUCAUUUGCUCUUUCUGUGAGCUUGUGUGGGUUGGGUGAAGGGGGUGUGUGGGAGAGCUGUGUGGCGAGAGAAGUGUUCAAGGAUUUGAAGACAUGCUGUGGUUUCAAUACAAAGGGAAAGAAAAGAAAUAAGAAAAAUGCAUUUCCUUGAACCAAGAAGAAUGGACCAAACCCCAGAAAAAGAUGUAAAAGAGGCAAAACAGUAAAUUAAUCCCAUCCAGGGGCUUCCAGUGCAGUACUCUAUACUAACCCAACAUACUUCGGUACCCGUCUAAUCAAUCAUGCAUAGUUUGGUGGGGCUGUGCCAAGUUUGCCAGCAGUAUUAAAAGAUUGUAGUUCAUCAACACCCUUGACAAAAACAAUAGAAGUUUUUUGUUCAGAAUUGACACAUCAAGUAACCAUCUUCUUACUCAUCUAAAUAUAACAAAUAAAAUAUUAAAAUCAAUAUGUCAUUCACCACCUUCUCCUGAGAAACAUGGUUUCCAUAUACGCCUACCAAAUUUCUAGAAAACAUCUUCAUAUCAUGUGUCGCCUCCCCAAAAGAAACAUGGUUUCUAUAUAUAUGUGCUUUACUGGUUUUUAGAUAAUAUCUUCAGAAGAUUUAUAGUAAUACAUCCCAUUUCCAAGAAAAGACAAUCCUCCCACUAGGUUCUGCAACCAGUUUAAGCACCUCUUUAUUCUAGUUGCACAUUGGAUUUCUUGAUCAGCAUUUUUCUUCUGAAGUUAGAAGACUAGUCAGUAUUUAAGCGUGCAAGAGCCUCUAGCUGUGCAGAAGGUUUGAAAAUGCUGGAAGAAACCUGCUAAUACCAGGAAAUAUGCAAAGCAGCUUCCCAGCAACGUUGUAGAGAAAAGUGUGAUGCAUGAUACUUACAUCAGUUUACCCAAAACUGUUCCAUAGGCCACAUUUUAGUACACCUUAUCCCCCUUCAACCUUCAAAUUUCAUAUUUUACAGGAAUCUUAACUGCUCAGAGGCCUAAUAAACCGGUGUUGUACAGCACAUCAUUAACUCGUUAUUUCUAUGAGAUGCACACACUAGUGUCAAAAAUACCACCCUCAUCACCCCUAUAGUUUAGUAACAACUAACAAUGACAUCGCAAUAACAUGCAUCCAUUAAUCUGAUGUCAUGUUAGAACAAUAAAUCAAUGCUGGAUUACCGAACUUACCAAAGAAUGCCCUAAGAGACUAUUUAAGCCAUAAAUGGCCUUCUAUAGCUUGCAGACCUCAUCAAACUGCACUUGUGAGACAUGCUGAGAAGAAGGUUGCUCCAUGUGAAUUUCUUCCUAGACAUCACCAUGAAGAACUGGAUCCAACCCAUAGGAGGAUUAUAAUUUGGAAACUAUGAGAGACAAACACAUAUGAAAAAUGUCAAACUGGUUGAGAACCCAAAAACAAAUUGAAUGGGAGAACAUCGGUGGGUCAGUGACAGAGCCAGACCCUAUGAUUUCAUACAGUUAAUACGAUUACAGAUACUACCUGUAUAAAUGCUAAAGUCAGUUACACUUAUAUAGAUCCCUUCCUUCCACUCAGCUGAUCAAAUCAAACAGGAAAACUUAAGAAAGCAAAGAUGAAGAUGAAGAUUGACAUUUGGGAAAAAGGAGAGCAACAUAAGUUGUAUCACUUUCAUGUUGUUGCAGUAUUACUGGGAAAAAGCUUCUUUAUUUCUUCUAGUCUUUUCUUUUUUGUUUUUUUUUUUUUUUUUUGGUUGGGCAGUAUCACACAAAACCAGACCCAGAAUCUCUUGUGGACUGCCUCUUGAACCAGUCCUCAAGAUGCCUAGAGAGUAAAACAAUAAAUCCUUUAACAUUCCCAAGAAAGGCAAGUAAUGACACACACUACCAAAUGAGACUGUAAAGUAAAUGGACGGUUGAAAAUUAAAUAAUACAUGCAUUUUGACCAUACAAAUUUUGUAGACACACGGUUAAUUAACCAACAAUUUGCACUGUGAAUUUAACAGACCUUACAUCCAUCUUAUAACUACAAUGUUAAUUGCAAUGACUUGAUGAUAUAUCAUACUAAAUCAAGUGUCCUAUGCAGCAUAUGAAGCAAAACGGAUGCUUGGACCCAGGUCCCAGGGUCACAUAAAACCACAAAGUGAAUGGAUAUAACUCCACAAUAAAUCAACUGUCUUAUAACACUAAUUUGGGAUGAGAAAUUGAAUCAAAUCCAAAAUUCUAGUAUCAACGAGCAGGCAUCUUAAUCAAUAAUAUAGGAAUACUAAAUAAAUCUAGGUGUCUACCCAUCCCUUUUAACCUCCCUUACCUAUUCUAGCACAACCAGUUUAUACCAAGCCCUCACCAGCACCAAUGACCUCCUUUGGACAGGACAAAACAAUCUUAAUUGAUUCCACACCAUCUUAUCAUAAAUUGUGGCCAGGAUAAUGUGAAGGAUACACAUCUUAGCAAUCUGAUCUACCAAUGCUUUUAUACAACCACCUUGGUUCCCACUUCAAUGAUACCUUAUAAGUUGUUUUCCACCCAACAUCUAUUAGCCAACCAAUUUUCUCCACAUCAACAACAAUGUUCCUUUUGCAGCAAAUCAAUAAAUUGCAAUUCUCACAAGUCAGAACAAAGGGGACACUUUUAAUGAUGAUUUUAAGCCAGGAAACCUACUGCAAAUUAUUCUAGUGAUAUUCAAAUUGAACAAACAAAUAACAAGAAGUGUACAAAGUCAGAGAAGCUCCAAUGAAGCAAGUCAAAGCAUGGUAGCUAAGUGAUUAUUGAAGAAGAUAAAUUGUCUUCAAAACAUUAAGCAGUAAGAAAUGCCAAACACAGCACAAGUUAGCAAGAGUCAAUCCACACAUAAUAUCGCACAAAUGCCUUGUCAAUCUAACCUUUAAACUUCUUAUCUCUUCUUGUAGCUUUUCAUUUGCAUCUUCAAGAUCCUUAGCUUCAUUUCUCAGCUGGUUCAGUACUCGGAUGGCAUCCCCAAGUAUGGCCAAUUUGUCAGUUUUGGCAGAUUUACCAGGUUCUAAAAUGGAACUCAAGUCUAGAAACCUAAAUCGGACAAACAAGAUUUUUCCUUUGAGACACCAUCCAUCACCUUAUAGAUUGAUCAAUGGAUAGAUACACAAAAAGACAUAGAGAGCACAUAAGAAAUCUGUACAAGUAUCAAACUACAAGAAAUCAAUAAAAGAUUUGGACUACUCAAAUGGUCACAUUUCCCGAUGACAGAUAACAUACGCAAUGAUGAUGAAUCCCAUACCAUUAAAGAUUGUGUUUUUUGAAAUAAUUUUUUGAUAGGUAAGCAACUUAUCAAAAACACCAAACAGGCUAUAAACCAGUACAUGUGAUAUGUGUUAGGCACACAAAGGAAAGGAAAAGGAAGAAGAGAGGAAGACACCCUCCCUUAGUUAUACAGCAGAAGCAAUAAAUAGAAUCCAAAAUUGAUGUAUCAUCAGCAUAUUUCACAGACAAAAAAAAAUAACAAGCUUAAGAAGCAUUUCCUUCAGCUCAAAAUUGGAGGUUCCUCAUCCCAAACAUGUUCCCUAUUUCUCUCUCCAUAUGAACCACAUAACACAUGAGGGUACAAAUCUCCAAAACUUCCACCCUCCCUCCCCAGCUUCCUCCCACACCUACAAUUACCAUUCUGGCCUUUGUGAAAUGCAUCAUCUGCUCCAAAGAGCGUAAAUGAAGGUUCACAAUUCUUGCUAUACUACAAUAAACAAAGAGAUGAUUGCAAGCAUCAUAUUCUUUUUACCUUACAUAACUCCUGCAACAGAUUAAAGGCACGUAGCUGGGAAGUGAAAGACCGUUAUUUUUUUAACCUUAGACAAAAUUAAUCUGAUCUAAUAUGCCUCACCUAUUCUUGAACAAAUGCAGUUGCACAUCAGUCAAAUAAAACCAUGACAUCAAAAAAAAAAAAAAAAGGAAUCUGAUCCAACAAAACACAUGCCUGUCAUUCAAUCUUUCCCUUCGCAAUUUCUCACGGCAAGCUUUGGUUCCAGGCCUGGUGGAUGAAUCAUUGCGUCCCCUACAAAUAGUCAACAUGAAAUUAUCAUGAAAAUCUAAUUACAAAAUGAAAAAUAUGGAUCAAGUUAUUCUACCAGAAAGACUUAUAAAAUGAUAAACAAGGAACCAGCUCAUUUGAUAGUUUUCUAUCUUUUUUCAACUCAUAGUGUAAAACGGUCAUGCAAAUGAAAGCAUUCAUAAAGAAUAUCACACUUCUAUUCUAGCAAGAUUAAAAUAAAAAAAUAAAAAAUAAAAAAUAAAAUAAAAAGAUUGCUAUGAUGGAGACAACUGACAGCCACCUUUACAAGUUUACAAGGAGUAAAGGAAUGGGCUUUAAGGCCAAUCUUUAAUUUGGCAUUCUCUAGAUGACAUUGAGCUUACUUGCGAUCUUAUAUAGUUCAACAUGGACUCAGCCUAGAAGUACUUUCCAGAAAUCAGAUAAUGGGCUUCAUCAAUGGUCUUAAGUUCUUACUUUCAGUCGUUUAUGUUGUCAUUUUCCAAGAGUCUUUUAAUAUGGUCAAGUAGUCAUUCAAAGUCUCUGAUAUUUUCAAUCUUCAUUGCUACUGUGUGAGUAUUUCUAAGAAGUUAUAACUCUUUAGAGAAGUUCUAUAUAGUAUUUGAUAAAAUCAAUGAAUGAAUGAUAAAAAUUUCCAACACCAUUAGUAAUAAAUGAUACCACCAUUAGCAAGCACCUAUUAUACAUUUAUUUUUUAGAAAUUUAGAAAAAACAUUAAAAUAAAAAACCAUGAGAAGAACAACUUGAAUCAACUCAAUGACUGGACAAGUGCAACAAUGUUUAGAACAUGAGAGCUCCACAUGUUCAAAAUAUAUAUCCCAUAUAGGUAAUGCUAAAUAGCACAAUUUUCCCUUUUCUACUUUCACCAGUUACAUGGAGAAUAAGAGCUUUAAAGAACAUAUUAAGAGGACACUUAUUCCCUAAAACUUGCUCUUUUGAUUGUCUCAUUUAAAGUAAGGUAAGAACAUUGAAAAACAAAUUUGUGACACUAUCCAACAAUUCAUGGAGCAAUGUUAUAUAGAUACCAGUAUGAGCAUCAAAUUUUCCAUGAGCCCUUAGAUUCAACACCAGAAGAACCUUAGGAUUUGACUAUGAGGCAGAAUAUUUAAAAAAUGUUUUACAACGCAAGUACAUUUAGAGAAUGUUUGGCCUUCAAUGUGUUACAUCUUCUUACCCAUCUACAUCUGAGAUCACAGAAUUCAAAAACUUAACAGUGUAAAGGUUAUGGGGUUGUUAAGCAUAUAAUUACAAACUACAGUCUAGAAGUGUAAACUUCACCAACUCAUGGAUGCAACAAUCAUCAUCCUUAAACCCUCAUGCGAACCAAAUACACUUAUCCAACCAUGUUCAAUAUCAAUCCCUCAAUAUUCUAUAAAAUCCCGAAAUAUAAAUAGCAAUUCAUAUUAAUUGCAUAAUUCUCUGACCACAUACACCAUUGAAUUCAAUCCCAAAGGCAAGAAAAUAAAAAGACAACAAGGGGAAGAAACACAUUGCUACAUGAUGUUACUCAAUCCCGAUAGCAUAGUUUUCCCACAUUUAAAAAAAAAAAAAAAAAAAAAAAAAAAAAAAAAAAAAGCUCGCAUAUUAUUCAAAUCAUACAGUUCAGCAUUGAUAAGAGAUUUCAUUCCAGCAUAUUGCACAUUAGAGUUACAAAUUACCUCUUCUGUCUGCCUUCAUUUUCUUGCGACGCAGCACAAAUACGCGAAAGAUCAAUAUCGACACCAGCACUGAAAUAGAACAAGCAUACCAAUCACAUUAACACGCCGAUCUAAAGUAUCCUCAUUUCAAUUUCACGAUUAAAACAAUUUCAAACAACUUUAGGUCAAAAUGACUCGGACCGAUAUUCUAAUUAUCCGAGGUGAAGCUGAGUCGCCAAGACAACAAUUAACUAUCAAACUUAUAAAAUCAAUCACACAAUUAUGUUUCGCCAAGCCGCUGAUUGGCUGCCGAGAAAGCAAAAGAAAGGAAGAGAAAAUUUAAACAUACAGGUACCCGUCGUUUAUCCAAGAGAGAUCGUUGGAUGUGACGUCGUCUAUCAAUUUAUGAUUAAGAAAAUCCCAAGUAUCAUCGUCGAAGGAAUCCAUGGAUUUGGGAUAGGCAACAGGAAUCCAGCACCUAGUUUGGAGGGGGAGAUGGAUAUUUUGAAAGAAAAUUGCCCAGCAAAGGCCCUAAAGUGGCACCACGUGGAACACGUUUGAAUAAGUAUGACGGCGAGUUGCCGCUUCCUGUUUUGACCAACACGUGUGUCUGCACCUACUCCUUUCCCACGCGCCUCUGUCGUCGUCGAUUCGGGUCCGGUGACCCUCUCAAUUUUAAUUAACUGGAAAAUACGCGAUUUACUGAUUUGAGUGAUUUCCAUUUUUAUUUUUGAAAAAUAAAAAUUAGGAUAAAAAAUAAGUUUCGACUUUAUCUUUUUUAUUUAUUUAAAAAUAAAUAAAAUAAAAAUUUUGGAAAAGGCUUGAUGUUUUAUUUUUCAAAAUUUCUUGAGACAAUUAAAAAUUAUCUUUUGUAAAUAAAAAAGAAUAAAAUUAUAUCUUAUAUUGGGUAUAAAAGGGAUACAUAUAUUAUAAAUAUGAAAUACAUGGAAAAGUAGGUUUUUAUUCACUAAUUUAAAAAAAUAUAGAAAAAUAACCUAAAUUUUUAUUAAUCAUAUUUAUCUUUACCUAUUUAAAAAAAUUUUAAAAUACAUGUAUUUUUAUAAUUUAAAUAAUUUUUUCUUAAAAUGAUCAUUUGACAUAUUUAUAACACUAAUUAACAACUUUUUAUUGUGAGAAAUGAUUUAAGAUUAAUAAAAUAAGAAAUUCAAAAAAUUAAAACUAUAAUACUUUAAUACGAAAAAUACAGCAUAAAAUAUUAAUUUUUACUUCAUUAAAACACUUUGAUAAAAAAUAUGAAUAUCAAAAAAGAGUUGGAAAUAGAAUGAGUAAAUAUUUUUAUUUUAAAAUUUUUAAGUUUUUUUGUUUUUAAUUAUAUUUAAUUUUAAUUGUAUUUUUAAUUUUAAAAUUUUGUAAAAAAAAAUUAUUUAAUUUUAUUAAAUAAAAUGAGAAAUUGAAAAGAUUUAUAUAAUAUAUGAUAUAAAAUCAUUAUUAAUUAGAAGAUUAAAAAGAUUAUAUUUAUCACUUAUGAAUUUUGAAAAAAAAAAUCCACAAAUCUCAUAUUAUAUAAUAAAAAAUUUAUAAUAUAUUUAUCAGUCAAACACCUUUAUUAAAUUAAAAUAAUAAAUUAAUUUUAAAUAAUUUUAUUUAAAGUAAAAUGAUAUUUCAAGAAAUAACUAUUUAAAUUAUGAAAAACUACGUUUAUUUUUAAAUGGGUGGAGAUAAAACUAAUUUUUUUUAAAAAAAAUUAAAGUUAUUUUUCCUAUAUUUUAUCAAAUUAAGGAAUUAAAACCCACUUUUCCUAGUAAAUAUUAGGAUAAAGAAAUAUUUAUAGACAUCAAUUUCAUUCAUUGUUUUGAAUGAAAUUGGAUAUGGGAAAUUCGAUAACAGGCUAAAAUGAAAAUUUUAUUAAACCAGGAUUUCCAUCAGUUGUAUACAUGGAUUUCUGUGUCAAUUUAUAGUUUCGAAACAGAAUCAUUUGAUGAGAAGCGGUCAGCAGAGAGGACUUCCAGCCAAAAAAAGUUGAAACAUAAUCAAAUGACAUGAGCUUCAUUCUUAAGCUGGUCGAUCAGCUCAUCCACGGAAGAAACAAUAACUCCUGCUUUUCUCUUGGGAGGCUCAGUGACCUGAACAACCUCCAAAUCGGAUUUGAUAUCUACAUUCAAUUCCUGUGGAGUGAACUUCUUUAUUACCUUCGAUUUUGCUUUCAUAAUGUUGGGGAGUGUUGCAUACCGAGGCUGGUUCAGUCUCAAAUCAGUGCUGCAUGAGGUACAAAAUAUCAGGUCAAGUAAUGAGAUGAAACACAGAGCCAAGUUGCAUUUAUGCUAGCCUAUGGCAAAUAAUUGCAGUCAGCUUUCUGAUAAUAGCUUUGUUCAUCUGAGAAACACUUCCUAUUCAUGUGUUAUCAGCAUUUCCACAUGUUGCCUACUGCCAUUGGGCAAAAGCUUGGAUGAAAAAGAAGCAUGUUUUUGUCUUAAUUCUCUUAAGCAGAAUCAAGGAAUAGGGUUUUUGAGCAGAACUUCAUGUUACGAGUAGAUCCUUCCAUCAUUUGAGCACUAGCUAGCUAGGAAUUCUUACAAGUACAGAAUAUAAAGCUUGUAAUGACCAUGAAUGGGCUGCAAAGAACACAUGAAUAACUUCAAGAGUUCAAAACAGACAACAAAUUUUGCCCAUAGCAUAUAUUUUUAUACAGAAAAAUCAGUUGCAUACUCUUAAAUGGUCAAUUAAAGCUCAUCAACCAAAUCUGAAGCGUCACAAUUUAACAUUUGCUUAAGCCCACAUGACUUGCAUCAGGUACUCAGUCAAUAACCACAAUAAUCCCACUAGGACCUCCUCCUCUGUUCAUCAUUGAAGACCUUGGAAUUAGGGGACAUCAUUUACAUGGAAUUAGGGGAAUUAGAAGACCUUGGAAUUAGGCAAUAAGCUCAUAUGCUCUCACACUUCCCAAAGACAGUCCUCAUAGAUGGGCAAUCCUCAUCUUAAAAGCACAUCAAUCCCUAUUACAUUUGGUUUCUAACUUUAUCAUAUGCAAACAAUAUGAGACCUUUGACGCUACUGAAAUAUUAAUCUAGACAGACAUUCAUUAACUACAUUUUUCCCUGUUAUACAGAGUAGUGAAAGGUUCUAGAAAGUUUUUAAGCCAAUACACCACUGCAUACACAUCGGAAUAAAAGUUCUGCUUACAGAAACAACGCUACAAUACAUCCUAUUAAGUCCCAUACGAUAUGAAUAUUAUUAACUAUUUUCUGAUAACCCAAGAAAGAAAAGACUAGAAUAGAAUAAAUAUAUUUUAAAGCAUAUUUUCAAACUGGAAGUUAAUUAUAAUCAGUAACACAAUUAAAUAAUGAAUUUAGAGUCACAUGUUUCUAAACCAAAAAAGACAAGUUGUUUAAUUAAUAUGAAUAUAAAUUUAAAAAUAAAACUUUAAAAAUAUGAUCUAUCUAUGUUUCAAAGGUUUGUUAUAGAGAUUUCAGAGAUUUCACGCUUUCUUUUAUAAGCACAGCCAACCAAAAUACAUUAACAAACAGUUUUUCCAAGAGAGAAGACGAAUAAAAACUUCAAGAAGAAAAUUUGUUUAAGUUCAGCAUAAGAAAAUAAUUUGAGUUUAAAUCCCCAAAUCUACAUCAUUCUGUACAUCACCUAGAAUUUUUUUGAUAGGUAACCCAUUUUCCUUUUAUUUAUUUUAUUUUAUUUUAUUUCAUUGUUAAAACUUGAACUUGGAACCUCCCACAUCCAAGCUACAACCCUUUCUCACUUGAGACAAGCAUGAAGGAGUAUAUUUCACCUAUAAUCCUUAGUUAUGUUUGGUUCCUAGAAAGUACCAAGGAAAGAAAAAAAAGGGAAAAUGGUUUCUUAUGUUUGGAUGCUACAGAAAAAGAUAAGGGAAAAAAUAUUGAGGGAAAAUGCUAUAGAAAAAAGAUUUUCCUCCUGAUUUUCCUUAAAAAAUGAUGAGGAAAGUUGGCACAAUGUGCAUUCCUCACAAUUUUACUUCCCUCAAUUUUUCAAUGCACAACCAAAUAAGAGAAUUUUUUUAAAAUUUCCUCAUAUUUUUCUUUCCUUCUAAUUUCUUUCCCACAAACUUUCCAAAACCAAGCAUAGCCUUGAUUUUUUGGUCGAUGGAUCCUAAUAUUUUUUUCCAUGCAAGAAGAACCGAUGGAUUAGUCUUCUCCAUUUAUGGUUCCAAAGGUUUAGAAUUUCUUUAGCAUUUUAUUUUGCUUAAUUGAAAAGACAGAGAACAAUAAAAGUAUUUCAAGAGCUUCAUCAAAAUUUUAAACCACAAAGCUCAAUGUAAGACAUGAUGGCAUGUAAGACAGAAAACAAAAACAAAGACAGAAAAACAGUAAAUAGCAUAAGAAGAACAAAUAGAAAACAGAGUGAGACAAUUACGUGAUUACUGCUGGUAAGUCCAAACAUAAAGUUUCAAGACCACCAUCCACCUCUCUCUCCACUGUUGCCACCUCUUUCUCCUUGUCCAGCACAACCUACUAGAAAGCAGCAGCCAGGUUGAACAAUUAUUAAAGGCAAAGAAGAAUAACUUUUAAAGAGAUCAUCUAAAUGUUCUAUCAACACCAAUUGCCAAUACAUCUCAAAUUCUCUAGGGAAAGUGGGGAGAGAUACAAAAACAUAAGCUAUGUUUGGUUCCUAGAAAAUUUGAAGGAAAAUGUAAGGGAAAUAAGAUAGAAAGGAAAAGUAGAAGGAAAGACAAAGCAAAGAAAAUGCAUAGGUUUCUAACUAAUUUUAAUUAUAUUUGAUUUUAUUUCUUAUUUUUUUAUAGUAAAACAAAACAUAAGAAAAUAAUUUUCCUUAACAUUUUUUUUCCUUAAUACUUUCCAAGAGCCAAAGGUAUCAAUGGUUUUAUUGAUGCACACAACAUAAUUCUUUCAGGUAUGCCCCUUGCAGCUGGAGAACAAAAAGAAUAUAGGUACAAAAUGAUUUAAGAAAACAAAGAUUACCACCAUAGAAAAGCUAAAGUUAAGUUGAAUUCUAUUGCAUACAGAAAUCCAUGAAUCAUGACAGAAAUCCUAAUAAUAUUUUCCAUGAGGAAAAACAUCCACAUUUAUAAUACUACUGAAGAACCACAGUAACAGCAAUUUUAGGGAAAAAAGGACCACUGGCAUAUGAUGGUACCAUAAGAACAAUCUCAGCCCAAAAAACCCUUCAUAGGGGGGGCAAAUUGCUCUAACUCUUGAAAUCUACCCAAAGAAGGGAAACUACCUCUUUAAUCCAUCUUGGUUAGGUACCAGUUCCACAAGGGGCCAUGGUCCCCAGAUCCUUAUUUUUCCUUGUCCACAGUGCUUUUUACAUUCGGAGUAAUUACAAUAUCAGAAACAAGAAGAACAUAACAUCGAUUGAUGUAUUUGGAAGCAAAAAAAAAAGGUUAAAAAAGCUGUCUUAAACCUUUUGGGGUAUCUGUUAUUUUGCUUUCAUCAACUCAAUUGAUGCUUUUUUCAGCCUUUCCCUCCUUUCAUGGCCUUUGAUAUACUCUAUGCAUGCCUUGCUGAUGCUCUUACCAUUCAGCCUAAGGCCACACAACUAGCCUUUCGCAAAGACAUGACUCCAGUUUUCAGCUUUCUCAUCUUUUCAUGGCACACUCGCUAACACUGUCUUCACCCUAAGUGAUAUGAUGUGUCUCACUCAUGCAACCAGUAUUCACCCAAAGAGAUAGAUCAGAGAAAAUUUCUCUGUGUUAAGUUUCUUUAAAAGCAAACAGAGUCUUUGAGAGUUUCUUGUUAUUCCAUCUAUGACCAAAAGGGUUGAGAUUCAUGGCCCCUUGCAAUGAAUUUUCCAUUAUCAUCUUCAAAUCUGACAUUUAAAUCUUGUUUUCUUGUUUUCCUGUUUUUACUCUCAAAAUAAUCCAAAAACAGUAUUUUGGAAACCCUCAAUUACUUCAAACGAUCAAUGAGAGGCAAAUUGGAAACCAUAAUUCACAAGCGCUGGCAAAUGGAAAUGGACUCUAAAAAGAUGUUAGCUGUAAACUAAUUGCUUGUUGGCUCUGGUGGCAUCCAUCAUCAAAGAAAAAAGAUAAAUAAACUGAGACAUGGAAUUUCACUAUCCUUUUUUUCUUAUAGGUAAGCGAAGCUUGUAUGAAAGGAAUAAAGAAAAUAUAUACAACAUAUACAAAGCAACCAAAAUGGAAUUUCACCAUCCUAGCUGAAAAGUGGCGCACUGUUACCCUACUUGAUGUUGUAAUAAGCUUUUUCAUCCUAAACUAGGGGAAAAUGCCACUAGCAUGCACCUUACAAGUCUUUCUAAACAUUUCUGCAUCUCAUCAUGAGAGUUUUAUGGCAGUGAAACCCCAUCCCAUGCCUCCGUCAGUGAGGAUUCUAUAACAACAGAUUCAUAUAUAUCAUUCUCUAAUCCUUUUCUCUUGUAUGUGAAUAGAACAUAGCUCUGUUUGGAUCCAAGAAAGAAUGACAGAGGAGACCAAAACACUCAAAACACUGAACAUAACUUUAGAAAGUUCAAAGUUAUUUUCAGGAUUUGCCUUUUAUUUCUCCCAUUCUCUCUGAUAUAAAGACAAAACCUAAUACUUGUAGAAAGACACAUGGUUAAAUUUUUGUUGUCAACGCCAACAAAUCCAUGUAAGGUGAUGCUUUUCACUAAGAAGAGACUCUAAGAUUAGAUUCCCAAUGUAUAGAGUGUUUGCGCAGUAAACAAAUCAAUCACUUAUCAUUUAUAUAACAGUAGAAGUGUAUGGAGAGUGGGACUAACCUUGGAAGCAAAGGUCCCCUGAGGCCAGUUGAGCAACCCGGCAACCAUUUGCCCUGUUUGAUUGCAAUCGUCAUCAAUGGCCUAGAAAACCCAUGCCCACAUCAGAAAACAACAAUCCACCAUAAAAAGAGUCUAGGAUUUUCACGGAAUCCGCAAAUUUAUUUUUAAAUCGUUACCAAAAACCCUAAUCUCUGGGCACGAAUUCACAGACCUGUUUGCCCAGAAUAAGGAGGCCAGGCUUCUCCACAUCGACGAGAGCUUUGAGAAGCUUAGCAACUGAAAGUGGGUACAGAGUGGCGGAAGCUUCGACGUGGAUGGCCCUAUCGGCGCCCAUGGCGAGACCCGUUCUGAGCGUGUCGACGCACUGGCUGGGACCCACACUGACAGCGAUAACCUCCGACGCCAGACCCGAUUCCUUGAUCCUCAGAGCCUCUUCCAAACCUAUCUCACAAAAGGGGUUCAUCGACAUCUUGACGUUGCUGGUCUCCACGCCGCUCUGAUCGUGGGUUGGCGAUUGUUAUUGGAUGAUGAUGAAAUUACAGAUACUGAAUAACUUGAGAGUUUGGAUUUGGGUUACCUUGUCGGAUUUGACUCUGAUCUUGACAGCGUAGUCCACAACACGCUUUAUCGCCACCAUUAUCUUCAUCUCGUAUAUGGGUGGUUAUCUUCUCCGGCACAAGGGUAUUGGCAAAUGACUGAUGAUGAAGGACGAGGAUAUUCGCCCGAGCCCUACUGCACGACACCACAUCCGCUUAUAAAAUCUUUUGAUACGGAUAAGUACAAGGGAAGUGGAAAAAAAGGAUUAUUAAGAAAAAUAAAUAUAUUACCAAAAAAAUUAUUUAAAAUUUUGUUCAUGUAGAAAGAACCCGUGAAUCAGAUCGAAAAAAUUAUAUUAAAACUGCUGUAUAGCCGAAAAUUGUGUACAGAAUUUAUUUUAACAUUGUAUUAUUGAAUUUUUUAUUCAAAAAUUGCUUAACGUGAGAUAGAAAUUAAAAAAUCAUUAGUAAUUUUGUCCGAAAGUUGUUAUAUUUCAUGUGUUUUAAAAAUAGAUGUAAUUUAUUCCUAUUUGCAUUUUUAACGUACAUUUAAUUAAAUAACCCAAAAAGUUAUUGAGUUCACAUCAUCUAUGGAGUCUACCUCUCUUUGCUUUUGUUGCUUCCAAAAAUACCAUACUCCCAUAUUUUUUUGGUUCUACUCAUUUUACUUUAUUUUUUUCAUUCCAUUCAUUCCACGUGAAGUCUUCAAUCCUAAUAACAUUUACUAUAUUACAAUUAAGUUUAAUUUUUAAAAAACUUAAUUAGGGUUAAAUUUCCUUUGAGAGAACUUCAUUACAAUUAUUUGAGUUGUACGUUAAGUUUCAUUUAAAAAUAACUUAUUUAAAAAGAUGUUAAGCUUCCCCUAUUUUAUUUAUAAAGUUUAAUAUCUAUUUGAUUUUAUAUUUGAAAUCCAACUAAAACCUAAUAACGAAUUGUUGUAAAAAAACUCCAAUCAAAAUACUAACAAAAAUUAAAACAUAAAACUCUGAUAAAAAAUUGUUAAAAAAUCCAACAAAAAAACAAUCAUAAAAAACCCUAAUCAAAAACAUCAUGGAAGUUUAAAUGAAAUUGCCAAAAAAUAAAAAGUAUAGAAAACCCUAACAAAAAAACAACACCAAAACACCUGACAAAAAACAAUUACAAAUUCUAGCACAAAAACCCCCAAUUAAAAAUAUCUAUAAAGAAAAACCUAAAAAAAACCAAUUAUAAAACCUCCAACAAAAAAUAAAGAGAAAGAUGAAGAAUAUGAAAAAUUUUGAAGAAGAAAGAAACAUGAGAGAACUAUCAUUGAUCUUUAUUUGUUAAUCUUUGUUAUAUGUUUGAACUUCACUAGAAAAUGAGAGAGAGAGCAUAAACCUAAAGAGAGAAAGAGCUGAAAAUGAGAGGAGAAAUGAAUCACAAUGAGGGGAAUGACAAUUUGAGGAAAUAUAGAAGGGUUAAAUCAUUUGAACUAGGUUAACGUUUUUAUUAAAAAAAAAGAGUAAUGAAGGUCCUUGUUCUAAUUUCAAGAGUAUGUCUGUUAAUUACCAAAUGUGGCAACUCUAAAUAAAAUCCUUUGUUAUCAACUAAAACUAAAAGUCCCAUUACAUCAUAUCCAACUUUCAUUUGUUAUCAACAAAGUAAAACUAUAUACAACUAUUAUCACCAUCUCUCCUAUUUUGAUGUUAUUUUCUUAGAUGAAUUUGUAAAUCAAAAUUUACACCACCCAUAAAUUUUUUGAGCUUCCUAUUUAACACAACUUCAAUUUGUUAUACUUUGAACAUCACAAAGAUAAAGUAAUCAACAUUUUGCUUGGACAAGUUUUUCUUCUCUAAAGUUUAGAGUCCUAUUUCACUUCCCGUUUAUGGGUUGUUAGUUCAUCUAAUAUCUCACCAUCAUCCAUUCCAUGUACUGUGUUUCCGAAAUGAGUUGAUUCCACAUCCUAAAUGUCUGUGCAAAUUAAUAAGGAAUGUCGAGUUACCAAUUUUCUUAAAAGCUUAAUCUUGCAAGAUUUGGAUUCAAAAUGCAUAUCAUGCUCUCUUUAACACCCCUCCCCCCUCUCACAUGUAGCCCUAUACCCACACGUAGAGAAAUAGACUUAUAGGAAAAUUGGUAGUUUAAUAUAGUAUCAGCACUUGGUUUGGUGGGAGGUCUCCUGUUUGAGUCACCUCUCCACAAUUUACAUUUCUCCUAUUUGUUUAAUUUACAGUUCUUCCCUUAAUCUGUAAUUCUUUGGAUAUAAAUUUUCCCCCUAAUUUGUAGUUUUGUGGAUAUGAAUCUCUCUUCCAUGUUCAGGUAUGGGGCCACACAUAAGAGAGGGUGUUAAAGAGCAUGAUAUGCAUAUUAAACCCAAAUCCUAUAAGUUAAAACUUUUAGGAAAAUUGGUAGUUUAACGCUUUUAGGAAAAUUGGUAGUUCAACAUGUGUACACCCCAUUUUGGGGACUGCUAUUGCUCCCACUUCUUUUUGUCAAAUGGUGGAGCUUUUUAGGAGCACAUGUUGUAUUUGGAAAGGCUAUUAGAAAAUGGCAACAUGACUGUUAAUGGAAGUAAUGAUUUUCUAAAAAGGCAACCAUGGGAAGACACAUAACAAAGAUGUUUGGGGAGGAGGGAGAGUGUGCAUCAAGACUACUCAUGAGGGGUAAGAAACAAAAAAAAAAAAGUGUCGAAGAUAACUAAAAAAUUGGAGAAACAUAAAGGAAUAAGGAUUUUAGGGCUAUGGAUGGUGAACAAGAGUGAAUUAUGGGUGUCUAGGACAGCUAGGAAUGGUGAGAGGAGUAGGGAGCUGUAGAAGGUGAUGAGCUAGGUAAGAUGUAUUUUCGAGAAAGAAAAGAACCAAAGAAAGAAGGUGGUGAAUUAAGUGAGACACGUCUCAGAGAAGCAGAGAAAGUUGGCUUGAAGCCAAGCAAACUUUUGCUUGAGAUGAGCAUUGCCUAGUAAGAUUGUUUCGAUUCAUCGAUUAUUACUGAUCAUCAUACUUCUCUUGUCUUAUAUUCAUGUGAUUAUUUUACAUUGAUUGUGGGGUUGCUUUGGUUUGGUUAUUAUGGCUUCAUCCUCUAUUUCUUUAGUUUUAUUCAAGGAUAAAUCUAAUUGUGCUUUGAUUAGUUAUUCCAUAUUUGAAAAUCUUUGUGUAUUUUGGGUUUUUUCUCUUUAGAUAUUUUCUAGAUUAAUCCACUGACCUUUAAACCCACAAAUAAAGAAAAAUGAAAUGAGUUUUUUCAUAUUUGUUGGGUGUUUGGCCCUUGUUUAUCUUUUUUUAAAGCUUUAUUCCUUUAUAUUCUCUAUUUCUCCCCAUUUUGUACAUGGGUGUUUCAAUCAGAGUCUCUAUUUUGGCUUCCACAUUUGAGAUUUCUUUUAUGAGCGAAGACCCAAAAAUGGAGACUGGCUUCUUGUAAUUGAUAAAAUAGUUAGUCACCCAUUAGCUUAGAUGAAGCAUAGAUGUUAACCGGAUUGUGAACAUGGAUACUCUAUUUUGGGCCUAUUAGGCCUUCCAAUCCUCUCUUAGUUUCAUUAUUCUUGAGGAUAGUGUUUGGUUGUGUCUGCUACUUAUUCUGUGGCUUCGGUGGUCUGUUUGUUUAUUCUUGGCUAUUAUCAAUGCUAACAAUGGGAAAGAGACUGGUUUUGGUUAUGCUCUUACGGAUUUGAAGGUGAUCAAAGGGUCCAGUGAAGAGAAGAUUAGUAGGUCAUAUUAGGUUAAUUAAUUAAUUAGGACAUGUUUUGAGUUAUAUUAAGUAAUACAAGCUCUUAGUGGGCUUAAGUAACUUAAGCCUAGUGGGGAAUGCCAUAAAUACCCCUUAGGGGUUAGCAUUUCCAUAGGUUUUUCUAGAGAGUCAUCUUUCACCUCCAAAGAAGGAGAGUCAUAGCCUUUACCAUUUUUUCCAUCAUUAUCGAAGUGUGUCAAGAUUAAGGUUUAAGUCAUUGAGCGGAAGACUCCAGGUUUAUGAGACUUCAUACAACUUCGUUUUUCAUUUUCAUCAAAUGGAAUUAAUUUGAAAACAUUUGAAUCUGAAGUAUGGUUUUUGUUAGCAUAUUUCGAAUCCCUUUAAAGUUUAAAAAUGCAAAUUUUCCACUAUGUAUAGGAUUUAAAAUCGCUUAAGAUAGUUAAACAUGUUCCCCACUUGAUCUGAAUUGGGAAACGGAGAAAUCUGAUAUUUUCCCAUCACAAGGUAGGAUAAGAACUUGUGAUUGAUCUUUAUGGAUUGGACUAAUUAAUUAAUUGGAACCUAAUUAGGCUAAUUAAUUAAUUAAGACCUAAGCAAACUAGUUUAAGUUACACAAGCCUAGGAUGGACUUAAGUGACUUAAGCCCAUGGGAAGCUUAUAUAAACUCCUUUAGGGGUUAGGGUUUCAAACUUUUAUCAUCUAGUCUUCAAUUCCUUAAAGAGAAUAGAACUCGAGCCAACAACUCUCCUAAAGGAUUCUAUUGCUCCGUGUCAAGAUUCGAAAAAAAACUAUUUGAUGGAAGGUUGUUAUGUUUAUGAGAUUCGUUAUGUUUUUUUACACCUUUUCACUAAAUGGAAUUGAUAUAGGAAUGUUCAUAUCUCAAGUGCAACACACUUAUUCUCUUUAGAUUUAUAUUGCUUAUGGUUUUUUUUUUUUUUGUCAUGGUUUUCCGUUAAGAUUAGAUUAAGAGAGCCCUAUGUCAUAGAAUGCUUCAAAUGAGCCUCCCCGGGGGUUUGUAUAGAGCCCAUGAAGCUUCUAGAGACUCCUAUACUUAGCCAUUGGUGGGAAGAGUGUGAAAGGUUCUACAGAUGUCUAGAGAUAUUUACACAUCUCUACACUAUGGUGGAAGGCAUGAGAGGAGUCUAAGGCAUUCUAAAGAAUUAUAAAGAUCUCUUAUAUAUUCUUGUACAUAGGCUUGUACAUAGAAUUGUGUAGGAAGUUAUAGAUUAUUCUUGAGCUGUAAGGAACCCUCCAAGGUUCCAGAGAGUUCCAUUGGUGCCUAUAAAUAGGUGAAUGCCUCAUUUGGCCAAGACACUAAGCAAGUGAAUUCCAAAACACUUGUAAAGCUUCCUUUGAAUAAUAAAAGUUUCAAUUCUUCAAGAGUUGCCUAUUAUGCCUUCUAAAACUUCUAAGUCAUGAGCAUCUUAACCUAACAAGUUAAGCAUUGGGAGUAAUGCUAACUUAGCAAGAUCAAGGAUCUUGACUUGUCUAAGUGUUGCACGAUCUUAGGAAAAGAUUAAGUUUGUGACAGUUGGUUUCAAAGUGUGACUACGAAGUGAGCAUAGUAAAGGAAACAUGUCGAGCUUCAACAUGGAGGAAACUAGUGAGCAAACCCGUGGGAAAGAAACCGAGCCUACUGCAUAGGACAGGGACAUGAAGGAUAAAUCUCGUAAUGCCAUAGCCAACGUGGAGGCAAGGCUAGCCAAGGUGGAGCUAGCCAUGGCAGACACCCGGGAAGGGGUGGACUUAAUCGAGCAAGGCAUGGAAAAUGGCUUAGAGGAUCUAAAUGAGCAUAUCCAAGACCUUCAUGAGAGAGUGCUAGGCUUACAAGUUCGGCCGAUGUCAUAUGAGGAGUUCAUGUCCUUCCAAAACGAGGUCAUGAGCAUGUUUGCUAGCAUGGAGUCGAAGGUGGAGGCCUUGGCUGCACGCAUAGAGGCCCAAGACCAAGAGGUUCAACAAGAGCUAGCUAUCUACAAGACUGUCUUAUCAGCACGAGUCAUGGCCACUCAUGAGGCACUAAGGGUGGAAGUGCCCAAACCACACACGUUCAAUGGCAAGAGGGAUGCCAAGGAGUUGGACAAUUUCUUGUGGCACAUGGAGCUCUACUUUGAGGUUAUAACACUAAUAGAUGAAGCCACUAAGGUAUGUACCACAACCCUCUACCUCACCAAUAAAGCUACUCUAUGGUGGCGUCAGAGGUUUGCCAAUAUAGAAAAAGAAAUGUGCACCAUAGACACAUGGGAUGCCUUUAAGCAAAAGAUCAAAAAACAAUUAUACCUUAAUGAUGUGGCUUACCUAGCAAGGAAAAACACAAAAUGUCUUAAGCACACAGACUCGAUCCGUGAGUAUGUCAAAGAAUUCUCUACACUUAUGCUUGAGAUACCCAACAUGUCUGAGGAAAAGCUACUAUUCAACUUCAUGGACAACUUGCAAAGCUGGGCCGAGCAAGAGUUAAGGAGAAGUGGUGUCCAAGACCUAGCCACGGCCAUGGCGGUAGCGAAGUCCUUGGUGGAAUACAAAAAGGGAGACUCUUUUAAGCCCAAGCCACAGUCUAAGGGUAAUCAUGCUAAAGGUGGGGAAACAAGGGAUCAAGGAGGUACACUCCUAAGGAAUGAUCAAGCAAGACCUCUGGUGGCAAGGAUGGUAAGGGUAAGGAUAAACGGAAAUAGUUCACGCCUAAGAUCAAUUGCUUCCUAUGUGAUGGUCCACAUUGGGCGCGAGACUACCUCAAAAGAAAAGCCCUAAAUGCCAUGAUCGAGGAAAAGUAGAAGGAAGACAAUGCUCAUGUGGGAUCAUUACAACUCUUAAAUGAUAUCAAGGCUAAGUCAGUGCUUAAGACACCUCAAAGUAAAAGUCUAAUGUACAUAGAAGCCCUUGUAAAUAGGAAGGCUACCAAGGCUUUGGUGGACACUAGUGUCACUCAUAACUUUGUCUCGAAGGAUAAGACAAAGAACUUAGAGCUCCAAGCAUCUAAGGAAGGAGGUUGGCUCAAGGCAAUUAAUUAAGUUUCCAAGCCAUCACACGAAGUAGCACGCAGGGUGGCAAUGCACAUUGGCUCAUGGGAAGGAAUGGUCGACUUCACAGUGGCACCCAUGGACUACUUCAAGAUGGUACUGGGAAUGAACUUCCUAUAGAAAGACAAGGUCAUGCCACUACACUUCCUACAUUUAAUGGUUAUCCUAGAGGAUGAAAAGUCAUGCAUAGUCCUUACGGUCACCGAAGGUUCACCCAAGACCCCUAUGAUAUCGGUUAUGCAAGUAAAGAAGGGAUCAAAGAGGAAAGAGGUGACCUACCUCACCACUCUUAAGGAGGAAAAUGAUGAUGAGUUGGGGGAGCCCAUGCCUAAGGAAAUCAAGAGAGUCUUUGAUGAGUUCAAGGACGUGAUGUUGCCUAAGUUGCCUAAAAGACUCCUUCCUAGAAGAGAGAAAGAUCAUAAGAUCGAGUUAGAUGCAGGAACUAAGCCCCUUGCUAUGGGGCCAUAUAGGAUGGCACAACCCAAGCUGAAAGAGCUAAGGAAACAACUUAAGGAGUUGUUGGAUGCAGGGUUUAUCCAACCAUCCAAGACUCCCUAUGGCGCACCGAUUUUAUUUCAAAAGAACCAUGAUGGGUCCCUACAGAUGUGCAUCGAUUACCAAGCACUCAAUAAGGUAACAAUAUAGAAUAAGUACCCCAUUCCACUCAUUGUUGAUCUAUUUGAUCAACUUGGUAAAGCAAGGUAUUUCACUAAGUUGGACUUGAGAUCAGGCUACUACCAAGUGAGGAUUGUGGAAGGAGACAAACUGAAGACUACAUGUGUGACCCGAUAUGGCUCAUAUGAGUUCUUAGUGAUGCUCUUCGAUCUCACCAAUGUACCAACAAUGUUUUGGACACUCAUGAAUAAGAUCUUCCAUCCCUAUUUAGACUAGUUUGUGGUGGUAUACUAAGAUGACAUAGUCAUCUACAAUAGCAUCUUAGAGGAGCACGUGGAGCAUUUAAGGAAGGUCUUCAAGAUCUUAAGGUAAAACGAGUUAUAUGUAAAGAAGAAGAAAUGCUCAUUUGUUAAAGAGGAUGUGAGCUUCCUAGGGCAUCGCAUCAAAGAUGGCAAGCUGAUGAUGGAUGACAACAAGAUGAAGGUCAUCUAGGAAUGGGAUCCACCUACUAAGGUACCUCAACUAAAGUCUUUCCUUGGCUUGGCUAACUAUUACCAGUGGUUCAUCAAGGGUUACUCUACAAAGACAGCUUCACUCACUAAUCUUCUUAAGAAGAACAAGGCAUGGGUGUGAGACAAAAGGUGGCAACAAGCCUUUGAAGAUCUAAAAAGUGUUGUGAUUGAGGAGCCAAUGUUGGCAUUACCCAACCACAUGAAGGUUUUUAAGAUACACACAGAUGCCUCAAACUUUGCUAUUAGGGAAGUUCUGAUAAGAUAGACAUCUAAUCGCCUUCAAGAGUUGCAAGCUAAAUGACAUAGAGAGACGCUACAUGGUACAAGAAAAUGAUAUGACUGUCAUUGUCUAUUACUUGCACACCUGAAGACACUAUCUUCUAGGGUCUCACUUCAUAGUGAAAACCGACAAUGUUGUCAUUAGUUACUUCUAAACACAGAAAAGUCCUAAGUAAGCUAGGUGGCAAGACUUUCUGGUUGAGUUUGACGAUGCGCUGGAGUAUAAGACAAAAAGUACUAAUCAUGUGAAUGACGCCCUAAGCCGUAAUGUAGAGCUAGCAUUCAUGACGAGCCAGCCCCAAUGAGACAUAAUAGAUCUUCUAAGAGAGGGGUUGCAACAUGAUCUAGUGGCUAAGAGCCUUAUUACCUUGGCCCAUGAGGGAAAAACUAAGUGUUUUUAGGUAGAGGACGACCUACUCUACACUAAGGGGAGACUACUCUACGUGCUUAAGUGGGGGAACAUAAGGUAGAACUUGAUUAAGGAGUGCCAUGACACCAAGUGGGUUGGGCACCUUGGGCAACGACGCAUAAAGAGCACUACUCGAGUCAGCUUACUACUGAUCUUAGAUACAAGAUGAAGUUGAGGCAUAUGUGAGGACUUGUCUUGUGUGCUAACAAGACAAGGUAAAACAACAACAACCUAGAGGCUUGUUGGAGCCACUACCUAUAGCAGAGCGUCCAUGGGAGAGCAUCACCAUGGACUUCAUCAUCGGGCUACCUAAGUUGGAGGGCUAUGGCUCGAUCAUAGUGGUAGUGGAUAUGUUCUCUAAGUAUGUGACCUUCAUAGUAGCCUCUACUGACUGUACUGCAAAGGAGACAGCAAGGCUAUUCUUGAAACACAUGGUCAAAUACUGGGGGUCGCCUAAUUACAUCAUCAGUGAUCGCGAUUUGCAUUUCACUAGGAAGUUUUGGACAAAGCUCUUUAAGCUUAUGGGUUUGAAGCUUCACUUCUUCACAAGCUUUUCACCCGUAAACAGAUAGGCAGAUUGAGAGGGUGAACGCCUUAUUAGAGUUAUACUUAUCCUUCAUGAGUGUCAACCAAAAGGAAUGGACUAAGUUGCUAGAUGUAAUCCAAUUUUCAUACAACUUGCAAAGAAGUGAGACAACCAACAAGAGCCCGUUCAAGCUAGCCAUAGGGCAGCAACCAUUGACUCCUCACACACUACCAAUAGGCUAUACGAAGAGAAGUUCAGCGGCUUUGAAGUUCACUAAGGGGUGACACGAGCCAACUGACAUAAUAGCUCAUACUUGGAUAGGGCCGCUAGAAAGAUGAAGAAGUGGGCUGACAAAAAGCGACAUCACACUGAGUACAAGGUCGGAGACAUGGUCUUUGUCAAGCUCCUUCCUAAAAAAUUCAAGUCACUAAGGCCGGUACAUAAAGGCCUUAUGAUGAGGUAUAAAGGACAUUUCCCCAUACUUGGAAAGGUCGGCAAGGUGUCCUAUAGAGUUGAGUUACCACCGAGGUUGAAGAUUCAUAUCGUCUUCCACGUAAGUUACAUAAAAUCAUAUCACGAAGACAAGAAUUAUCCAAGCCAAGGGAUGUCCUAGAUGACACCUACAUCGAUUAUGACCUUCUAUGACAAGGAAGUAGAACACAUCAUUGCAGGCUGAGUCAUCAAGAGAUGAGGCGUGCCUCCUGCUACGGAGUACUUGGUGAAAUGGAAGGGACUACCAGAGAACGAGACUAGCUGGGAGCCAAUAGAUGCACUAUGGCAAUUUCAGGAGCACAUUAAGUGGUUCUAGGUGGAAGGUGCGACAAGGACGUUUACGGUUUAGGUAGGGGAGAGUGUCAUAGAAUGCUUCAAAUGAGCCUCCCCAGGGGUUUAUAUAGAGCCUAAGAAGCUUUUGGAGACUCCUACACUUAGUCAUUGGUGGGAAAAUGGUGGAAGGUUCUAAAGAUGUCUAAAGAUAUCCACACAUCUCUACACUAUGGUGGAAGGUAUGAGAGAAGUCCAAGGCUUUCUAGAAAAUUCUAGAGAUCUCUUGUAUAUUCUUGUACAUAGGCUUGUACAUAGAAUUGUGUAGGAAGUUUUAGAUUAUUCUUGAGUUGUAAGGAACCCUCCAAGAUUCCAAAGAGUUUCAUUGGUGCCUAUAAAUAGGUGAAGGCCUCAUUUGGCCAAGGCACCAAGCAAGUGAGUUCCAAAGCACUUGUAAAGCUUCUUUUAAGUAAUAAAAGCUUCCAUCCUUCAAGAUUUAUCUACUACGCCUUAUAAAGCUUUCAAGUUGUGAGCAUCUUAACCUAGCAAGCUGAGCAUUGGGAGCAAAACUGACUUAGCAAGAUCAAGGGUCUUGACUUGUCUAAGUGUCGCACGAGCUUAGGAAAAGACUAAGUUCAUGACACCUAGGACUAGUAGCAUGCACCCUAAGUAAUCCAAGGCUAGAAAUGAAAUGAUACAAGGAUUCCCAACACUUGACUUAAUUCCUUAGAAAUUGAAACUCAAUAAAAAACAUUAGUGUCAUUAACCUCAUUUUUUUUAUUACCAAUACUUAAUUAGGGGAAACCUUGAGCUAACAACCUCCUCAUUUUUUAUGAUGAUAAAACUGUACCAUCUAAAGAAAGCUUUCCUUAAUGUAUGCAUAUUAUAAGCAAUUUAAACAUUCAUCAUAAAAGAUGGAAAACAUAAACUCAAAUGGAGACAUGGAUAUAUAGAUAUAAGAGACAUCAUAAAGGUUGCAACAUGAUCGUAUAUCCGAAAUAGCAUCCAAAAGCAUGUCAUCCAAAAAAAAAUCAACCAUAAUAACCAUGUUCAAAUUGUCCCAAAAAGGAAAAAAAUAUAUAUAUGAAACAAAAAGUAUUAAAUAGUUUACUAAAUGUUAUGCCCUAGAUACCUAAAGAUAUCUCCCCCUUAGGCAACAUCGAAACAAUGAGGGAACUAUAUGGCUCAAGGUUGAGGUGGUGGAAACAAGGAACAUAGGACAGCUAUUGAAGAAGCUAAAAUUCUUCAUAAAUGAUUGAAUUUUAUUUCACCAUGAGAAACAAUACAAAGAGGGAUUUUUUUUUUUUUUUUUUUUUUUUUAUCAAGGGGAAGACCCCUUUCUCUUUACUACUUAUCCCUUUUAAUAAAAAUUCUUCCACAUUUUUCCACUUUAUUUUGCCAACAUUCUUUCAACCCCUUUUGCACAAAAAUGCCAAAGAUAGUAUUAGGAUAACCUUUUACAACCAUUGCUAACUUUUGACACAAGUUGCUAAAAAUUGUUGAAGAUUUGCUUUUAAUGUCAGGUAGGAUAGCAGAUUGGUUCUAAUUGAAGGUCAUUUCUUGUGGAGGACCUUACUUAUAAGUGAGAUGAUUGUUCCUAUCUUCAUGGUUUUAUGUUGUAUAGUUAUAGAGACUUUUUAGAGGCUAUCAGCUUUAGAGCAAAUUUAUGUUGUUUGUUAGGGAUUAAGUAUUUUAUUCAAAUUGGGUGAAUGGUACUACCUCUUUACUUGAGAUGGCUUUGAGAUUGGGUGGUUGAAUAGUAGUACUUUGGAAUGGUCUAGUUUUUGUUCGCUUUAGCUAUCAUUUUCUUAUGCUGUGUCUAUAGACGAGUGGAGACGUCAUUUGGAAAUUGGUCAAAUUGCCCGUGAAAUUGAUCAAAUUGUCAAGUUGUCAUCCUAAAAUUGACUAAACCUAGUUUGUAAAAAUGAGAAACGACCGUCACUAGCGACUAACAUCUUCUCAAGCUAAGUAUUAAUAGAUCCAAUCUGAGCAUAAAGGGCAUCUUAAUGUUGCAGGUUCAAUGCUCAUGAAGCAUAAUAUUUUGGAUACUUGGUGUGAGACACCUCAGCAUAAGUCUAAUCCAUAAGGAUAGUCUCCUCAGGAGGUUGAGAUGUGGGCAAUUGAAUGGUGGCAUCCAUGCCCUUGGUUUGCAUCUCCUGUUGAACAUCCUCACCCCCUAAUCCUUUAUGGUCACCCUCAGUCUCUAUCUAUAGAAUCUCUGCCUCUUACUCAACCCGGUCUUCAUUCAUAGCAGGACCCUUUCUUUUUCUUUCCAAUGAUCCAUUAGGCAAUUUCUCAAACAGCAUUCGGUCUGGAUUUUACGUUAUAGGUAUCAUAGGAUGAGGCCUGAAUGUUUUUUUCUCUUCUUAUGUCCACAUUGAAUGCUUUCAGGAUUUUUGUGAUCAGUCUUCUUCCGUUGGCCACUACUUUAGAAUUGCUUUUACAACAGUUUUUCAUGUGUUGAAAGAUGAUAAGGAAACCUUAGAAUGGAUCGGAGUCAAUAGAAAAUGCUACAUAAUAGGACACCUUGUCUCUAUGUCCACCCUUAGGUAGAAAAAUAUGUUUGAUCAUGUGGUGGUGCACCCUAGAGAUAAUGCUCAAGGCAUGGGCAUGGAGCUUUGAAGUCACUGUGUCGAUGGGUAAGUUACAUAUCCUCUAGAAAGCCCUACCUAGGUUAAAACUAGACACUAUAGGCCAUCCCUUCGUCUCAAAUAAACAAAGUCCCCCACAAAGGAUCUCCAAAAUAUCACAAAGCAUAUCAAUAUUUAGUUUAAUUCAACUCCUCUAACAAAUGUGCUAAUUGGCCUUCAUAUAUUUUAGGUUCAAGUAAAAUACCUGAACAAGGUUGGGGUAUGUAGGCUCUCUUGAUGAGAUGGUAUUGGUGAGUAUUUUUUUUUCUUCAAUACAAAACUAUUACAACACUUGGUUUUUUUUUUUUCUAAAAAAAAAAGAAAAAUAAAAAUAGUUUUAUAUUAUACUUAGUUUCAAGAAAAAUAAUAAUCAAAGCAAAAUGAAAAAAAAAUUCUCAUAUUGGUUUCUCGUGAAAAAUAUAAAAGCAAAUAAAAUACAAUUAAAAUUAAUUAAAAUCUUAUGUAUUUUUAAAUUAUUAAUUUUUAUAUAAAAAAUGAAAAAUAGUAUAAUGAAUUUAGAAGAAUAUAUAAAAAUAAUGUAUUAACUUUAAAUCUUUUUUUCUUUAUAUAUAUAUUUUCCCUUCAAUUUUCUAAUACCAACACAUAAUAAGGUUAAUGUCUUCUAGCCAACCAAUUGUAAGUCAAUUUUCAUAGAGCUUUUUUUUUUUUUUUUUUUUACAUGCCACCAAGUAGUUAUAUAAGCAUUUUUGCAUGUUAUUGUUAUCCAACAUACAAUAACUAUAACAUCCAAUUAUUAUGAACAUGAACAAUAAAAUUAGAUGCAACUAACUAUUUAGUGUAUAACAAGAAGUUGGUGAAGUAAUUCAUCCUAACAUGAUUCAACAAUUUUUGUUUAUUUUUCAAGAUUAAUUAUAACAUACCCAUUCUAUUAAAGUUGUUGAGAUAUUUGAGCAAAACUAAAAAUCAACAUUAAUUCAUUUUAUACCCACAAGAGAAAUAAGAUUUGUUUUUUUGUUUGAUAAUAAAGUAGUUGUAGUUAUUAAUGAUAAUUUUGAUCCUAAUUUAAUAGGUAUCCAAAAAAAAAGGAAAAAUGCAAGUAAACCAAUUCUUAUCUAACACAAUUAUUACCACCUUAAAAUCCUGAGGGGUAGCUCAGUUGAUCAGUUCGAGUCCCUUUAGGACCAUGAAAAGCUUACCCGAUGGUUCACCUUAAGAAAAGCAAAGCAUUUAUAUAAUUCAACUGGUAGUUGAUAAGUCUUAGAAAGGGUUUUGCCAUCAUUGGCUUCUCAGUAAAGGGCAAAUUUGGGUUGUGGCUGACAAUUAUUGAAUUUGUGAAGAAAUAUGUGAAGAAAGGAAACAAAAAGAGUUGAGGACAGAAUUCUUCAAUUAAAAAAUGGUUAGCCCAUGAACCCAUUCUUCAAACAGUAAGCCAAUGAGCCAAUGAGCCAAAAAGAAAGAAGAACAGCUGGUUUCAUCUUUUUAUCUUAAUGACUUUGACAACCCAUCUUUCUUUUAAAUACUUGUGACUUUGGAAUAUAAUUAAAAUGAAACUUUGGAAUGCCCACAUCUGAUUCACGGCCUUUUUACCUGUUUUCUUGUUUAACAUUUUUUUAAAUAUUAUAACAGAUGGAAAAACAUGAUUCUAACAGGCUGGAAAAUAGUGGAAGUUGGAACACCAACCAUAACCAAACUAUACCUUCCAUCUUUCUCCAACACUCGGAAUUAUUGAUACAAGUUGGUGGUUUUAUGAUUGUUUCUAUUGAGGGGACCCCUCUCCAUUUCCAAUUUCAAUGGAAAGGUUCUUCUUUCCCUACUUUUUUUUUUUGUUUUUCAAAUUCUUGUAGUUUUGUCUGUCUCUCUCAACAAAGCAAACUGCAAUCACUAAUUCAAAGAAAAGGAAUCCUAAAUGAAAAGAAAAGAAAGGAAAGGAAUGGUAAUUUAGGCUAUGAUGAUGCUCCUAUAUAAUGGCUGUAAGUCAAUAACAACACACUGGACCCGCCUCCUAUCUCAAAAGAUCACAAACCCAAAUAUCAUAUACUUCCAAAUUUCAAUUUGGUUCCCUGUUUAUAUCACAAUCUGUCCUAUAUCCUCUUAAUACAUCUAAAAUCUCUCUAUAUCAUAAAAAUAAUGAUGGAAAAAAAAAUUAAAAAGAAAGAAGGAAAAAAUGACAAAAAAAAAAAAACCUUGGUGCUGCUAUGGGUCCAUAGGAAUUGGCAGGACUGCACUUCUGGAUCCCCUUCCAUGGCCAAAAGAAAAGAAUGAUCUUCGGAAUCUGCUGCUGCAACCUUCACUAGGGCUGAAGUCACUGACAGGCCUGUUCUGUUGCAAAAUCUCUUGAAUUGCUAAAUACAGCUGCCUGUCGUUGGAUGAGUCCAUUGAAAAAGACCUCCUGAUGGGUUGGAUUGAGAACUGAUCAUCUUUGCCUCUAGUGUCAAUGCACUCAUCACCCAUGCUUGCAACAUGAUGAAACUUCCUUGCCUUUUUAGGCACAAUUCUCUGCUCUAGCUUCCUAGGUGAUGGACUAAUUGAUGGCGCAGAUAACUCUCUGGAAUUCAGUCUUUCUGGUGGCCUAAGCAGUGAUGAAUCAGCAGAACUAUCAUUUCCCAAUUCAAUUACUACAAAAUCUUCAUCCCCUCCUAUGUAAUUAUUGGCGUAGGGGCUUGGAUCUUGGGGGGAAGAGCUAGGAGCAAUGAUUUGGUGAACAGGAAACCGGGGUGUGGUUGAAAUGCUUGUUCUGCAAAGUGGGCAAUUAGCAUUGCUUUGAAGCCACACGUCUAUGCAAUCUAUAUGAAAUAUGUGACUGCAGUUUGGUAUGAUUCUUAGCUUCUCUUCUUCUUGAAACUCAUUCAAGCAAACCGCACACUCGCAAUGGCUUCUUUCUCCAAACUCUCUGCCACCUCCUUUCCUGAACUGGAAUAUUGGGAUUGAUCUGAUGACUGACUCGUCCAGGCCUCGACUCUCGAUUGCUGGGGAGUACACCAUUAAAGGGUCUUCCGGGUGCCGACUCCUUGAGAAAGAAAAUCGUCUCAGCAGAUCAAUCCGGUGCCAAUUGAGGCAGCAUUUGAUUACAAAGAUGUAGUAGCUCACCAGCAAGAAAGCAGUGGCCAGGAUUCCUAUUACGGCAAUGGCUAUAAUGGGGAAACUGGUGUCCGAGGAAUGAGAGGGAGAAGGAAGCACUGAGCUCGCCUGGCUUUUGAUGGGAGAAAAGGCUUGUGAUCCAUGGAUGGAGGAGUCUGUGCUCACAAGAUCCAUGAGAGAGGCUAUGAAAAACAUUUAGAAAUGAGUCUAUUCGGAUCUUCAAUUCACAGAAACAUGCAAAUGCUAGAAUAAAAUCGACAGACACUCAGAUAUAGACCCUACAGUUGUAAUGCAGCAUACCAUAAAUGUGAUUGAGUGAGUGAGGCUGAAACAGCAAAUGGGUCACUUCAAGAUCUCAACAAGACAGAAAACCCAUGUUGAAUUCACCAGGAGAGUAUUGAAAAGGGAAAAAUUAAGGACAUAUAGCUGUAUUGAAAGUUGAAACAAAUGCAGAAACAUAGAGAAGAGAGAGAGAGGGAGAAAACCCAGGAGGGUUGAAUGAGAGCGCUGCUGGGGAAGACAUCAAAACGCUUCAAAUUCAAUGAGAAUCUGUUGGGGACCUCUUUAAGAGGACUGCACAAAGCCUGAGCGUAGGGUACGUGGUUGGUUGGUGAAUUUCUCGGCUUCCAAAAGAGAAAUUUGGUGAGAAAAUUUUCAAGUCUCUUGAUUAUAGUAACGUAGCGUUUAUUUUAAUUUUAUGUAACCGAAACUAAUGGGCUGGUUCAAAAAAAUAAAAAAUAAAAAAAGGAACUUUCUAGGAUAGGCCAGCAGUCCACCGUUGGUCAUGUGGUUUCUUUUGCAUGUCCACAUCUUCCAACUAGUGGAGGUCCCUGUCACAACAGUAAGAAAACACCCAAUUGAAUAAAAGUAUGAACUUUUGGCUCCCAAUAUUACUUAUGCCCUCAUUCAAUACCUCAAAUAAAGCAGAGAUUUUGUGUCCCAACUUUUAUGAUUUCAUUUCAUCUUACUUCAAAUGCUAAUGACAAAAGUCCAAGUAUAUUCUGUAAUCACCCACACCCCAAUAGUUUUGAAUCACACUUGAAAUAGUUCCCAUGCUUUCUUAAUAAUUUAGAUAAUUAUUUACAGAAAAAAAAAUUCAGAACAGGAUGAUAAUCAUUUUGUGAUAGCAUGGAAGAAACUUUACUAGCCACUUUGGCCCCAUGAAGUUGAGUACUUGAUGCCAAUUAAUGGCAGGGUGGAAAAUAGAGAAAAGGGAUCAUAGUCAAAUCUAGAGUACAAGGCAUUGAAUCUUUGUUAAUAAUUAACAAAUGGGUAAAGCAUGGGUCACAGGGUCUACAGUUUGGAUUGCAAAAACCUCAGGCUUCUAUAAAAAGCUCAUCCAUUAUCAAUCAUCAAUCUGAAAGCCAGAAAGUCCAAGGCACAUGCAACCCACGACAGGGGUAAGAUUUCUGCAUCAUGUCCCUGAGUUGCAUUCACAUCAUAUGUUUCCCUCCGGGCCGUUCCAAUUUGAAAUCUCAUGGAAAUCUUCAAGAGCAAGGCUACAGAGUUUAAGAUAAUACUAGGGGUGGGUCCUGAUGGGAAAAGAGGUAGUGUAGGAUAGUCAAUAAAGGGCAUGUGUCUCUGGUGUGAAGUCAAAUCCAGUGUACCAUCCUCAAUGGAAAAUUUAGAAAUAGAACCGACACUCUACAGACUGCCGUGUUGACAGAUUAGAGAAAGACAAACCCACUUACACUUGCCUCAAAACCCAGUCCUGCCAUUUCAAAGGCAAAAAAAAAGGGUUUCUUUUUAUAGUCAAAGGUUGAGGCCUGGCCUGGCCUAGCAAAGAAACUUCACCUACUCUUUUCUUAUUUUUCAAAUUAAGGCCAUUCAACUUUUCCUGUUUGCAGGCUUGCUGCCAUAUCUUACUCCAAAAAAGGUGAAAACCCAAAAGAAAAAGAGUGUUUGCUUCAAUGGAAAACUCAUGUUUAAUAAAUUCACCGCACGAGUUUUGUUCCAGCUUUUCCUAUGAAAGCUGUGAUGCGUUUGGUAUGAAGUUGAUUUUGUUCCUAAAAAUUUUGAUCUUGGCGUGGAAGGCAACUUUUUCCUUUUCCCCCUUUUUCUUUUUGAAAAGUUCGGCAUUAGUUACCAAAUGUCCUUUUACUUGCAUGUAGGACAGCGGAAGCAUUACACAUCGCAGCAAAAUCCCAUUUACCCGAAUUUUCCACUAACUCUUUUUAUUUUUUACCAUCAUUUUUUAAUAGAAGUGAUGCACUCUUCAAAUUACAUGAAGCUUUUAAGAAGGUAAUAACCCGUUUCAAAGCGAACUUAACCUACAGAGUAUGUUUUAAAAAUAUUUAGGUAUUUGAUAAAAUUUAAAAAAUAUUUUUUAAAAUCUUUAAAAUGAUUUGUAAUAUUGAAAAUUUAUUUAUACUUUUUUUAAUAAAAAAACAUUUUAUAGGUAAUUUUUCUAAAAUACUUUUAGAGAAAAUGUCUUCCCUUCACUAUAAAUAUUAUAUACUAUCAAAUACACUUUAAAAAUCUGUUUAACAAUAAUUUUAUAAAGUGUUUUUAAUUUUAAAAAUAUUUUUAAAAACAAAUUAAAUUUUUGAUAAAAUUUAAAAAAUCUUUUUAAAAAUUUUGAAAAAUAUCUCGUAAUAUUAAAAAAUAUAUAUAUUUAUAAUGUUUUUUAUAUAAAUACUCAAAAUUCAUUUAAUAGUGAUUUUAGGAAAUGUUUUUAAUAUUUCUAAUACUUGAAAAUUUUUUAUCAUUUAAGUAUUAAAAAUAUUAAAAACACUUUAUAAAAUCACUUUCAAAUGGACUCUUAAUGAUUUUACUAAAAACACUUUUCAUAGAAAACAUUUAUAAAAAAUAAUUAUGAAAUACACUCUAAAUUAAGUAAAAGUUGUUUUUAACAUUACCACUAUUUAUUAAUAGUGCAUUUGUUUAAAAUAUUUAUAUGAAAAAUUCAUUAGGGUGGGAUAUAAAUAUAGAAGUGUUUUUCUUUAUAUAUUUUUUAUAAUAAAAAAUGAUUUUUGAAAUUAUAAAAUUUGAAUUUAAGAAUCAUUUGAUAAUAAUUUUUGUUAAAGCACCUUUAAUACGUGGUGCUUCUAUUGAUAGCGCUUUCAUUUCUAUGAAUGGCUAUAAAUUAUAUUUGAAUAAAUUUUUUAUAAUGUAUUAUAUAAUAAAAAAAAAGUCAUUUUUAAAAAAAUUAUACAUUAAAUGAUUAUUCAAAUAGUAUUUCCUAAAUUUUAUUAAACAUUUUUUUCAAAAAAAAAAAAAAAGUUUUCAAAUACUAGAAAACGUUUUUAAUCUCUCACACGAUCACAUCCAAACAAGUCCUAAUGCUACUCCUAGAAACACUCCAAAACAAAAGUCUUCCUCUAUUAAUGUUCAUAAAAUCCACAUAUAUUCUUCCAUCGUUUUUUCAAAAUUCAAAAUCAUUUCUAAAACAUCAAAUCAUGUUCUUUGGAUUGGCUGACUUGUUUUUUGAAAAUAGAAGGCUCAUUAUUGACGUCCGUUGACUUCAUAACCCAGUCUUGAUCUCUUGAUGGAGGGCAUAAAUGUAAAUUGGACGAAACCCUAGGGUGCGCUAGAGUGUAGAGGAUGAAAGGUUGGAAAAAGGAUGAGGUGGGGGUGUAAUAAAGAGGAGGGUUGGGAGAAUGGGACAUGUGUAGGUGAAGCAUUAAAUUCAAGACUAUGCUUACCAACAACAUAUAAAUAAAUAAAUAAAUAAAUAUAGGAACAGCACAUGGGGUGAGUAGGAGACAUCAGAAGAUGUGAACAACCCCUUGUCAGUCCAAUUUGCGUCUUUUAUCUACUCUAUUAUCUAUAUCGAUUUUCGUAUUUAUUUAUUUAUUUAUUUAUUUUUACCAUUUGAUUUUGCAUGGAUGUCGAAGGGUUUAUUGGCUGCCACGUGUAGGGUUAUGGUCAAGAUCACGUGGGGUGCCUACAUGGGAGUCACGUGAGUGCAUGAGGCAGGCUUGAAUUGCAGGAGGAGCAGGAGCAGAGCAGUGGCUGUUGUCUUAAGACUUUGCUCUCUUGGUGGAACUGCAGCUUAAGCAGCAUCCACGUGUUGUCACGUGCAAUGCGAGCCAUCCACACCACCAGUUUCUUUUUAGUGAUUUUCUAAAGUCAGUUAAGGUUGCAGUCAAUACCUUCAAAUGUUGACAGAGUUAGGGAUCUUUGUUAAAUGGAUUUUAUUAAGAUAUUAGUAAGUUAAUUAAUUGAGGGUCAACAUAACAGAUGGGUCGGGUUGGGUUGAAUCUGAAUUUAAAACGAUUUAAUUUAUGUUUAAUCAAAUUUAACAUUUAACUCGAAGCACUCAACUUAAGUUUAAUUGAAUCUUAGUUUUCAAAACAUUAUUUAAAUUUGGGUCAUUUGGAUUAAAGUCAAAUGGGUUAGAUUAAUCGGGUUAUAUGGUUCAAAAUCCACUUACCUUAUUUUUUAUACAUUAAUAUUAAAAUUUAAAUAAAAAAUAUUAGAAGAAAUUUCAAACUUGGGAUUAGUUGAUUGUAGCCAUGCAUUUGGAUGUUGGUAUUCUUGUUUCUUGUCUUGUUUCCAAAUACCCUUUCAAAUCGCUUUGUUAUUCAAUAGCAUCCUCCCGAUCAUUUAAAAAUUUAAAGAGCAUUGGUAUGAUGGAGGAAUUCAGAAAUUUUAGUUGAAUAAGUAAAAUUUUUCUCUCAUAAAACCAAAUAGCCUCUAUAGCUCAGUGGUAGAGCGUCAGUCUUGUAAACUGAAGGUCUGUAGUUCGAUCCUGCAUGGAGGCAACUUUUUAUAUUUCAUGAUCCAUUAUGCUCUAGUGAUUUAGUUUUCAUUAUAAUUUUAGAUUAAAAAAUUACAUCAACAUUUGAUAAGUUGGUUAUGACUUUGAUAUAAGGAUGAAACUAUCAAUAAUAUAUAUAAAUAUUUUGACACAAAAUAUCUAAUAUAUUAAAAAAUUAAAAAAAAACUCUAAAAAACAUUAUAAAAUUAUAUAUAUAAUUUAUCAUAUUUAAUAAUAAUAUCUUCUACCCUAAUAAAAAAUAUAAAUUUUAUAAGCAUACAUUUAUUAUUACAUUGUAUUAUAUAUUAUUUUACAAGAAUAUUAUGAUAACAUGUCUAAUUUUAAAAUAUAUUUAAUAUUAAAAUUAUCAUCAAUUUUAAUUUAAAUGUAUUUAAUGAUAUCAAAUAAUAUAUAUAUAUAUAAUUUUUUAAUAUUUAUAUAUUUUUAUAUUUAAUAAAUAUAUAAAUUAUGUAAAAAAAAAAGACCUAUUAAGAAGAUUAUGUUUUUAUAUUUGGAUCAAAAUUAAGUUUUUCCGAUAAAAUAUAUGAAACUAUUGAUAAAUUAUUGAUUGAAACGUGAAAAAAAAAAUUCAAAAAAUAGAUGAGAUAUUAGUAAAAUAUCCGAAAAUAUUGAUUGAUGAAUAUAUCAUUUCAAAUUUUGCAUCAACAUCCACAUAUGUUGGAUAUAUUGGCCAAAUAUAUUUAAACCUUGUUUCCAUGAGAAGUCUUUCCUUCAACAAUUUCAAAAGGUUAAUGAGGUGGUUUCCAAGAGAUGUGUGUAGGGGUCUCCAACGGGCGGGCCGGGCCAGCGGGCUUUUUGAAAUAAGCCAAAAUGGCUUUCAAAAAAGGGAAGGGAGAGGAUUUAAACCCCUUCCUUCAUGCUUAAAUUUCAAGGUUCUAACCAAUUGAACUACAUUCCUUUAAUGUUUAUUAAUUGAGUUAGUUAUAUAUAUAUAUAAAAAUAAAGUAUAUUAUUUUUUAAAGGGGCGGGCCUACGGGCUGGGCCGGGCCGAAAGCGGGCCACGGGCCACGGGCUUUUUGGAGACCCUUGGAUGUGUGCAAUCACAUUUGGUAUUAUAGGUGACAAAGUUUGAUAAAUGAGUAAUUAUUAGGUUAACUUAUAAAAUCCGAAUUUGAUUUAAAUUGAUUCAUUUAAUAAUCCCAUUUAUUUACCCAAUUAAAACUUUAAAUUAUUUAACUUAUAUUUAAUUUAAUUAAAAUUUGUUUUUAAAUAAAUAGAUCAAUUAAAACAUAAACAUAUUUGAUUGAAACAUUAAUAAUAUAGAUUUAAAUAAGACCUAAUUCAACCUAACGAUCAAAUAGAAAUAUCUAAUUAUUAAAUAAAUUAAACAUGUUACUUGCUUAAUAAUUAUGUGACAUUUGAAUUUAUGCUUUUGAUAUAAUUAUUAUUUAUAUCAGGUUUAUAUAAUGAAAUAUCUAGACUUUGACACCAGUCAACAUUGUCCACCAAUACAGAUUGCAACUCUUAUAUGCUACAUCACAUCAUGUUGAAGGAAGAGGAUGACGUUCAUUGGCAGCAGAGCCUCCAAUCAUAAGGAGCUUGAGCAAAUUCAAUCUCAACACUGAAAUUCACUAGAAAAAAAGUUUAUUAUUGAUACUUCAUUUGUGUAAAAGCAUUAUAUUUCUUGCAUCAAUCGUAAAGCAUGACAUUCCAGUAGGUACGGAAGAGAAAAUUUGUUAUGAAUUGAAAAAUCUGUCAAGCUUAAUUUGGAGGGCCCAAAAUUGACACGUUUAAGAGCUCUAUCAUUAGCCCAAUGAUAAGAGUCCAUUUCUUGAGUUUCAAGGAAGGCCCAAGUUUAACUUAGAGGGCCCAAUCUUGGUACCUUCUAAAAGGUGCAAACUUUGGCCCAAUUAUAAAAGCUUAUCCUUGCUUCCUAAGCAUCAAUGAUAUAUUUGAUCGAAGUAUUCACAUAACUAUCACGAAAUGAAAUGAAAUGAAAAUGUAUAAGUAAAUGAUGAUUUUGAGUUAUUUACUGACAAUAAAGAAUUAGGUGGUGUUUGUUUUUUUUUUUUUGGCUUUUUACUAAAAGCAAUUUGUUUUCAGAAUUUAGGUUAUUUAUUUUUCUAUUUUUUCAUGACUUAUUAUAAACUUUUUACUAAAUAAGAAAAUCCAAAAUAUAUAGUUUUUUCUAAAUAGAAAAAAUAACAUAUUGGUUUUCUUUUUUUUUUACUUUUUAAUAUUUAAUAGAAAUAAAAUAUUAUAAAAACAAACAACCUAAUAUUUAACACUAUUAAGUAUUAAGGUUUUAUUUAGAAUUAAGUAAAAAAACAAACACUACCUUAAAAUGAAAAGUAUGUAUAAUGACCUUAUACAAAAAAAGUCUCAUUAUUUUCUUCCAAAGAACUCAUACUUUUGUUUUUCAACUAUUACUUUGUUUUUAUUUUUUAAAUAAUAUUUCAAGUUUUUUUUAAUAAUACCUUUCUCUUUAUUAGAUAAUUUUAAUGACUUUAAAAGUAUUUUAAUAUAUUAAUUUAUUAUAUAAUUUUAAUGAUUUAAAAAUAUUUAAAUGUUGAAAUAUUUAUUUUCAAGUCUAAUUUUAAUUAUUUAUUUUUUGAAGUAUUUAAAUAUAUAAUAAAUGUGGGAUUAUGUAAAUCUAGUUGUAAUUAUUUAUUUCAUUCUAUUCAUGUUUUUAGUUGAAUUUGCUCAAAAUUUACACCUCUUUAUUUAAAGAUCAUGGAUUAGUUAGGUGUCUUGAGAUUUUUUUUCUCUCAAGACACUACUUGUUACACUAGAAAAUAAUUUGUGGCUAUAUUUUUUAGGCAAAAAGAAUUAUAUGUUAAAACUUCCUUUAUUGACUAGUUUAUCAUAGGGUGUAGAGGAAAGUUUGUGAUGUCUUUUUAUGUCAACUUUGGGAGAAAAAUAUCACUUUAGCAUUUUCCUUAGAAAAUUUUCAUACAUAAUUGAUUUUGGAACUAUGGAGGAGCAUAAGUAGGGAUAGAUAAUUCGAUUUUGGAAAAAUUAUAAUAGCUUUUCAACUUGGUGUUAAUGAUAUAUUGUUUAUUUCUUAUUUUUUUUCCAUUUUAAUAUAUAAUUGGGGAUUUUAAACUUGUAGAACAAGGCUUUUUCAAUUGAAUUGACACGUACAUAUGAAAGUUCUCUUUGGUUGCUAAUCACAUUUUUUUUUCUUUUGCUUUUUGUUUUUAUCAUAAUGAAUAUUGAACUCGAAAUUCAGUUUUUAAAAUCUUAUGAUGUUUUAAAGUUUAUAAAUAUUAUUGAUUUUUAUAAAUGAUGUUAUUCAUAUCUUGGUAAAGACAAUAUUUUCAUAUCGGUCAAGAUGAUUAAUAACAUAUAAGUUCAUAAAGAAAAACCUAUUGAUUAAUGGAUAUUUAAUGAUUUUUAUUAGGAAUGUUUUUUAAUUAGUUUCAAUACUCAUCUUUUAGAGCAUACAUAUAGGGUUUUAGAUGCUACAUUGGUUUUCAGCUUGUGAUUUAAAUUAUUGAAGCAAAAAAUGAGGGUUUUGCUUUAUGGAACUAUCUAAAGGGAGGUGAAUUAGGCGGUCUUCCUUUUUAAAAUCCAAAAAUUAGAUUUUUAAUACUUAUAUUAGUUAUACAUGUGUUCAAUAAUUAAAACAAAGAACAAGUCCAUAAUUUACAUGUGAUGUGCAUGGAAAAACACCUACAAAUUCUCUCAAAUACUUUACAAAUGAAAAAAAAAUCAAGGAUCGAUCAAUCACAGAGCAACUUCACUAAAUAUGAAAACAUGACUAUACAAUUUUACUUGGAUGAGGUGCUACCUUCUCUUAAGGGUUUUUACACUAGCCAACAAUUACACUCACCUUCACUCUCACCAUGCACCUCUAUUGUGCUCCAUAGUAAACACUUUAAUGACUGUAGCAAGAUUGCGAUAAAUUACUGCGAUUAAUUUGAGAGUGUUGAUAAUGAACAAAAAAUAAUGAUAAUUAACUAGAGAGCAUAUGAUUUUGUAAAAACACCAAAAAGAGGCAUAGUUAUAAGUGAAAACUUUAAUGGAUUGGAUUGAAUAUAUAAUUGAAGUAUGAAUGAAAAAUUACCAAAACAAUGUUCAAAACCGUGCUAAUCAAAGCACAAUCACUUGAGUACUCUCAUGGGGCACUUGAAUGCUCCUUUUAAUCACCGUAAUGCUGAAAUUAAUAAUUUGUCUCAAAUUGUUUUUCCAAAACAUAAAGCAAAAUAUUAUAAAUUUAUAUAAUCAAACCCAAUUUCAUCUUAAAGCUAGCCUACUUAGUCUUAAUUCAUGUCCAAAAAUACUCAUACUUGUCAAAGAAUGAAUAUGGUAUAAACAAAUUCUUUAUUUUCAAUUAUAUUCAAUUAUUGAAAGAAUAAAUCGGUUUACAUACAUUUUGAACAAAGGUAUAUACACAUAGACUAAAUCAAGGAAAUGAGGAAAUCAAUCACAAUCAAAUCAAAAUCAAAUGAUAGGUUGAUAUCUAGGAGAAGGUUAAGUUAGAACCAACUCAUGUAUUCAAUAUUCCCCCUUAAGAUGGCAUAUGGAGAUCAUGAAUAUCAAACCUAGAAAGUAAGGGAUAUGAAAUAUCUAUACCAAGGGAUUUUAUGAAAUAUCAACCAAUUGUUGUUGUGAUUAAACAAAUUGAAUAAGAAUAAUUUCAUUUCGAAUCUUUUCAUAGAUCAAGUGACAAUCAAUUUCAACGUGUUUAUUCUGUUCAUGGAAAAUUAGAUUAAUAGCAAUGUAUAGAGUUGUAUUAUUGUCACAAUAUAGAUGCAUUGACCAAGGAUGAUGAACUCCAAAAUCUAUAAGUAAAUAUUGCAACCAAUGCAAGUAGUAAUCAUUAAAUAAUAUUUCACUUUUCUUCAUGAGUGUUAUAUCAUUGAUUGCUUUUUAGAUCUUCAAGAGAUUGAUAGGCCACCAAGUAAAAUACAAUACCCUAUAAUUGAACAUCAAGAUUAUGCACAAUAGGCAUGGAGGAAGGCAAAAGAAUUCCUUGACCUAGACGAUUUUUUAAAUAGUAUAACACUCAUGUACUUGUGAGAUAAUUGAGACUACAUUGGCUUGUCAAGAAUUUGAACAUAAUUAGCAAUAUUAAGCCCUAUCAUUAUGAGUCAAAGUAACUUCCCAAUCAAAUGCCUAUAAUAAGAAGCAUCCAACAAAGGUUCUCUAUCUAAUUUACUCAAUUCCAAAUUUUGUUUCCUAGGAGUUUUUAAAGUUACAUGUUCCAAGAAAACCAAAAUCUUUUAGUACUUCUAGAGCAUGUUUUCAAUAACUUAAAUAAAUCUCAUUCUUAAAAUAUGUCAUUUCAAUGAUGAUGAAGUACUUUAAUUUUCCAAUCUCUUAGUUAGUUUGAAAAUGCUAUAUAGGUUUUCCUUGACCACCUUAAUUCCUUUAAGAUCAUUCAUUGUAAUAAUUAUAUCAUAAAUGUAAACAAGAAUGAUUGUGAAAUAGUUAUUUGAGGCUUGAGCAAAUAAGAAGUAAUAUGUACGUCUUGGCUUGCUUGUAAACCAUAAACAUCAAUGUGAUAGAUAAUUUGGCAAACCAUCAACGUGAAGCUUGCUCAAGGCCAUAAAGGGAUUUUUUAACUUUGCAAAUCAUAUUUUUGGUUCUAGAUUUCCUACAAACUUGGUGGAAGCUGCAUGUAUACCUCUUUAUCUAAGUCUUCAUAAAGAAAAACAUCGUUGAUGUCAAGUUGGUGAAGAUGUCAAAUUCUAAUUAUACAAUAAUUAGGGGUGACAAUGUGUCUUAUCGUGUUGAGGUGAGAAAUAGUGAAAAUUUACUUAAUCCGACUAUGACCCGUUUGAUAAUCGUGUCAAAAUAACCUAACAUGAAUACAAUUAGUUUAUUUCAUGUAACAUGACCCUUUUAACAUGUUUAAUAAAUAUAUUAACUUGGAUUAUGUAUUAAUUGACAUGAAUAACUCAUUAACUUGAUUUCAACCCCUUAAACUCAUUAACACAAUUCCAACCCAAUAAACUCGUUAAUAUGAUUUAACUCAUUAAACUUGUUAAUAGGAUUAUAACCUCUUUAACCUAUUUAAAAUUUUAAAUUUAUAAAUAAUAAAAUACUUCUAGAAAGUUUAAUUUUUAAAAUUUGAACUAUAAUACAUGUAUGCACCAAUUUCAUGAAGUCCUGAAAAAUUAGCAAAAUUAUAGAAAAAUAAUAUAAACAAAAAUUUGUAUUAAAAUUAAUAAGUAUGGGCUACAAUAUUAGUCAUAGUACUGCUUAUUUCUGAAUGACUUUAUUAAAAAGCGAAGAAUACAUGUGUAGUUCUUAUGUGAUUUCUUAAACUUGUAAGGCGAUUUUAUAAAGUUUUUUUUUUCUUUGUGAAACCUCUUUUUCUAUGUGAAAUUGUUUUGCCGAUUUGAAAUCUUCAUUAAAGGAAGUUACUAUUAUUUAUAAUUGAAAUUAGAGAAUGAAAUGUGGAAUCCCCAUGAUUUAGUUGCUUAAUUCAAGGAAUUUGAUUAAUUGAUUUUGGUAACUUGUCUCAUAAAAUUUUCUAACAAGAAUAUUUAUUUUUAAUCUCUUUUAUUUCAAUUGGAAUAUUUGUUUCCUUUGUAAAUUUGUCAAUAGAAUAUUUAUUUAUUUAUUUAAUUCUCUUUUGACUACAAUGAGAAGAUUUGAUUUUGUUUGUAAGACUAAAUUUUAUAACCUUUCAAAUUUGGCCAAGUGACACCUUUUGAAUAUAUGUCACAUGUCAAAUGUGUGUGACUCAUUAGUUGUUGAACCUAAAUUUUCUUGAAUUAGAAAGCUAUACUUUUGAAGACUAAUUUAGUGAUAAUUUAAUUCAUUAAAUUUUUUUGGUGUCUACAGUAUAUUUAUAAUAUGAAAAGUAAAUUAAAAUUUUAAUUUUUUUACUUGUUUAUUAUUUUAUUUAUUAUUUAAUGAUAAAUAUUUUUAUUCUUUAUUGAAAUAUAUAAAAUUUUAAUUAAUAUUUUAAUUUUUUUAAUUUCUAUAUAUAAAAUAUAUAGAUUUAUAUGGUCUAAUUGAGUCAUUAAAAUAAAUAGGGUAAAUAACUCACACAUAAGUGAUGGAUCAUUCUAACAUGAUUAAAUUAACAAGUUAGAUGAAUUGAGUAGUCAAAUACAAACAUGAUUUGUUUAUUAAAUAAGUUAUAUGAAUUGAUACGAUUAUGACAUCAACUCAAUUAAACUUAACUCAAAUAAGCUUUGUCUUUUAUUUUAAGUUGUCUAGUUGUUCACACAAAUUUUCUCAAAAUAAAGAAAUUAUAUAUAAAAUUGUAAAUUUGAUUAUUUGAGGGGACCAUUUUCAAUACUCUUUUUUAAGUAAUCUGGUGUUUAAUUUUGAAUCAAAGGGGCUUUCAUUAACAAAUAAUAGACUGUAGUUUUCAUAUAAGAAGAAAUCUCAAGCCUUUUUUUCUUGAAGGAAUCUUUAAAUUUUCUUUGAUACUUUAAAAAAUCAAUCUUCUUUGAUUUUUUAAGAAAUCUUUGAAUUUUCUUAAAGUCUUCAAAAAAAAAAAAAAAAAAAAAACUGAGUUUAAGGAAUUUUUUUAAUAACUCUCCAAAUUUCUUUGAUAUUCCAAAGUGUCCUUUAGAAGGGGACAAAUCCUCUAUUUACAGGAUUGAGAGUUUUAUUUUAAUAUUAUCUCUUAAUUUUUAAGAAAUAACUCUCUUAUUUAUGAUAAUUACUAUUUAUUUUAUUUAUCAUAAUUAGUUGCCUAUGAUAAUUAUCAUAAUUAAUUUUUCUAGAGAUAAAUAAUUAUAUAUAUUUAAUUAAUCAUGAUAACUAUAAUAUUUAUUUAAUUUUUUAUUAAAUUAUUUUACAUAACAUAUCAAUAUAUAUUAUUAGUCAAUUAUUAACACCGAAAAUUAAUGAGUUGGCAUAAAAUUUAUCUCUCUAUAAUAGUAUCAAAGCGAGCCUUAAUAAUAACAUUGCUUAUAGUCAAUUUCACAUGCCAACUUUUUACUGGGCAUUGGCGAUUUCAAUUUUGAUAGUCCGGUUAGAAAAAGUAGGUAAAGAUUAUUUGAUGUGGUAGGUCAUUUCUUUCAUAAAGACGAUGGCGGUGAAUUCAUGAGACAGGUGAUAAAGGAGAGAUUCUUUCUUUUGGCUUUGGAAUUUUAAUGAGGUCCUCGAUCCUCAUCCAAAAUACACCUCUCCAAUUAUAAAAAUCUUAUUAAAAAAAAAAAGAUUUGACAUGUGCCUUUCGAACUGCUGGUUUUCUGUUCCAAAAAUGAGAAUGGUUUCAAGUGGAUGAAGGAAGGUGAAGAACCCUUGGUUUUGUUAAGCGAAAAGCCACAUGAUUAAAUAAACAUAAGGCGGCAAAGGCUGAAAAUUUAAAAUUAUACUAAGGAACCCACCCCACAGGGCGACUACACUUUUGGUGAAGCCACGAGAAUGAAAGAUAUCGAAGGUGACACCAAGACAUUAAGCAGCACCAAGGUUUCGAUAUAUUAUAAGAUGGGAUCUUAUGAAAGACGAUCUCUAAUCUCUCUCCAAUCUCUUCUUUAACCUUUUCUUACUUAAAUCCAUUUCCAUGGUAGGGCACAUGUCCAGCUGACCCUACCCCCUCACCUACCUAUACUGCUAUACCCUUUUGUAUAAUUUGAUAUGGAUUGGAAGCCACCCCAACAUCUUUCUAAUUGCUCGUAAAUGUUGAGGUGCCUUUCCAUUUUGAGGCUGCCCUAAUGUGUGGCUGAAGUACGUAGGAAAAAAAAAUUGUGAUACAUGCACUGACGAAUCAAAUCCCAAUGUCAAAUUAUUAGACUCACCUGGUUCUUAAAUUAUUGUGAAUGCCGCUGGCCAUGGAUAAAUGGAAUUAGUGCGUGGCUUAAUGAAAAUUUAUUUUGAAAGGGAUAUUAAUUUGAGAGAAUUUUGGCUGAUACUUGGAGUUGAACGUAAGCAUAUAUGACCUCAUUUCGGGUGUGAUAUUGUGCUUAUAACGAACCUUUCGUUCUUUCCAAUUCCAGUGGGUAUUAAAUAAUUAAAGAAUUCAUGGUUCGAAGGCGAAAGGUAGAAGACCAAAAAGGGAUUACAAAGCCAUCGGCUUGACCAUCCAGAUGCAAUGGAUACAAACUUUGGACUCUAUCGAAAGUUCUUUGGGCACGUGCCCAAGUGUCCUACCCAUAUGAUAAGUUACACGUGGCUAAUUGCGGACCGGUUGCUCGUGCUAAACAGGGUACUUUUUCUACGCAUAUAAGAUGUUUCACUAGUGGGGCUUCACCAUGCAAACUCAUGGAUGAAGACCCUGAGGCCAAGAUGAAGGAACAGAAAGAAGGCGGAGGAGAGGUUCGGUAUCGAGGCGUUCGGAGGCGGCCAUGGGGGAAGUUUGCUGCGGAGAUACGUGACUCGACUAGGCAUGGAGCGCGCGUCUGGCUCGGGACUUUCAAUUCUGCGGAGGAGGCUGCAAGAGCAUAUGACCGAGCUGCUUAUGCCAUGAGGGGUUCCUUGGCGAUUCUCAACUUCCCUAAUGAGUAUCAUACACCCGGCACGGCUAGCUCUUCAGCUUCAUCCUCAAUGCCCGAAGGUGAUCAGCAGGGAAAACAAGUCAUUGAAUUGGAGUACUUGGAUGAUAAGCUGCUAGAGGAUCUUCUCGACUCUGAAGACAAAAAGAACAAGAAAACCUGAAGUUUCUGCUGCCUCGAAUCCCCUGAAAUCUAGUGCUUCAUCGAAAAAAAAUCCCCUCGCUCCUGAUUAACAACAUUUUUAUUUUAGUCAAUGAAUGUGUUCUCGGAUCAUUAUAAGUAUUUCUGCCGAAGUCCAUUGAUUUUUGGAGACUGAAAAAUGUCAGAAAAAUUGGUGCGAACAGGUUUACUCCUUUCUAAAUUAUGCAAUUGAAGUAUUUGGAUUAGUGCGCAGUGUAAACAUCAAGGAAAGCAUGAUCCACUAUUUUAAGGAGCCUAAGUGCUUUCCCCUUUACUCUUUUAGGAUGUCUUUUCAGUGAAGAAAGUUGGGAGACCACCACUUACCCUUUUGAUUGGUAUAUAACUGCCAACUAAUAACUGGACUAACAUUUGGCCCGUCUGGCCCUACUUCUUUGACUUUGUUGUUAAUUUAUAACUUUAUGUGAAGUGGGGGCUGUUUGGGAAUGUGUGAAGCAAGGAUUUGAGCCGACUUCGCCUAAUCUGAUUCUCCAUAAGUGACUUCAUUUUAUCAUAUUGGUGUUUUUUUUCUUCUUCUUUUUAAAUGGCUGGGGAGGAGGGGAUUUGGGAGGGAUGCAAUGCCAUGGUUGCAUGCUGGAUUAUCCUUCCAAAUGAAACAUCCAUUUGGUUUCUAGUAACUAAUUGCAAACAAUUAAAGAGAAUAAAAUUUUAAGAUGAUUAAACAAUAAGUACCUAUGUCCAUGAAAAGGAGAGAAGUUCACUCAUGGGUGUUCAUGAAAGACAUCACAAAGAACCAUCAAUAUGAGAAGAAUCCUGAUACAAUUAACUUUCAUGCAUAAGAAAAGACGCUCAAAAAAGAAUAAUGCUUACAAGGAAAGAAUCUCACUACGAUCAACUGAAAAAAUAUUCCAAUUUAAUUGGAAAUCCUUACAUGGGAAGAAUAUCAAUAAAAUCAACUAAAAAAAUAUUUUAAUUUUAUAUCAAAAUAUUUGUGAUUUAACCCGUAUCAUUUCAUCAUGACUUCUUAUAAAUUUUGUUCCUUUUUAUCAACACCACCCCUUGAGUUGGAGCAUAAAUAUUUAUUAAGCUAACUUGAACAAGAUCUUGAGAAAUUUUGUCGCAGGAUUUGUUUGCACUUUUUUUUUUCAAAUAAAGUCAUAAUUAACUUUAAUAUGUUUAAUCAUUUCAUGAAAUACUAGAUUUUAAGCAAUGUUGAUAGCAUACUUAUGCCUGAAAGCUUUAUCCCAAAUCACAUGAGUACAUGAAGUGAUUGCAUCAUUAAUGGUAGUAUUAUUACUUUAUAUUCAACUUCUCCACUUGAUAGGAUGCAUGAAAGCAUUGUGCUUUCUUCUGUUUCAAGUAAUAAAGAUUAUCACCAAGAAAGGUGCAAUUAAUACCUAGUAACAGAGUACCUAGUGGUAGCAUGCACCUAUCCACUGAACUUGUACUCGACUCUAUGAGUGUACGUUACAUAGUCCUUUUUUCGAAGUCUAAAUGUCCCUUGAUAAAACCUUCUAAUAUUUGAGGUUUUGGUAACAUUCAUGUAUCAAUGAACAAAUUAAUUUACUAGCUAAACUUUAAAAUUAGGCAAUGUUUUUCAAUGGGUGAUCAAGAUCUUGGAAUUUUCAAUGUUGUUUGAAUAGCUUCCACACACAAGCAUAUUUUCUCCUAUUUAGGAAUAAUCCCUUUUUUGAAGGUGUGAUCUUUAUGCUCAAAAAAUAAAGAUACUCAAAAAUUUAAUAUUGACCUUCUCGUGAAGGAAAAGCUUUAUAACUAAUUUUUUUUGUGCAUUAUAUAUAUCCUCAAUAUAGACUUUAAAAAAAAAAGAAGUAACUCCCUCUACAAAGAGUGAAGAGUCAAUUAAACUUUUUUUUUUUUAAAAAAAAGGAACCAAUUACUCGUAAAAGUAAUGAUUAUUUUUACAUACCAAACUUGAGGAGAUUACUUAAGAUCACAAAAGUUUUUAUUAAAUUGCAAGCUAGAUGCAUUUGAAACGAUCGUUGAUGUCUUAGCAACACCUUAUGUAACUCAUCAAUCUUUAUGUAAAAAUGCAUUUUUAACACCCAUAUAAAAUAAUGAUCAAUCCUAAUUUAAUAGAAACAAAUGGUAAUACAUGAAUAUCAUUCAUAUUAAUGAGAAAAGUAAAUAUUGAUUUAUAAUCAACUUCUUAAGUUUGUGUCAAUGCCUUAAUCAUUAGUUUAACUUUGUCAUUCAAUGAUACCAUCAUUACGACAUUUAAUUAACUUAGAUUUGCGUAAAUCCCUUAAUCACUAGUCUAGCUUUAUGUCAUUCAAUGGUACCAUCAUUAUGGUAUUUAAUUGAUCUUAUACCCCCAAUUUGUAUACCCCAUGUUUUUCUUAAUUUACCAUACAUCACUUAACAAUGUUCCAUGCAUGGAUUUUGUUAAGUGCCUUAAGUUCCUUUUGCAUAGCCUUUCUCCAAAUUGGAUGAGGAUUGGCUUCAUUAAUGUCAUUAGACUCAUGAUAUAUGGAACUCAAACAAUUGUUAAGUGAUUUUGUAUAUAUAUAAAAAAAAAAUUGUAAUUAAUGUGGUAGGCAUAAAAAUCUCACAAAUGAGGAUUGAUUAAUUGUUAUAAUUGAGCAACAUGCUUGAGGCUUAGUCACAAUACUAGAACUUGAAGUCAGACAUUCUCUUCAAAUAAGGACGUAUAUACAUUAUAUUGGAUCUCCAUUAAACAAGUAAAGAACUAUUUAGUAGACAAUGAAACCUCAUUGAUCAAUGGUGGUAGAGAGACACAUGAUGACCAGACUAUUCCCCUGGAAAUGAGAAUAAAAAAUAUCAUUAGCCGCAAAAAUCUCAAAAAAAUUUAGAUAAUGGGAUAUAAAGAGUUUAUGAAUUUUACAAUCAUAACUCUUAUACUGGUUUAAGUGGUAGAGUAAUCAAGAACACAAAACGAGUUUGAUGAGUGGUUGAGAUAUGAACAAAGCAAAGAUUUCCAAAGACACCAAAAUCAGAAAUCUCAAUUUUUGGGCUAAGGAUUUCAAGAAGAAAUUUAAAAUUAACUACAUGACUAGAAAAUUUGUUCAUCAAGGAAAUAGAAGUAACGAUAUCAUAACAUCAUAAUUAAUCAAUAUUUUUAAUAACAUGCAUUUGGAACAUGAUAUACCGGCUUUCUAAUAAUCAAUGAUUUUUGGUUCAACCACACCAUUUUGUUUUGGGAUGCCAAUACAACAAGUUUAACGAANNNNNNNNNNNNNNNNNNNNNNNNNNNNNNNNNNNNNNNNNNNNNNNNNNNNNNNNNNNNNNNNNNNNNNNNNNNNNNNNNNNNNNNNNNNNNNNNNNNNAUGUAAGUGCCAAAUUAGGUAGUGUCGACAAUGAAAUGGAAAUUUUGGAAUAUAGAAACAACCUCAUUUUUAUGUUCUAAUAAGUAAACCUAUGUAGCAUAAGAAUAGUCAUUAAAAAAAAAGGUAACAAAAUGUUGAUUUCCAUCCUAUGGAUCAAUUAGGACACAACCCCAAGGUAAACUAAUUUGAAAGUUGCAACAAAAAUGGAAAGAGAUGAAAAAAUAAUAGAGGAAUUUAAGGUUGUUUCAAAAUUUCAAGACAUGCUAAGAAACACAUGAGAUUAUAGAUGAUUAGGUAACAACCUUGGUUAAGUAUAUUCAACAUAUAUAUCCCACGAGGAUAAAUAUCUUCACUAAACUUUUCCUAUUAUUCAAUCCCCUAAUACCAUACAAGUGAAAAAUUAAUGUCACGGUCAAAAAUUUUAAUAAGCUUCCAAAGAGAUAAUAAUUUUGGGGAAAAAAACAACCUAAGAAACCUAUGAAUUGAGAUAAUUUAGGAAAAAACUAAAUGUUCGUUAGCUCUAGAAGGGAAUUGAAGCUCAUCAUCAAUAAAGAUUGUUGCUAUCUCGAAUAAUAUCAAGUAAACCAUUAAGAUCGCUAUUAAUGGUAUGAUUAGCAGCACCAAUUAUCGACAAAAAAAUUAUUAAAAAUAUAAGAAAUGAGAGCUUUAAGAUUAUCUAAUUGAUUUGUAAACCUAGGUAAGUGAAUCAGUAUUACGUUUUGUUAAGGAAGCUUAGAUCCAAUUGGUAUCAUUCACCAAGUUAUUGGAUUAAAUUACACUAUCAAACUUUGGCUUUAAAUGAGAAUGAAGAAUCUAACCACAAUCCUUAUUGGGAUUAGAUAUGUUAUUGCAAUAAUGUUUACAAUCGGAUGAGUGCUAAUUUCUAUUGAAAUCAUGAAGCAAUCUCUGAUCAUUGGUCUUCUUUGUAGAAACAUGAGCAUUGAAUUUAAAAUUAAUAAUUGUUACUUGGGAUUCAACCUUCAUAAUCAUUGCCUGGGUUUCCUAAUCACUUUCAAGAAUUACUUAUAUAGUGAAGGCACUCGAAACUAAUCAAAUUUGUCCUCUUAUAAAGUUGUCAUAUUCAAGCUUCAGAAUAGCCAAUAAUUGAAAAACUUAUCAUACUCCGCAAUUUGUUGAAGAAUAUUUGGGUCUAUUGAAGGGGACAAUAUAGGGAAUAUUUGUCCCAUAUGCUCAAAAUGUUCAAUUAACAAAGUGUUCUGUAUGUUUAGGGAUUUGUUAGCUUUAAUUACACAAAACAUUAGCAGUUUUAGAGAAAAUUAAUUUUUUUUUGCAAUCUUAGGUUCCAUGAAAUUAAAAAGCCAAUAACAAGUCAAUAUGGCUUGAGACCCAGUCAUCAUAUUCAAAGUCAUCCAACUUAGAAGCAUUCAUUUUGCCACUAACAUGUGCUAAUUUCCAUUUUCUAUCUUUCAAGAGAAAAAGACUGCUCUUAACCAUGGCAAAUAAUUGAACCCAUUAAGAAGAUUGAGGAAAGUAUCAUAUGAGGGUUGUCAUUUUCCUCCAUGACAAAGAAAAAGCAACAGAGAAAAACUCAUAAUAUUAGAAAGAGAAUGAAAGAAAUUGAGUCAUAGAUACACACAGAAGAAUCCAAAAAUAAAGCAAUAAUACAACCACAAAUAUGAGAAGAAGCUCAAUUACAAAGAAAGGAACUCAAUACAAUCAACUAAAAAGCGUUCCGAAGUUCAUACGAAAAUAUUCAUAAUGUGAAGAUCAUUUCAUGAUUCCUACAAUUUCUUCCUUCUACCAGUCCACUCCAUACAAGGUUUGAUCAACAACUUCUUCAUUGAUUUUCUGGUCUCUCUCCGGUGUAUCAUAGAGCAUUUUUGACAUGUUUCUGCAAGAUACACUUGUUAACUUUAAGCGACAUAAGUGCAAAAAAAUAAGAUCAUGUUGUAUUGCCUGUGCUUCCACUCUGCCUUGUUUAGUACUAUUAUGGAGCAGUACUUCCAUAUAGAACCAGUGAUCUCCAGUUCAUUAUGUUGCCUUCUUUAAACUAACUUUAAUUAUCUAUACAUAUAAAACAAAGUGGUCCCAUCAAGGGGCUAAAUCAAGAAUCAAGUGGGGCGAACAGGAAACAGUGGCAUCAAUUUUUAAGUCCAUAAGCUUUAAUAAAAGGAAUAAAACCAAGGAUAUGAAUAUGUUAUUUUUUCAUUUGUUCAUGCACUGGAAGAUCUUUCCUCUUCAAGCAUUGAACCAGCAUCCUUCUGUGCAAGUUGCUGUCGGAACCUUCUAUAAUUGUCAGAAGUCUGUUUCUGAAAUAUACAGAUAAAACUUUUAGCAAGUCUUGACAUUGCUCAUCACUAGGACAUUGUACUAGGAUACCAAUUCAUCUAAUUAGGGUUAAGUUGGCAUCUCGUACACUAUUUUUUAUUUUUCCUUCAUCUUUUGUUCCCAUUUGCAGUGGAAGUGGCACUUAGAAUAUCUGAUCAUGAAGAAUUAGCUUUCGGUGAGAUGAUACUAGGUCAAUUGCCAUUAUCUUUUUGAGUUACUGUGCGAGCAAUCUUGAAAAUAUUUUGGGAUAAAUAGAAUUUGUGCUUAUCAUAAACAUGCUAAACAUCCAAAUCAAGUGCUUUUACUAUUGAUAUCAAAUCAGUAAUUGAUUUUAACCUUUAUGCUUAUCUUUCAGAUUCUCAAUUAUGUAUCUUGAAUAAUGAUAUUAAGCAGAAAUCAUGAAUUGAAUUGCUUUAAUUAACUGUGCCUUAUCAAGCUUGUCAGCAGUGCUAUUGCUACCGCGAAUCAAAUUCGCUGUGCUUCCCGCCUUCUCCAAAUAAGCCACAAGCCCAAUUAUAUCCGCCCUCCUCCCAUCUCCAAGGGAUCAAAAAAUAAAAUGACUUCAAUCAAUUUUCAAGUUUUCCAUCUUGAUCAGUAGACCACCCGGCAUGAAUGUUACCCUCAGUUUAGGAAUAGGAAUUCCUUUUACUAAUCAUUUGGCACUAAAAACUAUGACCCCUAGCAAUUCAUUCCCUCCAUUAGAUAUCUGGGGGCAUCUUGGCUCAGCCAAAAAUGAUAAGUCAUUGCAUUUCACAUUGCAUUCAUUUGUAUUAAUGAGCUAAUUUUUUUUCACAGAAUGUGAUGUGAAUCGAAUUACUUCCAACCAUGUGUCUCUAUAAGGGUUUAACAAAUGUAAUUUGCAUUGUCUGUACACUUUUUUUUCGGUUUCUUUUCUUUUUUAUGCAUGAUUCAUUAGUCCACGGAUCUUCUAUGCAAAGUGUGCAGGCCAAACACCUCCUUCAAUGCAUUAUUCUAGAAGUUAAGACUCAGUUUACUCCUUAAUUGAUCUGUUCCAUUUACUUCAAAUCAUUUGAUUACAUUAAAUGAAUCUUGAAAUUCAAAAAUGCAUCAAAGUUAAAAGACCUUCCAAUGCAUUAAGAAAUCAUCUGAUACAAAUAUAUGUGAACCUGCAACAACAAUAAUGUCAAAAUGGAAAACUUAGGUAGAAAAUAUUAGAACGGAAACUUACGACGAACUCAAUUUUUGGCGCCUUUCUUCUUCUCAUCUUCUGAUCCAAGAAGCUCUUCCAACACCGUGUCAUCCAAACACUCGAACUCAAUGACUUGCUUUUCUUGCCCAGAAGAGGAACCUCCCAUCUCUAAACUCCUACAAGGCCCAGAAGAUGACGAGGAAGACGAUGAGGAUGGUGAUGGUGGGGGGCGAUGGGAGCCCAUGAUUUCAGAAUAGUACUCAUUAGGAAAGUUAAGAAUGGCAAGAUGACCCCUUAAGUUAAAGGCCGCUCGAUCAUAGGCGCGAGCUGCAUCCUCCGCCCUGUCAAAUGUGCCUAGCCAUAGACGAGCACCUUGCCUAGACGGAUCCCUAAUCUCGGCUGCAAACUUCCCCCAUGGCCUCCUCCUCACCCCUCGGUAUCGAACUUCUUCCUUUUCCUUCCCUUCCUGCUCCUGCUUCUCAUUCCCUUUCGAAUGAUCUUCCAUGCUAAACGUGUCGAUUUGCUAGGCGCAAUUUUUUUGGUUUCAAAUGUGCUGGUUUACGAGAGGCAUGGAUGCUUAUGUAUAUAUAUGGUUGCCACAGUCAGGUCUGACGUCACCGCUCAAUGUAUGUUCCACAGCGUGGGUUGACGAGCUUUCUGAGGGGGUUUCCUCGAAUUCAAAGCAAGUAUAAAAAUUCGAUUCUCCGACCUUUCCAAUGAGGAUCGAACAGGCCUUUUAUUAGAACCGUAUGAUAACUCCACACUGUUUUCAAAUAGUCAAUGUGAUCUAGAUUCUUCGUUAAUUUUUUCCACCUGACUGAUUGUUUACAAUUUUAUUUUUCACCGUCCCAAAUUUAAACCAUUUACGCGAUUCCCUGGAUUGCAUUUUUCUUUAAUGUUGACUUUACGAGGCAAUAGGACCCCCCAGCAACCCCACUAGGGCGACUUCAUGGGAACCAGAUUACUUUUGGAUCCAGAUAUGGUCCAGAAGAAAUAAGACAAAUCAAUUAAUGUCCACUAAAGUUUUGAUGGAACCCUUAGUCCGUGUUUCCUGUGGAUGUAUGUAUUGUAUGCACCUCAAUUUUCACCAAUCCCUGCUACGAGUCCCUUUAAUUUUGACGUUAUAAAUGUUUUUCCUGACAUUAGCAGAGUGUUUUUCUGCCGUCUUUGAGGACCUUCCACGGCCCAUAAACUAAUAAGGAUCGUCCAGUGAAUUUAGUCUUCCCCAGUUAAUUAUCCUGCGAGGGAAACUUGGGCAGUAAGUUGCCUACAUGAGUGGCUCCCGCCUACAUGAGUCAAGGGACCAUACGUCAGGACGACAACCAGUGUGGUCACACCAAAGUGGGUUGCCUGGACUCCAGGGUGGUCGCUUCAAAGUUGUCAAAUGAAGGCUAGCUUGGCAAGUUUUGGAAAACAAUUAUUGAAAAACAUUUUUCAUGAAUAACAGUUUCUAUGAACAGAUUUUAAGAAAGUUUAUUUUGUGAUUUUUAGGAAUAUUUUUAAUUUAAAUUUUUAUAUUUUUAAUUUUUUAUUAAUUUAUUGAUUAUUUAAUAUUAGCUUAAUUAAUGGAUUUUUCUUGGUCCCAAAUUAUUAAUUUAUCAAGAUUUAAUCGCAUCCAUAAUUAGUCUAAUUUCUUUUGGAGUGAGUGUGACAAAGUGCAAAUUUCUAGAGUUUUAUUAAUGUUAUUCAAUGUCAUAAUUUAACUAAUUAUAUUAAUUAUUUAUUAAUCAAAAUAAAUCAUUCACUUGAAAUAUGAUAAUUUAAAUUAAAAGUUUCAAUUAUUUAUUAAUUAGCAAAGUAUGAACUUUUCUUCUUGUUUUAUUAUUGUUAUUCCAUGUAUAUAAUUUAAUUAACUGUUUCCAAUAUUAAUCAAUAAAAAUAGAAUAUAAGCAUGAGAAGAAUUAGUAAAAUUCAUUGAUUUGGAAUUAGAUAGCUAGAGGAAGAACUUCAUCAUCUUCCCAUUACUUAAAUUUGUAUAAAUUCUAAAUAUUUAAACCCCCCCCCCCCCCCCCCCCCCCAAAAAAAAAAAAAAUGGUAAAGAAAGACUCCCCAAGCUUUCUUGGUUGGUGUUACCCUAAAAUUUGUACAAUAAGAUGAACCAUUUGGCUUAAAGCUUGGUGCGAAACCCCUUAUCAAUUGAAAAUAUCAAUGAAGUUGUUGAAUGGUUUUAGAGGACUAUUCUUAUGCAGAGUGGCAUAAGAAGCGAGGAGAUGAAGAGCGGAGAGACGUUAACAUCGGAUGCUGCUACGAAGGUGGGAAUACGGUUAAUUAAUUAGAUUUUGUGAUGGCUUUGAGUUUGAAGGAGUUAGUUUAAUGGGUAUUAUUAGUGAACUGAUAAUUGGAUUUGAUGUAAAGAAGGUUGGUCCAUUGGAUUAGCAAUUGGUUUGGCCUUUUGGGGGCCCCAUUUCCAAAUGCAUUGCCUUUUACAAGCAUUCAACAUCGCUGGACGUAACCAGGCUUGGUUCACCUAAAAGUAUCGCAUGGAUUGAAUUGACUAAGUUUUCAUUGUAGACUAGCCUUGAUUUUCCCUUGACCUGCCCACCAAAUCCUGAUGCCCACGCGAGGGAAUACCUCAAUUUUCUAAUAAUUUAUGCAGUUUCUCUUCAAAGCUCGUGUGAUCACUUGGGUCGGUAAAAUAAUGCAUUCCUCUACUUUUUCUCCCUUCCUAGAUGCAUGUUAUACCAUUAAUUCAAAUGUGAACAUGGGCUUGGCUUUGAAACUUGGUUCAAGGCCCAACAUGUUGACCCACAAUUGAGGUGUAAUUGAAUUUGUACACUUUUCGACUUUGAUACCAUUUGUCAUUACCAUUGACAUUGGGUCAUUGUUGAUUUUGAGUCCACAACUUUUAAGGUUGUUAUUACAAUUUUAAAUUGCGCCCACCCAAUUUAUAUGCAUUAUCCCUUAUAAAUACCGAUAACCUCUCUUUCUUCGAUAAUAUAAAAUGUCACAUAUAUUAUAUAUCUCAAUGUUUUCUUUUACUUUUUUUUUUUUUAUCGAUCGACAUUCUCUCUCAGAUGAUAUGAGAUGUCACAUAUAUUAUAUGUUUCAAUGUUUCUUUUACUUUUUCUCUUUUUCCUCAUGAUUGACAUUGUCUUUCUCAAAUGAUAUGAGUUGUCACAUAUAUUUUAUGUCUCAAUGUUUUCUUUAACUUUUUUUCUCUCUUCUUUAAUGAUCGACGUUCCUUUUCUCAGAUGAUAUGAAAUGUCAUAUAUAUUAUAUGGCUUAAUGUUUUCUUUUACUUAUUCUUUCUUUAUUAAUAAUCGACAUUUUAAGCAAUAUGUGAAUAUAAAGCAUUAAAAUUAUCUCCAUCGUUUUUGGAUGUGGUAUAAAUACACAAUUCUUAUUUUUGUUUUAAAUAUUUCUAUUGCUAUCUAUUGAAAUUUUAUGCAUGAAGCUACCAAGUUAAUUAUACAUAUAUCUUAAGAUUUUUUUUUUUUUUUUUUAUAGGAUAUAUUGUCCAUGAAUAUUUUCUGCAAUGGUAUCUUGUUUGAUUACUAUAAGAAAUAAUAUAUAUAUAUAUAUAUAUAUAUAUAUAUAUAUAUAUAUAUAUAUAUAUAUAUAUUAUAUUUCAAUGUUUCAUAUUUGCUUAAAAUAAAAAUUAUAUUUUAUCACAAUAUUUGGUAUUAAAAAAAAUGAAAUCUCUCUCAUUUAUUAUUACAAAAAAAUUAUAAUUUAUAAUUUUCUAAAUAAGUUUUAUUUAUUUGCUAACUAUAUUCAUGAUUAAAAGAUUUAAAAUUUAUAAAUAAAAAAUAUUAUGUCAUGUCAUUAAAUAAAUAAAAAUAUAUGUAUAUAUUAAAAUUAUGUUUUAUUGUAGCUUUUAAUAUUUUUUUUUUUAUUCUUUUCUUUUUUGAACUACAAUUUUAAUUUUUUUUAAUCAAAAUUUUUUAAUUUACAAAACGAGUAACAUAAAACUUGCCUUUGAACUUUAUUGGAAUGUUAUAUACUACCAUUUGGCUUUCAAGACAUUAGAAAAGGCAUAAGUGUCCCUUUUAUUUUUCCGAAAGGCAUAUUAGACUAUAGUAGGAAGUGUUGUAUAGAGGCAACUAAAAGUUGCCUUUAACUUUAUGAAGUCAUAUACUCCUCUUUGGCUUUGAUGACAUCAACUAGCAAAUUGGAUUUUGUUUCCUUUGCAACAUUUUUCCAUCCAUUAGCCAGUUUUUUUAUACUGUUUGGUGCUUGCCAACAUGGCACACACUAUGGUUCUUAAAAAGUAUUUUUUUUUUUAAGAUACUACGAAAUAAAAUACACGAUUGAAAGAUGAGUCACAAUAAUUUUCAAAACUAAAUUUUUUAAUAUUGUUAAGAAAAUUUGACCACCAAAUGAUUGAUUUUAAAUUACAAAUACUUUUGUUAGCUAAGAAAUUUGUUGUUCUAUUUGUUUCCCUAUAAAUAUGACAACAAUCAUAAAUAUUUUCAUUUUAAGAUAAUUUUCAAAUAUCUUCCAUUAAUAAUAUAAUAGAAUUAGGAAUUUUUUUUUUAGUUAUAACAAUCUAUAAUUAUUUAAGAGUCUUCCUCAAUCUCUAGGUUUAAGAACUUAUUGUUCUUAACAACUAACAUGUCAUCUCUUAAAAUAAUACAUUCUGCAAUAAUUAUUGAAAUAUGAUAUAAUAUAUAUAUCUACUUACAACCAUUUUUGUAGUACCAUUAGAAUUUUUAAUUACCCAUUCUAAAGUAUUUUUAUUCUCUAUUCUUAAACCAUCAAAAUUUAAUUUAAAUCUUUCAUUAAUUGGAUAAAUCCAAUGAAUCUAACAAGUUAAAGGAUUAUGAAUCCGACAAAACAGUUGAUAAUAAAUUAAUAAUGCCAUUAAUAUGAUUUUAAUGUGAAACACAAUUAUCACAUUUAAUACAGUUAGUCCUUGUAUGAUUAAUGUUUUGGAAGCUAAAAUCAAUCUUUUGACUAUAAUAAGAGUUUCUACUAUUUCUAUUUUUGGAUGAUUUUAUAUUUUUCUUAUUGUUUUAGUUUAAUACAAAAAAUAAAAAUAAAAUUACAUUAGUAGAAUUUUUUUAACUUACUCAAAAACCUAUUUUAGUUGAAUGAUUUUUUUAAAAAAAAUAUAAAUAUUUUGUUAAAAGGGAUAAAAUAACCUUACCUUGUGAAAAAGACCUCUUCACCCAAGAUUACUUGUUCAUAAUCCUUUUAAGACGAAAAUGCCCCCUUCCUAAAAAAUAUUUCAUCUUAAACUUAUUUUUCUUUUUAUUGCCCUUUGUUCCAUCCUUCCGGCUUGGGAGAGAAAUUCAUUCUUCUUUUGCGAAGAAAAAUUCCUAUUGCGAUUUUUCAUUUCAAGUGGAAAAAAAAAUUCUUAUUUCAUUUUAAAGAAAUUGUACAUUUUCAAUCUUUCUCUUUGUUCCUAGUUGAGGGUUUUUUUUGUAAUUUUAUCUUAACACUACAAAUUUAAAGGUGAGAUUAAAUCUUAAUGGUUAUUAGUUAAAUCACAUAUCUAACUUUGUUUUUGUCAGGACCUAUAAUAUGAUUGGAACCACCAUCCAAACUUCAUUAGGUGGGAUACUCCCCACCCUCCCCCUCCCCCCGCGAAAUCCUUGGAUUUUAGUUUUGACUUGGAUUUCAAUUGCCCGUAUCAAUUUUUCUUUAUUUAUUAAUUUAUUAAUUUUCAACUUUAACAAAAGCCUUGAAUCAUAUUUAAAUUCAAAUAACUUAAUCCUAAUUAAGUUCUUUUUAAAUAAAAAUUAAUCAUUGAAAAGUUCAUGUGACUAUUAUAAUUGAGAAUUUAUCCCAAGUUGGGUUUUUUGCAAAUAAAAUUUUAUUAUAGGACAUCAUGAUGCAACAUAACAUAAGGUUGUUACUUAAGUUUGUUUUGACCUUGUAAUAUGUUAAAAUGAAAAUGAAGCCAUUGUAACAGGAGAGAAUGAUGAAGCUGUGGAGAGAGCUUAACAAAGCUUGGGUUGGAGAGACUUCACAGGAAGAGAGAGAGAGAAAUAAAGGGUAAAAUUAUCAAAAGAGAAAAGAAAAAAAAAAAAAAAAAAGAAGGUUAUGUCUUCAAAUAAUCAAUAAGAGAUGUCAUUUUUCUAAUUUUCAAAGUUCUUUUGGUCCUUCUCUACAAAUAUCCCUAUAAAAAUAUUAUAAUAUCAAGUUAAUUUGUCAAUACCAAAAUUUAUAUUUUAUAUUAGGGCGACUAAAUAACAUAUAGAAAGAAUUUUAAAUGAGUAAAUCAAAUCAAUUUUGAAACCAAAACUUAAUAAUUACCAAACUUGUAAUCUUAGUCAUUAAAAGUGUACGAUGAAAUCUAAAUUAUUAAGCAAUGAAACAAAAAAUUAAGAUUAAAAUACAAAACGUUAAAAUCAAGAUACAAACUAUUAAAAUGUAAGUGGGAUAUGAGAUGAUAUUAUAAAAAAUAGUGUGAUCCAACAAAAAGUCUAGUACAUCAUUAUCUUCACUUCCAACCAUGUUUAAAAGGUCACAAGUUCUAGCGGUUUCCAAGGACAAUGUUAAAAAUAAUAAAAAUAAAUCCAAUUAAAUAUUAAUUAAUUUAUUUGAAUUUGAGUCCGACAAAAUAGUUGGUAAUAAGUUAAUAAUGCCAUUAAUAUGAUUUUAAUGUGAAACACAAUUAUCACAUUUAAUACCCGUUAGUCCUUGUAUGAUUAACUUUUUAGAAAUUAAUAUCAAUCUUUUGAUUAUAAUAAGAGUUUCUACUAUUUAUAUUUUUGGAUGAUUUUAUAUUUUUCUUAUUGUUUUAGUUUAAUACAAAAAAAUAAAAAUAAAAUUACAUUAGUAGAAUUUUUUUUAACUUAUUCAAAAAACCUAUUGUAAGGUGAAUGGUUUUUUUAUUUUUUUUUUAAAUAUAAAUAUUUUCUUAAAAGGGAUAAAAUAACCUUACCUUGUGAAAAAAGGCCUCUUCACCCAAAUUUACUUGUGCAUAAUCCUUUUCAGACGAAAAUGCCCCCUUCCUAAAAAAUAUUUCAUCUUAAACUUAUUUUUCAUUUUUAUAACCCUUUGUUCCAUCCUUAUGAUUUGGGAGAGGAAGUCAUUCUUCUCUUGUGAAGAAAAAAUUCCUACUGCCAUUUUUCAUUUCAAGUGAAGAAAAAUAUUUAUAUUUCAUUUUAAACAAAUUGUACAUUUUCAAUCUCUCUUUGUUCCUAGUUGAGGUUUUUUUUUUUUUUUUUUUUUUUUGUAAUUUUAUCUUAAUUGUACAAAUUCGAAGAUGAGAUUAAAUCUAUAAUGGUUAUUGGUUAAAUCACUUAUCUAACUUUGUUCUUGACAGAUCGUAUAAUAUGAUUGGAACCACCAUCCUAACUUUAUUAGGUGGGAUCCCUUUUUUUUUUUCCCCAAACCCUUGGAUUUUAGUUUUGACUUAUAUUUCAAUUGUCUGUAUCACUUUUUCUUUAUUUAUUAAUUUUCAACAAGUUCUUUAACAAAAGCCUUGAAUCAUAUUUAAAUUCAAAUAACUUAAUCCCCAUUAAGUUCUUUUUAAAUGAAACUUAAUCAUGUGAAAGUUCAUGUGACUAUUAUAAUUGAGAAUUUAUUCUUAGUUGGGUUUUUUGUAAAUAAAAUUUAGUUAUAGGACUGUGAUGAUCCGUUCUCAACCGUAUAAAUAUUGUUCGUUUUGAAUUCAAAAUAACUUUUACGGCUUUAAAACAUGUUUACAAGAUUAAGAGGAGUCCAUAUUUAUAUAGCUUCACGAACUUUCCCCCCUAUUCGAUGUGGGAUGUCACAAGGACAUCAUGAUGCAACGUAUAACAUAAGAUUGUUUCUUAAGUUUGUCUAACCUUGUAAUGUGUUAAAAUGAAGAUGAAGCCAUUAUAACAGAAGAGAAUGAUGAAGUUGUAGAGAGAGCUUAACAAAGCUUGGGUUGGAGAGACUUCAUAGGAAGAGAGAGAGAGAGAGAGAGAGAAAUAAAGGGUAAAAUUAUCAAAAAAGAAAAAAGAAAAAAAAGAGGGUGAUGUCUCCAAAUAAUCAAUAAGAGAUGUCAUUUUUCUAAUUUCAAAGUUCUUCUGGCCCUUCUCUACAAAUAUCCCUAUAAAAACAUUAUAAUAUCAAGUUAAUUUGUUGAUACCAAAAUUUAUAUAUUAUAUUAGGAUGACUAAAUAACAUAUAGAAAGAAUUUUAAAUGAGUAAAUCAAAUCAAUUUUGAAAUCAAAACUUAAUACCUACCAAACUUGUAAUCUUAGUCAUUUAAAGUGUUCCAUGAAAUCUAAAUUAUUAAGCAGUGAAACAAAAAAUAUAAGAUUAAAAUACAAAACGUUGAAAUCAAGAUUCAAACUAUUAAAACGUAAGUGGAGACGUAAGAUGAUGUCAUAAAAAAUAGUGGGAUCCAACAAAAAGUCUAUUAAUCAUUAUCUUCACUUCCAAUCAUGUUUAAAAGGUCACAAGUUCUAGCGGCUUUCAAGGACGAUGUUAAAAAUAAUAAAAAUAAAUCCAAUUAAAUAUUAAUUAAUUUAUUUGAACAAUAGAUAGGACCAAAAUAAUAUUCUAAAAGGAAUCAUAGGGAAGUCCUUGGACAACCUACGACAUUGAACAAAGGUACAGUGAGACAAUGCACUUAGCCCUUCCUUGUCAUUGCGAUGAAUAUAAAAAGACACCCUGAUUGAGGGUGCCCCACUAAGCCAAGAGUGAUUCUUUUGUAUUGUAUAACGUGAAUAUUUUUGAACUUUGAAUGACCCUUCCUAUAGUCAUCAUUGUCAAAACUAGAAAAUCAGAAAGAUGCGAUGUACGAAGGCACCAUUGAAUAAGAGGCUUAAUUCUCUUUGGCAAUUAGGAUAAAGUUUCAAAAUAGAAAAAUUAAACAAAUGUACAGUGUACGGACACUUGGGCAUUGCCUAUUUGUUUUGUUCUUCUAGAGUUGUAUAUGGUAAAGGUCAUAUUGGGUUGGUUCUAUUUGGUUAUUGAAGUCGGCUAGAAUAUUAGAUUUGGUUUCAAUCUAAUCCCAUAUGAUAUUAGAAUACCAGCCCAUACAGAAUUUUUGACCAAAUAUAAUAUUUCUUUUAAAUAUAAAUAUAGUAAUUAAUUUUAGUCUAAGAUUAAUUAUGUAGUUUCCUAAAGAGACCACUUCCUAAACGGUAGCUAUGUGGAAGUUGGGCCAGGUCCUGCCGAGAAGGUUUCCACGAGCUGAGCCCAAAACUGAGUAGCUGUGAUGGGAUCAUUCUAGCAUUCAGCCUGAAACUUGUAACAUAACGGAUCGAGAGGCCUGAACUCCAAGACCAUGGUUCGUCAGCCCAUUAACUUCAACAGCACGCAUUUUAGAGGACUGGGCUUGCAAGGGGUGAGGUUUCCGGGCCGCGACCCCAAAUAUGAACAGCCUCAGAAGUGAUAUUGCUUACUGGCACGUGAAGAGCGCAAGCGUAACUAGAAGAUUUGUAAUGCCGCUUUAAUUGUUUGAUUAUAGAAUCCCACGCAUUACGCAUGGAAAGUGUAAAAGAUAAAAGAUGUAGAAUUUUUUCUUAGAGAAAAGUUCGUUUGGAUAUAGUUAUUGUUUUUUUUUUAAAUAAUAAUUGUUUUUUUUAUAAAUUAUAGAUAAUCUUAGAAAUUUAUCUUUAAAAAAAUAGUUUUUAAAAAUAUUUAAGGAGAAUAAAAGUGAUAAAAAAAAACUUUACAAUUUCAAAUUUUUAAAAAAUGAAAAUUAUUUUUAAGAAUAUAAGUUAAUCUCCUGCAUUUAAAUCUUAGGUGGUUUUUGUUUUUUUUACUUUUCGCUGAAAACAAUUUGUUUUCAAAAUUUAGGUCAUUUGUUUUUUCUAUUUUUUCAUGAUUUAUUAUAAAUUUUUUACUAAAUAAAAAAAAUCAAAAUAUGUAACUUUUUCUAAAUAAAAAAAAUAACGUAUUGAUUUUUCUUUACUUUUUAAUACUUAAUAGAUAUAAAAUACUACAAAAACAAAAAAUCUAAUAUUUAACACUAUUAAGCAUUAAAGUUCUAUUUAGAAUUAAGUAAAAAAACAAACACCACCUUAUAUUUUAUAUAAAAGUUACUUAUAUUUUGGUUUUUGGAAAUAAAAAAUAUAAAGCAUAUCCAAACAUGAGCUUAGCUAUUUUAAAUCAUAUCAAAAUAAUAAUCCCAAUAAGGUAAAUGGACUUUUAUACGGAGAAUAAUCUUUAAGGUUUUCAUUUUUAUUGGAUUUUUUUUUUGUGGUGUUUUUUCAAUCCAUCUUCUCAAUUAAUUCCUUAAAAUUAUUUUACUGUUUUUUUUUUUUUCAGUUUCUAAAUAUUUGAUUUUUCCAAAAUGCUUAAAUGGAAGACACUAAUUUUUCAAGAUAUUUGGUAUUACAAUUUUCCCUGUUCUCCCUAUUAUCUAUCAGAUUCAUGGCCCUUUUGUUUUUUCAUUGGUUUUCAAUUUAAUUUUCCAAAUAUUACAUUGUUGUGUUUUGAAUUUGUGAAACCAAUUUUAUAUAUAUAUAUAGUAUGUAAGUCUACUUUGGGUAACAUGUACAGAGAGGUUUUCAUGUGUUUGAAACCUUUUACCUCAAAAAUUAAUUAUUUUUAAUUUUAUAAUAAAUCUUUUUUUAUUUUUUAUUUUAUUUAGGAAAGCCUAUAUUUAAACUACAUGUUUGCAACGCAACACCAUACAUACUCCUAGUGGAACUUACCUUAGUGCUUGAGGGGGAUGCAGAUCUUCUUCUAAACCUAACUAAUAAGCAUAAAAUUGUUCACUAAUUAGCAUAUCUAGUAAAUCAUACAAAUUGGCAAUAUUUCAUGUUUUUCAUGUUUUGUCAAUAAAAGGCGUCUUGACCAUUUUGUGAGUUUUGUAAUAAAUAAAAAAAAAAAAAAAAAAAGGGCAAAAGGUGACUAAAAUGAGGCACUUUGGAAAGGUUAAUAACCUAAAAGGAAGAUGAAUUAAUACCCCCUUAUUCCUCUUCAAAAACCAUUGAGAAAAUGCAAGAAAUGCUCUUAGUUGUAUGCUAGGCUAACAGCCUAGCAACCAUAAUACCCUUCUUUGCAAUUGUAAGCAUUUUUUUUUUUUUUUUGAAGGCCAAACAACGUUGCAAACUUCCCAAAUCCCUUCUUUAUUUUUUAUUUUUUUAUUUUUGUUUUUAGAAGGAGAAUGAAUUUGAUGACAAACUCCUUGUCAAUCUUAUCCAAACCACGAUCGAACAGAACUCCUUGUCAAUCUUAUCCAAACCGUGUUCCACCUCAAAAACAUGUGUAGGACUUAAGGCAGCAACUGGCAAGCAUGACUGAUAGGGCCAAGUGCCCUUGUCUCUACAAUCCAUUAAGUUAACCAAGGGCAGUGAACCAUCAUUCUUUUCAAAAGCUUCAUUCCGUGUUGAAAAUGUGAGACUGAAGCAUGGUGCCCCCAAAAAUAACGAUCUAUUUACUAGCAGCAUGCCUGGACCCAUUAAAAAUACUCUACUUUAGGAAUAGAAAAAAUUACAUCUUUAUCCAAUAAUUUUAUAACAAUUCAGACGUUUCAGUCUAUAAAUAAUUGUACAUAGUUGCCAACGUUUAGCUAGUUUCAAAUGAAUAGCCUAGGUUCAUGCACCAGUUUGGCUGGUGGAGGAAAGGGAUUCGAGACAUUGAACCCUCUUUUUAGUGUGCCAAAUAUUCCACAAAAAUCACUACCUUCUCUUUGUGUUUGUUCACUUUUAGUUUAUAUUUAAUAAAUCUAUGUUUUCGAGUAGAGGUUGGGUUCAGGUGCGACCCACGUCACCUCUCGGACGGUCUUGAAAAAGGAGACCGGACCACGUAAUUUCAAAUGUAGUGACCAUCUCACUUUUACCUCCAUCCUUGAAGAUGGUUUCCCAAAUCAAUAUUAAUCUUUUGUUUACGACAAUAUCGAUCACUUUAUGUCUAUAUCGUUGUUAAUUUACCUUUUUUUUUUAGCCACAUUAUUUGAAAAUUGAUGCAAACUUUACCAACAUCUUGGUACCAUUUUAAAAUAUUAGAGUUAUUUGAUUAAAAAAAUAAAAUAAUCUCGAUAACUUGUUUAUAAAAUAAAUAUCUUUUAACAUUUAGACUAUUCUCACGCAUGCUUUAAAAUUGUAAAGAUAUUCAUAAAGUGGAACUUUAGACUUAAUCAAUAUCGAUCACUUUAUGUCUCUAUUGUUGUUAUAUUUUUUUUUUACAACAUUAUUUGAAAAUUGAUGCAAACUUUACCAACAUCCUAAUACCAUUUUAAAAUAUUAGAGUUAUUUGAUUAAAAAAAUAAAAUAAUCCCGACAACUUGUUUAUAAAAUAAAUAUCUUUUAAUAUUUAGACUAUUUUCACCAUGCUUUAAAAUCAUAAAGAUAUUUAUAUUCAUAAAGUGGAACUUUAGACUUAAACAUGAUAAUAGUUUUUUUACAAUAUUAUAAUUAUUUUAUCGUUUUAAUUAAGCCCUUUAUCAUACAUAUAAAUGUAAAUUAAUGCUAAAUUUUUAAAGCAACGUAUAACCUUUUACAUCUUUUUUUAAGAUGGUGCGAAAAUCCUAUGAAAAAUAAUAAAAGUCGAUGCAUAAGAAGAUUGUUUUGAUAAUUCAAUAGAAAAAUUCUUUUAAAAUGAUAUUAAAAAAUACCCAUAGAGCCUUUAUUAAAAAAAUCAAUUAUUUUCAUAAUAAAAAUUAUAAUUUUUUAUUAUGUAUUAUUAUUUUUAAGUAUCUUUAUUACAAAUACUUUUUUUGAGUUUAUGAGAGGAAUCAACAGGUUGGUACAAGCUUAGGCGUCCUCGUACAUGUUCCCGCUGUGCAAGGUUUUUGUCUUGUUUCGAGCUAGUCGGAAUUUACGUGUUUGAUAACGUUUUGUCCUAUUUUUGUAACGCUUUAAAGGGCGGCCCACCGUUGGAACAGUUCAAGCCAUCCAAAUCAGCCCGGAGGGUUAUGGCGACGUGGCAUGACGCCUACCACCUUAGUUCACAUGAACCCUAUGAUCGUACUACCCUCACAUGACAUCUGUGAUUCUUCACCUCCAAACCCUCUUUAACUUGGUAAUGUAUUCAAAGCUUCAUCAAAUCAUAGCGAUUAGCGACCCUCUUCCACCCUAAUUUUAUAAUAAAAAAUAAAUCUUAGUGGACAUUAAAGUAGUAUUUUGUGGGGGGAAAGAAAAACUCUAUGGGCGUAUCCACUAAAUACGAGCCAAGUAUAAGAGUUAUCACCAUGGAAUCAAAUUAUGAAGCAUUGACAUUUUAAUUGUAUUCAGAUUUGAGGAGGGCACCGCGGCACCAGCUGGCCCAGUGUAGUCUGCUAGCCUACCCGCCAUAAUGACCAAAUUAAUAAAGUAAAAAGGAUUACAGGGAUAUUCCCAACUUUAUUCUGGGUCUGAGCUGGAACUUGGGAGUUAUCACGAUCAACGGGAAAGAUGGUGGGUAGGGGACGAGGAUUGAGGGCUCCAUAUUCACAUCAGUGAAAAACGAAAUGUAUUGAGACAAGUCUUCUAAGGAUUUUCUAGCGUAUUAUAUGGUUUAAAUGAUUAUAAAUCUGUAGUUACUGGUAAAGAGUAGAGAGUGAAGACGAAAGACGUUGAGUGAAAAGGAAGGAGGAGAGGGGAUGGGGCCAUCUUACCGUGUCGGGGAGGAUCCAUAAAAGGACUACGUUCCCUGAAUCUGUAGGCAUCAUGCCUCGCCUAACGGGUUAGUCAAAAUACAGUGAUGUGUGUGAGUUGGGGGCCUCACUCCUCAUUUCUUUCCUUCUUUUCACCCCCACCCCCACUUUUUUUUUUUUUUUUUCGAAUUUUUCUUUGUCCUUUUCUCUCACUUGCGCACGCGGGAGAAGGACCACAAACUAGACAAUUCCUCUGCUCACGUGACCCCGAGUUUUUAAAUAUUUGCCUAUUUGGAAAAUAGUCAUGAAUCAUGAUCGUUAACAAACAAUCUUCACUUUAUUUAUUUAAGAUCUAUUUUUUGGAGCUCUAGUUUAGUUUAUUAUUAUUAUUAUUAUUAUUAUUAUUAUUAUUAUUAUUAUUUAGUAACUCCUCUUAUAUUAAUGAAAAAGAGAGGAGGAAUCCAAACUUGUUUAUUCUUCCUCUUUUAAGGUGUUUGUUUUUUUUAUUUUAUUUUUAUGCUUCAUAUGUCUUCAAUUUCUUAGCAUUUGUCUUAUAUUUCUUCUUAUCCGAUUCAUUAUUGCAUCCUUGGUCAAUCUUUCACGAGGAGUGCCUACUUUUUUCCUUUUUAUUAUUUAAUUCACUUUAUCUUUAUAUUUUCCUUUUACACUUUAUUUCCAAUUCAAAACGUGUCAAAAAAAAAAAUUGGUAACAAAAAAAAAAAAAAAAAUCAAUUGUAAUGAUUCUUAUAUAAUUUUAUUUAAUUUUUAUUAAACAAUAAAGAAAUUAAAAAUAUAUAAAUUUUUAAAUAAUUAUUAUAGUCUUUCAUUUUUGUGUAUAAUUUCUUUUGCAAGAAAUAGUGUAGGCUUUCCACGGUCUAAAGGAAAUGGAAUAUCAAAUGAGAAGGUAAUAAUAAUAAAGUGAGUUAUAGAUACUAAUCAAACUAAUCCACUAAUGAAUUAUUUAUUUUUAUUUCACAUGGACAAAUCCUAAAAGUUGGAGUUCUAAUUUACUUUUAUGUUAAGCUUUUUUAAGUAAAAAUCUUUUAUUAUUAUAAUUUAUAGACAAAAAGAAACCCAUUAAUGUGAUGGAUAAAAAAUUUCAAUUUAAAAAAAAAAAAAUUAAAGUUGCUAAAUUUUUGUAUUUAUUAUUUCAAACUCAUUUAAAUAAUUUAAAAAUAUGUCUUCAAUUAAUUUUAAUGAAACAAAGCAUGAUUUUUUUUUAAUUUUUUUUUCUUUACCAAAUAAAGCAUUAUUAUAAUACGUUGAUUAAAUUUUCAUCAUGUCUCUCAAGAUUUGGAUUAAAUAUACUUAGUUGUCAUAAAUUUGAAAUUUUAUUUAAUGUAUUUUUUAUUUUAAAUUAAAAAGAUGAAUGCAAAUAAAAAAAAUAUGUAUAUUUUAUAAAAUUUUAAAUUAAACGAAGGAUACGUGUAUUUAACCAAGGUGAAUGAAAUUAAUCCAAAUACUUUUUGGUAACUUGCAAAAUAUCUUGACGAAAUCAUUAUGGCAGGCAUCGUACAAGCUCAACCCUUGUCGCCUUGCUAGAAAUAGAGAAACAAAAAGACCCCCAAAUUGGGUUGCAUCCUAAAUAUGAAGAAGUGGUAACAAAGGAAGAAAAAAUGCUGUGUUAUUGAAUAGUUAAUACAUUGAACAUGAUAUGUUACAUAGAGAGCCAGAUUAAUCCUAGUGGAAUUCCACUGUCACGAUGGUAACCUAGGGUUAUGUUUGGUUAUUGAAAAUACCAAGAAAAGAAAAAAAAAUAUAAAGGAAAAUAAUUUUUUCAUUUUUGAUUGUCUUAUAAAAGAUAUAAAAAAAAAACAAAUAUAAUUAAAACUAAUUAAAAAUUUAGGUAUUUUUAAAUUAUUUAAUUUUUAUAUUAAUGAGCGAAAAUAAAUAAAAUAAGUUUAAAAUAACAAAAAAAAUAAUUUACCGAUUUUUAAUCUAUAUUUUAUUUUACUUUUUCUUUGUAUUUUUUUUUUCUUAUAUUUUCCCUCAAAUUUUCUGAAUCAAACAUAGCAAAAAAGGAGCUACCCCUUUCGAAAGAAACUCCCAAGAAUUUCAAAGAAACCUGCUGAGAUAAUGAAUGAGGGAUCACUGUCGGUAAACAGUAUCCAUUCUUUUGGGAGGACUUUCAAACUGAGAAGUUGUUUUCAUGACUUGGAAACAAAAUUUUGAGCUCUAAGGGGGUCUGUAUUUGGGCCCUAAAAUUCAAUCCAUCAAUCUGAAAAAUGCUUAGGAUAAUGAUUUGAUUUAGCCACAAUCACUAAACAAAUUCCAGAGGAAAAUUUCGCUACUCAUAGGUGGCUGAUUCUCAUAAAAAGACAUCGUGGUAGGGUGUCUCAAGUGCAGGCUCACCAUCAACUUGCUGCCCUUUUUAGAUUAUUGUAAAAUGAUUUCACAUGAAGCCCAAUGCAAAACUUUGAAAGAAAAGGUUGGUGGAGACGUGAAGAAUAUGUAACCCAUAGGCCAUAACUAGUACCGAAGAUUAUUGAACAAACAUUCAAGGUUUUUGUAUAGACGAAACUGAAAAGAAUGUGUACCAGACUCAGGCGUUCAGAUCAGAUGAUGCCGUAAUGUGGAUUGUGGAGGAGCAUUGUGCAGACAGAUAAUGAGAUUCUGAAAGCGAGGCCACUGAUGGGCCCUUGGAAGGGGGGCGUGCCUUCAAAAUUAUAUAUAUAUAUAUAUAUAUGUCAUUGAAAAUUGGAAGCAACUUUUCUUCUUAAGUUAUUUUAAUCGAAGAAGAAACAAAAAGUUAAAAACAUACAUUAUUCUUCCUUCUUACGAGGUUUCCGGGUCUAAAUUACUAUGGUCUCUGCAACUGGCGUCGUUUUCUCUCCCCUCUCUCUAUUUUCCCUUUAUUUUUUCACUUUUAGAAAGAAGCAUCCCAUCAAGAAUCUACUACAACCCUACGCUUCCAUUUUGAUUUAGAAAGUUAAAAAUAAGUUUAAGUUAAAAAAAAAUAUUUUCUUAUAUAAUUAUUUAAACUUAUUUCUUUUCCUUUUUAUAUAAAGAAACAAAUAUUUUGCAAAUAAAUAAAUUUCUAAUUAUUUUCAUUAACAUAAUAAUAAUAUUUUUCAUAUGACUUUAAUCACAAUUUUUUUUACCACUUGUCCAAGGCGGUGAGAGGUGAUAAAAUGUAUUAAAAAAACGAUUAAAUUGCAUUAGGUAUAGAAGUUUUGUGCUUCAAUUAUCACUUAUAAAAAUAAAAUAAAAAUAGUCAAAUUUGAGUGUGCAAGUUGGUAUUCGUAUGUAGAAGGAAUUGGGGGAUUUGGGGGUCCUAACAAAUUUGAUAUGAUUGAUGGAAGGAAAUGAUUAUUAUAGGAUAAAGUCCGAAUGAAACGCUGACGAGGGGGGAAAAACAACAGUGGCAAUGCACUAUCCACAGAUCCAUGAUUGAUUUAUGUUAGCAAUAAUGAAUUAUUUUGACUUUGAUAACCUUGGUUAAGAGAAUUUGGUCUUGUUAUUAUCAUUUUUUCAAAAAAAAAAAGUGUAGGUAACUAGGUAGUUGAUUUAUUAGAAUUUAGAAAUGAGGAUCCCCUCCUCCUGCAAGAGCCGUGACAGACAUGCCUGCUUUCUUGCCAGAUUAUACCAAUGUGCCCAAAUAAUCCCCCAUCUAUCAUCUCUGCACCCUGGAACACGUCACUCCCUCCUUUGAGCAAUAAAAUAUCUCUUUUAUUUUCUUUUGAACCACUCUUCUAUUUCUUUGUACCAGACUGGACCCAUUUAAAUUCUUCGCUACGCUGUUCCCAAGGACUACGAGAAUCAAAAUAGCAAAAUUCUUGAAUCAUUUUAAUGGGUUCAGAAACCACAUGUUUCUCUAGAUCAUAAGAGGAAAAUCUUUUUGGAUGGUGUUUGUGUUGUGUUGUGUUCAAUAUUAAAUACUCAAUUAAAUAAGCUAAAUCAAAUAUCACAUGAAAAAUAAUCAAAUUAAAAAUAGGGAGAAUUAUGUUUUGAGGGUAGAUGGACCCCAAAUUAACAAAAGGUUCAUGUAACUCUUCAAAUUGAGCCCAGACCCAAUGAAAAUAUGGAAAUUGAGUUGAAGUAUAUCAUCAUUCAGUAUUUCCAAAAAUGUCCUUUGUUGAUUUUGAGAAAAAAAUUAAUAUUUUUGAAAAAUAUUUUUAUGUAAUUUAAUAUUUUUUUAAAUACUUUUAUUUAAUUUAAUAUUUUUAAAAAAUAAAUUUAUUUAAUUUAAUAUUUUAAAAAAUAUUUAAUUUAAUAUAUUUUUUAAAUACUUUAAUUUAAUUUAAUAUUUUUGAAAAAAAUUUUAAUUUAAUAUUUUUGAAAAAAAAAUUAUUUAAUUUAAUAUUUUUUAAAACUAUUUUUAUUUAAUUUAGUAUUUUUGAAAAAAAAUUAUUUAACUUAAUUUUAUAAAAUAUUUUAUAUGUGUUCUUAAAGGGUAUAUUUGUCCGUUACUAUUUCAUAUCCUUCAACUCAAUUUAAAGAGUUAUAUGGACCUUUUGUUAAUUUGGGGACCCAUCUACCCUCAAAAGAUAAUUCUCCCUUAAAAAUAUAAAUUUAAAUAUGACAUAAUUAUUAAAUAUGUUAGAUCUUGUAUGAGUUUAUAAGAUUUAUGUUUCAAAAUAACAUGUUUAUAAUUCAUCUAUUGAUUUAUAAUCAAAUUUUAAAUAAAUUAAAGUUAUUCAAGUUAAUAAAUAUGAUUUAUGUUAUAAAGACUAACUAAAAAAUAAUUUAUUAAUUAAACGGAUCCUGGUCAAUAAAAAUUUGAUUUAAAUACGAUCAUACUUAAUCAAAACUUAGGUCAAAUUGUAUUGAUAAAUUACAUCAAAACCUUGUUGUGUUCAAUAUUUUAUAUUAAACUAUUUUUUAAUAAAAUUAUUUUUAUAAAUAUAAUAUUACAUCAUUUGGAGAAACAAAAUAGUAUUAUAUUGAUUUUACAUAUAAAGCAACCAGUUAACCCCUCAUUAUUUUGAUCCAUUUCACAUCCAUAUCAUUCUCAUAAUUUUUUUAUAAUAUAUUAACAUGAUGGACGGUAAUUGAGGGUAGAAAAAAAAGAUGAGAAGAAUAAAAUAAUGUGAAUCCUCUCUAAAUGUUACAUCUUCUGACAAAUGAAGUCUAUAGAAAUGUGUAAAAAAAAAAAAAACACUUAAUUGUGAGGUUCACUUGAUUUAGCAAAAAAUUAAUAUUUUAUUUGUUGUGUGAUUUAAAAAUAAUAUUUUAUUUUUAAAAAUAAAAAAUUAUUUUUAAAGUUUUUUAACACUAUUUUACUAUUGUUCUUUGAAAUAAUUUUUAAAAUUAAAAUGAAAUAACUAAUAAUUUUUAGAUAAUAAAUUAAAGUUGUUUUUAUUAGAUUUUAAAAAUAAAAGAAAAAUAUAAAACCAUUUGAUCAAAUUUUUUUAAACUUAUUUUUAAAAGGUUUUUUUUUUUUUUUUUUUUUUUCUAUCCUAAGUUAAAAGAUAAAAAAUAAUUUUUAAAGAUAGGUUACGAGCAAAUGCCACAAACUUUUUUCUUCUCUUUCCCUUGUUCGGAUAGAAGUGAAAAAUAUCCUCCCAUGGAUCGACAUUACGUGAGCCAUCACCAUUCCCCAACUGCAAUUCAACCGCCAAAGCUGAGGUGUCAUUAUUAGUUUGAACAAAAGUCAGCAUUGUCCACGUGGUGACAAGCGGAACUGACCCAACUUGCAAGGCAAAAAAAUAAAUAAAAUAAAAUGAAAAAAUCAGAUCACCAUUAUGACGUCAGUCCAAUUGCUGACCUGGCCGCCGUCCCCCAUUUGACCCACGUGUUCAUUUAACCCAUUCGCCGUAUGCCGUGGCUCCCCACCCAUAUGGCCAUAUCUGCCAUUUAUUUUAUCCGUUGCCUCCAUUCGGUUUUUGGAUUUUACCCAUUCGCCCUCGUCUAUUCCCAUUUCCGUAUUUGCCCACCAAGGAAAUUCAAUUCCCAUGCUUUUGUUUUACAUUCAAAUCCUCCCCCCUCUAUAUAAAGGAGGGAGUAGGGCUUGAAAGUUUCUCAAGCCAACAUGGACUGUUGAGAGUGAAAGACAGAGGAGCCACAAACAAAUAUCACUCACUCAAACCAAAGCCAAAACCAAUACCGAAUUCAAUUCAAAUGACUUCUUUCUCUCUCAUCAAUUCCCUGAAUUCCGAUUCCGAUUUCAAUUUGUUAUCGGAUUCUUUUUCCUGGGAAAACUCCCUACCUUUCAAUGAAAACGACUCCCAGGAGAUGCUCCUCCUGGGCAUGCUGGCCAGCUCCACUCAGGAAACCUCAGAAACAGUUUCUUUGAAUCGAGUGAAGGAGGAAGAAGUGACUUCCCAGGAAAAUCCCGAGAAGGAGAAGUCAUACAGAGGCGUUAGGAGGCGGCCAUGGGGGAAAUUCGCAGCAGAAAUAAGGGACUCGACCAGGCAUGGCAUAAGGGUGUGGCUGGGAACAUUUGACAGUGCAGAGGCAGCUGCUCUGGCCUAUGAUCAAGCUGCUUUUGCGAUGCGGGGCCCUGCGGCAGUCCUCAAUUUCCCGGUGGAAAGAGUGAAGGAAUCGAUGCAGGAGAUCAAGUGCAUCUUGGAGGAGGGGGGCUCACCAGUGGUGGCCCUCAAGAAGAGGCACUCUAUGCGGAGAAAAAGUCCUUGCAAGAAACAUAAAAGUGAAGAGGUGAGGUUAGAAAAUGUGGUAGUGCUGGAGGAUUUGGGUACUGAAUACUUGGAACAGCUCCUCACUUUCUCUGAGACCUCUAGUCCUUGAUCAUCAUCAUCCAUCACCUGGAUAGCUUCUUCUCUUUGCUCUGUUUCUUACUUUUCUCUCUCUCUCUCUCUCUCUCUCUCUUUUUUUUUUAUGUAAUUUUUCUUAAUGUAUUUUUGGAGAUGGCGGGGGUGUAGUGGUGGCAAUUAUCCAUCUAGAAUUUUUCAAAAGAUAUGUUCUUUUGUUUCUUUGUAUAAAGUUGAAAAGUGGGGAUCAAUUGUGAUGGUGCUCUAUGUUCAUCCACCCAAUUUAUAUAAUCAAGGUGAUUAAUGUUUUUUGAUAUCAACAAUUUGUGAAUGACAUAGAGAGAGAGAGAGAGAGAGACCUUAUUUUCUACACUCAUUACGGUGGUUUCCAUUUGGGGAAGGAAAAGGAAAUGGCUAAGAAUGUUACCAAAAGAAGUGGGGUGGCUUUCAUAUGCGUGGUGGCAUACUUGCAUACAAACUUUUCAAUUGUGUUCUGCAUGCCACUCGGGUCAAUUUCAUUUCUUUUACUCCUAGUAGCCUAAUUGGAUUUCCUUUUUCUCAUGAGACAUCAAAUAAAUUUCAUUUUUUUAUAUUUAAAUAGUUAGGUAAGUUUGAUAGUGAGUUAUAUUUUAUACAUUAAUUCAUCUUUUAGAAUGUUGUCUACAAUAUAAACAGUGUAAUUAAUUUCAUCAUUACAGAACAGUCAUCUUAUAAAAUAACAUAAAAAUUAUUGGAUCACUUGUAUGGCACCACUGAUUUGGACUUGGUAUGGCUCUGUUUGGCUUCAUAGAAAAAAUUUGGACCCAAUUUGAAUGUCUUGCAUAAAAAGAGAUACGUCCCACUUUGAAUGAUAUUGAAGAAAAAAAUUUCUGAUGAAGAAUAUAUUGUUGGCAGGGUCAUGCAGGCCAAUAGGGAAACGAUAAAUUCAGAAGAAUGAGUCCAAACCAGUGGGCUUGAAAAUUAAGAAGAGAAUUGCUGUAUAAAACAAUCAUUUCUUAAUCGAGUUCACUUUCUGAAUAAUCGUCACUUUGAGAAUGCAUACUUAGGAAGAUGAUGAUCCUUAAUGGGAAUAAUCAAAGGCAUCAAAAAAUUGUUCUGGAACAAUUCUUGAUUGUCUCCAGUAAAAUUCAAAGUCAAAAGUCAAAAGUCCAGUCGGUCAACACCAAACCAGGCCAGUCCAAAAGACAUUAAUUUGCAAUCUAGAAUCUAUGAUGAGGUGGCGAAAUCAAACCUUGGCUUUUCACCAGGGAAUGGUACUCUGAAUUUGGUCAGUUCACUGUUUCGAGUGAAUAGGGUGUAGUAAUUAGUAAAUCAUAUUUUAGAUUUGUGUCACAAGUUACAAGGGAUAUGGGCUGACGUUCAAUUUUGGCGACAAUUUGUGGGCCCGUAUAUUUGUUGAGAUGUGGAAAUUGGGUGUGUGCUUUUUUCUGCUACCACAUAAAUAUAUUUCUUUGAAUUGAAGAGUGUUUCAGACCAUUUUUUUUCAAGUCACAAAUGGACAACUGAUUGAGAUUGUAUUGGUGAGAGUAGGAGUUUAUUUUGGGCUGGUUGAGCGAAGUUGAAAGUCGAGUUGGACCUAACCCUUGAAUUCAGCAGACUACAGUCCGAUCCUGUAUUUUGGAUUUAGGGAACCUUCUUUCCCAGAAGCUUCGUCUGGGUUUUAAAGUCUAAAUGUGGCUACUCUUAAACAUUGGAGAAAGGAUGAGCGUUCACAAGCAAAUGGGUAAUUGUGGAUGGUUCAAGGACCUGGCCAGCUGGUCUUCAAGUUUGGAUGCCGGUUUGGGCCUGAGAGAGUCUUUGCAAAGUGACUUCACUUCAGCCUAUGAGAUCAAGAUAUCAUGGUGAUGUCCGAUCACUUAGGUUUCAUUUUCACCUCGGAUUACCGUUACCAUGUUCAUGAAUAAAAAUAAAUAAAUAAAUGAAGCCUUAUAGAGAAAUUAAUGAAGUGAGCUAUACAAGCAACUGGGCCAGGAGCCUACAAGGCAGAAAUUCCCUGCCCUAGACUAGGCCGAAUAAAUUAGAUGAAUGAAUUGGGGAAACCUGGGCCAGCCACACAUCCUCCUGAAGGCUGAUGUCGAACUCGCUUACGAGGAAUGGACAUGGGAGAUUGGGCUGGGACCAAAUAACCAAUUGACAGCCCUAUCCUUGUGGCAAGACGUCAGUAAAAUGGUUCAUUCUGAUUUUACGCUGCCAUUCAAUUUAAUUUUAAUUUUUGUUUAAAGCGAUGUACAAAUUGAAUGGUGUCUAGUCACUUAAAGAGUGGUUCAUAAUACACUUAAUUUAAACAAAAAAGAAAUUAUUAGAUAGGGGAUUCUCCAAUAAAAACCACCCCAUCUUGUCAGCAAGUCCGGAAACUUCCUUCACUUAGGGCGUAUUUGUUUUUUUAACUUUAAUAUUAAAGAAAGUUGGUUAAACCUUAUGACACUUUUAUAUUAUUUUAUGAAUUUUUUUUAAUUUUUAUUUUAAUGGAAUUUUAACUUUAAUACAAGUUGGAGUAAUUCUUAUCUUAAAAACAAAUCAAAAUUACUUUAAUUUUAUAUAGAAAUAAACUUACAGUAAAUUUACCAUGAAAAUUUCUAAGUCAAAUACACCAUAAGUGCUAGUAUUUUAUAAUAUUUAGAAACAUGUUAAAUUAUUAUUAUUAUUUUUUAAAAUUAUUAGUUUUCAUAUUAGUUUUAGGGAAACUUGUGCUUUAGGUCUUUUAUUUGCAAAUAAUAUGGUUUUCAAAUCCUAAGAAUAGAAAAUAUGAGAAUCAACUGUUAAUGUGGAAAAUAAUAUCAAUUUUGUGCAAUCUCUAUUGACUCAUUUUUUUGUGCCUAGAUUGCCUUCACCCACUUCCAUGUCAACAACCACAUUAAUAGAUUGUUUUUUUUUUAUAAAACAAAUAAUUAUUAUGUUUAAAAUUUUGGGGAAACUCUCUAUCUCUCUUACUUCUUCACUACAUCCGAGACCCAUCUUCCUUAAACGUUUGCCUCUCAUUUUGCCCUAACCCCAAAUCUCAUAAAUUUCUCAUUUUCUUGCCUCAUUUGAAAUAUGAAGAUGACCGAUUCUCAAACAUCUCUGUCUCUCUCUUCACGUUUUGACCAGUCUAAUUGGAAACCCAUUUUCCAAAAACCUUCUUUCUUUCAUUUUGCCCUAACCCCACUAUCUCCCUCUUCAAGACCUAAUCACCCAAACUCGAUAUCUAUCUUCCCAAAACCUUCAAGCAAACUGAACUAGACCCAUAUCUUCUUUUUUCAUCAUCAAAGGUGAAAUUUUUUUAAGGCUUUUGGAAACCGAAUUGGAGCUUUCCCUUCUUCUGGGAUUAAUCAUUCGCAAGUGAGUUUUCCAUUUAAGGCUUUGUUUGGCUGUUGAAAUCUUGGGAUCAAAGGUCUUUUAUUUUCAGGUUUCUUGUAUUUUGCUUUAUUUUCUUGUAUAUAACAAUAAUCAUUGUAACAUAUGCUAGUAGUUACCCUUGGUGCAACUUUACAUUUCCAAAUACCCUAAAGUCCAAAGCUUUUAAUUCCCUUUUCAAAGCUUUCAACUUUGAAAGCAGACUAAACCAUAAGAACUAUGAAACUUAUAUCUCUAUCACCACUAAUUAAGCAUGUCUAUGAAUCCUUCCACUUUAAGUCACUUAUUCUCAAACCAAGAAGGGCUCCUCUCAUUCUCACCCCACCUCAUCUAAAUGAGGGAAAUGAUCAAUUGCAGCCAUGCUUUGCACCAAAUUAGAGAAGUGAUCCUCCCAAUCAUCCAUUACCAAAAAUUGAUCAUGCUGAUGAGAUCAUAAGAGUCUAUUCGGAACUCCCAGUUUACUUGCCUCUUAUCUCAGGAUCCUCCAUUACCCCCUGUCUUUCCAACAUCAAAUCAACUUGCAAACAAUUCCUUUGUAGAUAAAAUGUUUUUAAUAUUGCAAAAGGGGACUUAUCAUAAUGGUUGAAUCGAUUUAUUUGAUAUAAUCACUCAAAUUCAAGCUUAAAAUUGAUCAUAAUAAAAUGUUUUUAAUAUUGUUAAAAGGAGAUUAUAAUGGUUUUAUUUGAUAUCAUUACUAAAAUUCAAGCUUUCAAACAUGCUCUACAAAGAAGUUCUAAAAGACUACAAGAAAGAGUUUCCACUAAAGAAAAACAAUGAAACCAUUUCUACUAAAGACAAACAAUGAAACCACAGAUGCUUUGUGAAAUAUGUACCCGCACAAUCCAACAAACUUUAGAAAUUCACAAACACUACCUAGAAUUUUUGCUGACCAGCAAAAAAUUUAUGCAAUUUAAUUCUUAUUGUUAUUAUUAUUUUCAAUGUGAACAAAUAUGAUUGAAUUAUGAAGUAUUUGGCCAGAAGAGGAUCUUGCCUAAUUAUAGUCAUUAAACAACCAUUUAUACCAUAGCCUCUAGACUUUAAAAAGUUUAUAAAACUCAAGGGCUUCCACCCAAUUUCUAGAUAUCUCCAUAACAUUCUUCUGACUAUUAGAAAGCAAUUACCACUUUAAUUUUUCAUUUCAUGAGUGUUCAAUUCAGAAAAAGACCAGGAUCGAACUUGCGAUCAUGCAGUCGAAAAUCCACCUGUGCAUGAAACUAUUGCCUCACGAUUGCAAACUCAAGUUGGAGUCCAGUAACAACUCUAGGUUUGCUGAUGUGCUCCAUUUGAAAUAAAGGAACUAAAGAAUACUUUAUAAAGAUUAAUUACCUUCAUAUUUUAGGUUGGGGUUAAGGCAAAAUGUGAUAGAUUGAGAGGAAGAAAAUAUAUCUUGUUCAGGAAGCCAAUAUUUUGGAGUUCACCUUUCCAUUCGAGUCCACUCUGCUAUAGCAAAAUCAGAGUCACAACUAUGCCUCUUUAAGCUAUCCUUUAAUUGGAUGAAUUGCAGAUUUGGUUGCUGAGAAAGUGGAUAAGAAAGAAAAAUGCAUACUGUAGCUUGAGAUUAAGAGUUUGUUUUCUAAAAUGAGAGAAAGGGAAAGAGAAAAAAUGCAUAUUGUAGCUUGAGAUUAAGGGUUUGUUUUCUAAAAUGAGAGAAAGGGGAAGAGAAAUGUUCGACAACUUUGAGAUGACAAAUUUUUAGAUUUGGAAAAUUUGAGAUGAGUCUCAGGUUUUUUUUUUUUUUUUUUUGUCUUUGUCUUUGUUUUUUUUUUUUUUUUUUGUUUUUUUCCCAAAAACAACCUGUUAAUGUGGUUGUUGACAUAGAAGUGGGUGAGGGCAAAAUGGGCAUAGAAAAAAGAGUCAACACAAAGUGCACAAAACCCAUAUUAUUUUCCACAUUAAUGACUGAUUCUCAUAUUUCUUGUUCUUGGGAUUUGAAAACCAUAUUAUUUGCAAAUGGACCUCCCAAAGCACAGGUUUCCCUUAGUUUUAUGUCUCCAUCUACAUUUUACAUAUAAAUAGAUUAUUUUAUAAAAUUUGUUUUGUAGAUAUAUUAGUUAAUAAUUAUAUAAUUAAUGAUAUAGAAAACAUAUAAAAAUCAUAUUUAAAAAAGAUAAUUACAUAUUCCUCAACAAUCCAUCCCAAGAAUUCGAGGUUGAGUUGAAAACAUGUAGAGUCUUUGAUGUUAUUAUAAUCAUAUCCAACACAUAUGAUUAUUGUUUAUGAGAUAUUAUUAGAAAGUUUGUCUUAAAAUAAUUGAUUUAUUACCCACCUUUAGCAAAUGCCCAUUUUUGCGUCUUUCAAAAUUUUCAUUUUUUUUUUGUUUAAAAGAAGUAUUGUAAAGAAUGAUGAAAUAAGAAAUUUGUUGAGAAAGUGUGAGUAAAUAAUUUUACAUAAAAAGAGAUUUAAUACUUGAUAAAUAAAAUAAUAAAAUCAUGAUUUCUAGUUGUAUAGGGCCGGGUGGAUGGAGUGGCUAAGAUGUAAUUCUUGAAAUAGAGGAGACAACAUCAAUGUAUAAAAGUUUAACAGAGAAGGAAAGUGUGUUUGAAUGACUUUAUUUUCUUCAUUUAAAGUUUUGACGAUGAGUGUUUAUACAAGAUAAAUUUUCAAAUGAUAGGACUCCUAUUUACAUGGAGUUUGUGAUAUACUAUGAUUAUACAAAUUUAAAAUUCAAACAGAUUCAUGAGUUGAUAGGAGUCUGCUCAAUACGCCCCUUCAAAAUGGUGGGAGAUAGCACACCAAUCUUGACUCGAAGGGCCUAAACUCGUGCAGAAGAUGAGGGCUUUGUUAGAGCAUCGACAAGUUGAUCCGUGGUUGACAUAUGGGACACCUUGAGCUCACCUGAUUAAACCUUGUUUCAAACAAAAUGAAAAUCAAUCGCCGAUGUGUUUCAUGGAGAGUGAAACAUGGGAUUUGCACAAAGAUAUGUUGCACCCACGUUAUCACAAGAGAUAGGAGGUGGUGAUAAAUUUGAAACACUAAGUUUUGAGAGAAGAGAAUUAACCCAAAGAACCUUUGAGGCUGUAGAGGCCACGACGUGAUAUUUCGCUUCAGUGGAAGAGCGUGCUAUGAACUUUUGUUUCCUCGAUGACCAAUACACAAGAUUGUGACCAAGAAAAACAAUGGGAGCAUUGGUGGAGGAUCUGACAUAAGGAUUCCUUGCCCAUUCAACAUUCGAAUAUGCAUGUAGAUUGAUGGGCGAUUUCUUAUGCAAGAACAGACCAUGCACCAUUGUGCCGACUAAGUAUCUAAGCAAUCUUUUAACACAAGACCAAUGUGUUGAUGUUGGAUGGUGCAUAAAUUGAGAUAAUUUAUUCAUCAAGAAGGUGAUGUCAGGGCUAGUAAGAGAGAAGUAUUGAAGGCUUCCAACAAUUGACAUAUAUUUAGUGGGACCAGGAAAAGAGGUGUCAUCACACAGAUUUGGAACAUUGUUGAGGAACAUCAAUGAUUGAACUGGUUUGGUAGCCACCAUUUGUGUUUUCUUAAGAAGCUCUCGAAUGUACUUGAGAUAAAAAUAAUCCUUUGGAAGUAUGUAUCAUUUCAACACCAAGAAUAAAAGAUGAAGUCCUGAGAUCCUUAAUGGAGAAUUUGACUGCUAAUUGAGAGAUCACGCGAGCACGAAAAACAUUAUUGUUACUUGUUAAAAUAAGAUCAUCAAUAUAAAUAAGUAGGUAAACAAUGAGACCACUCUUUUUAAAAAUGAAGAGGGAUGUCUCGGUUUAGGAGUUGACGAAGGCUAUUGAGAGGAGAAAUUGGCAAAGUUCAUGAUACCAUGAUCGUGGAGCUUGUUUAAAGCCAUAAAAAGCCUUACAAAGUUGGCAAAUGUGAUGAUGUGUGUAUUCGUGAACCCAGGAGGUUGAAUCAUGUAAACAUCUUCAUGAAGUGUCCUAUGCUAGAAUGCAUUAUUAAUGUCCAAUUCAUGAGUUGAUAGGAGUCUGCUCAAUACAAUGUGGGAGUGUGAUUUCAAAAUUAGGGUAAUUUCGAAAUGGAUUUUGUAUUCACAAGUUGAAUUUCAAAAUUAUUUUGAAAUGGUCUUUUAACUUUAAGCAGUUGUGUUCAAAAGGUCAUAACUUCUUCGUUUCAAUUUUGAUUUACACAUUGUUUAAAACAUUGGACUCUUUACUUCCCGAGCUUCAAAACGAUAUAUAGUAUGCUCAAAAAUGACAUCAGGAUUGGUUCAAAUUUCAUCUUGAUAUUAGAGUACAUGUUGUGAUUAGAUUUUGAGUUCCAAAUUUCCAUGUAAACUUGAUUGCAUUUGCUUCAAACCUCCUUCAUUAUGGUUGCUUGCCCUCUAUCUCACUUUGCAACAUUUGUUACUAGUAUUUUAUGUCCAUGACUUACUCAUUUCAACCUUUCUUGGAUUCUUCAUGGUUCACAAAUUAUGGAUUCUUCAUGGUUCACAAAUUGAGUCUUUCAAUUAUGCAUGUUUAACUCCUAUUUCCUUGGUUGAUAAUGACUUUUACACUUAUCAUUUUCUUUUAUUCUUUAAACCUGAAUUUAGACUUACAAAAAAAAGUUAGAUCCAUAACUAGGGUCUUAGCAUCAAUUUGAGUUAAGUUGGAUGAUUUGAAAAUUUUAUAUUACAUAAAUCAUAUCAUACAUGUGCCAUUGGAGUGCACAUUUUGGCUCUAAUCAUGUUCCAACCCAUUGUUUUACUCUUGCAUGAAGUAUGUGGCCAUUGAUUUUAAUUUUAUUUGCGAUUAGGUUCAAAAUGGUGCUUUUGUGUUGCUCAUGUGUCAUCAGAAGAUCAACUAAUGGAUUCUCUAACAAAACUACUACAUCAUAGUCAUUUUUUUUUUUCUUAAGACCAAGAUUGAGAUCUCCAAUCGGAGCCAACUCCAUCUUGGGGGCAUGUUAGUGAAAGAUAAAAUUUAUCUUUAAUUUAAAUAUUAAUAUUUAUCAGUUAUUAGUUUUAAUUAGAGUAAAAGAUAGAGUUUAAAUUGGAGUAGGAGAUAAACUUGUGUUUGAACUAGAAUAGAAGAUAAAGUAUAAAGAUUUAUGUUUGAAUUAGAAUAAAAUAUAAAGUUUGAAUUAGAGUAGAAGAUAAACUUGUUCUUUAUUUGUAUAUAAAUAUUCAUCAAUUCUUGAGAAGAAGAUUAUUUCAUAGUUUUUCUAUCUUCUUUUUUCUUCAUACAUAUCUGCAAGAAAUUGAAGAUUUCAAGUAAAAUAUUUUCUGUUUUAAAUAGUGAAAAAAGCUAGAAAUUCACUUUGUUAUCUCUUGGGGUAAAUUGACAAGGUUUAACGUUAAGAAGGUGAAUUAUUUUUUCAGAAAAACUGAAGUAGCUAGGAUAUCUGGCCAGUUGUGAUCGAUAAAAAAGUUGUAAAAUCUCUCAUAUACUAAACAGGUUUUGGAUGUUGGUAUGGUAAAUCCAUCUGCAGUCAUUCGUCAUCUCAUCUAGUGAGAUGUUUGGGAGGUGGUGACCGCCGGAUUGGGUUUCAUUUGGUUAAAUCUGUCAGUGGGUUGGCUACUACCCGAGCCUCUUGCUUUGGGGGAGGUGGGUUCUAGAUAUAAUGUUCAAACCAUUUUAGUUAUCAUAUGCAUGACAUGUAAGCAUAAUCUCUUUAUCACUUCUUCAAUGGGAGUUCAUGGUUAGGAAUUGACUUCUUUUCUUCUGGGAUGCUUGGCAUGUAAUGGACAAAGUUACUUUUAUAUCGAUCGAAUUUCUAGUAUUAUAGUGAAGACUUACCCUUUUGACAUUUUAUAUCGAAUUAUAGAAGAUGAAAGGGACAUACAUGCAAUCGACUGACGCUUUAGUGAAUAUGCUGAAAAUAUGCUGAUGCUGUGGAGAUCGUAUGAGGACAGAGGAAAAAGAUAGAAAUGGAUAUAUAAUUAGACCUAGGUUUUUAUUAAAUGAGAUGGGGAACAUAGAGUGAGGGAAAAUCAAAAUUUUUGGCUGCAGUUCACAUUGGUGAUAUUUUGGAUUGACAAAGACUAACGACUUUUCUAUUUUUCUUUUCGGCCUGACUGGAUAGUUGGACAUGGACAAUACAGAAUCCACAGAAGGAUUGUUGGGACCGCUGAAAAUUAGCUAGAAGAAGCUGAGGAAGUAGUCUACGUAGUCAAAUACCAAACACAAAGAAAGAAAGAAAUGGAUAUCAUGGAUGCCUAGAGUUAUACUCCUAAUACCGUCACAGGUAUUUUUCUUUCCUCCUUUUUUUUUCUACGAUAAUUAGAGCAUUUCUCCUCCUCCUCCUCCUCCUCCCCCCACCCCACCACCAAAAAAUAAAAAAAUAAAUUAUUGCAAGUAACACUUCAAAUAUUAAUUUAUACAUUCUAAAGUAUAUAUUCAUGAAAUAACUUGAGUAUCAUACAUUAGUUCUCAAAAAAAAAAAAAAAAAAAAAAAAAAAUUACUGGAAGAGAAAAGUUUAAGAAAACAUAAAAAUAUUCAACUACUAUUUUAAAGAGAAAAUUUAAUUUUUACACUAUAAAUUUGAAGAGAACUUUUACAUGCAUCUUAUAUAAACUACCAUUUUUUGCUAAAAGGCUUAAAUUUGUCAAAAAUACCCCUUAGGUGCUUAACGUUCUGGUCAUAAUAUAAUUGGCAUCUUUUCUCAAACAUAAGGCCUGUGUGUGGGAACAAGAUUUAAUGUUAAUGAGCUUCGCCACCGACAUUUAGUUCCAGAAAUCAUUAUUUUAAUAGAGUGGGCUCAAUUUACAACUUUAAUUAAACUCUAACCAACUGCAUUGUGAAAUGAAUAUGUUUCUUUCGUGGUGAAUCCAAUGAGUUGGGAGUCAAACUUUGCUUCAUUGUGUAUAGAUGAAAUGUUAAGACUCCAUGUAACCUCAAACAUUUCCGCAAUNNNNNNNNNNNNNNNNNNNNNNNNNNNNNNNNNNNNNNNNNNNNNNNNNNNNNNNNNNNNNNNNNNNNNNNNNNNNNNNNNNNNNNNNNNNNNNNNNNNNUUCUUUCGUGGUGAAUCCAAUGAGUUGGAGUCAAACUUGCUUCAUUGUGUAUAGAUGAAAUGUUAAGACUCCAUGUAACUCAAACAUUUCCGCAAUGAGCGGGAGUUCUAAAUUUAAUAAUUGAAAUUGUCAGUGGAACCAGUGGACAAGAGUUGGUUUGUGGUUGACAAACUUAUCCGUUUGAUCUUUACUUGAACAGUUCCAGUGUGUGGAUGGGUACUGAUGAAGUGUGCGCAUUUAUUUUGAGAAGCCUGCUUGUUCGCAUAGAUUUUAACGACAUGAACAUUGUGGUAAGGUUAGAGAGUAAUGCGAAUGUAGGAGCUUAUAUUAGAAAUGACACAAACACGUAAAUAGAAGUAAUCUAUAUAUGAUAUUACUCAUGGACUACAAGCAAAGAAGUACAAUACAUGGAGUAAGUGAUGAAAUGAGCAUUCCUCACUACUACUGCUUGACUGAUGGAACAUGAUGCACGAGAUAGCAUAAGUAGUAGUAGGAAGCAGCUCUUAUUUGUGGCGUCGGUAUACAUCAUACUAGGUAGAUGGUUCAAUUGGCAUGGAUGGGUGGUGGAGCCUUGAAGUGCUUGUGAUGGGGAGCCCACGGCUUCUUCUCAGGAGUUGGUGGCUUCUUGUAUGGAGUUGAUGGAGGUGUUUCUACUGGAGGGUGGCCAGGGUAGUGACCCUGGGGUGGUGAAGGUUCUUUUGUCGGUGGUGGCCUCACUAUUAUUGGCGGUAGAGUUGGUGGCUUGGGCGUUGGCGGUGGUCUCACUACUCUUGGGGGUAGAGUUGGUGUCUUGUGUUUUGGUGGUGGAGGUGGCUUAACAGGAGUUGGUGGCUUGUAUUCUGGGGGUGGUUUCUCCACCGGAGGUGGCUUAUAAACUGGAGUUGGUGGCUUGUAUUCUGGGGGUGGCUUCUCCACUGGUGGUGGCCUGUAAACAGGGGUUGGUGGCUUAUAUUCUGGGGGAGGCUUCUCCACUGGAGGCGACUUAUAAACAGGGGUUGGUGGCUUGUAUUCCGGGGGUGGCUUCUCUACGGGAGGUGGCCUGUAAACAGGGGUUGGUGGCUUCUCCACCGGAGGUGGCUUAUAAACGGGGGUUGGUGGCUUGUAUUCUGGGGGUGGUUUCCCCAGUGGUGGAGACUUGUAAACAGGAAGAGGUGGUUUGUGCUCAUAUGGGGGUGGCUUGUGGUCAUUAGCAAGUGAGGGAGUGGUGAGGACCACCAAUCCAAGGAACAACACGAGUGAGCAAGCAGAAGACAUGUUUGGGCUCUGGUGAUGCACAAGUAGAAGAAAUGGGAACCAUUUAUAAUGCUUCGAGACCUUGGUUAGCACCAAAAUAUGUCAAAAUCUUGAUUACUUCAUUUCAUACAUAGAUUUAAAAUUAUUUCAAUCAACCAUGAUCCUUAAUUUUCUGGGUGGUCCAUAAAUGUAAUGGGGUCAAUUUGGGACCUAACAAGCUGAGAAGUUUGACAAUGCUGCAAGGCUUCAUCCGAAAGUCCGGGGAAGAAUAUUAGGAGUUACACUCCGUUUCCUUUUUUGGGUGCAUUUUUCUCCUUUAACAUUCUAUUCCCUUUUACAUUAGCAUUUGAUCUUAGCUCAUUUCAAGUACAAGUUUCUUGAACCCUAUACCAUUGUCAAAGUUGAGUAACCAUCUCUACUUUGCUCAAGAAACAUAAAAGACAAUGACAAUAAAGAAAAAGGAGAGAGACCAUACGUGACUUGGUUUAUAGGUGGCUUUGUGUUGACAUUUGAGUAUGGAAGCCGACAUGCAUCUUAGCUUCGAUUUUAAUUAAAUUUGUACAUUAGUGUCUGUGUCAUUCAUUUUGGUAUAAAAGGUCUCUUGAUUUCGUAAGUUUGGUAAGAACCGUUGAAAAUAGCAGUAGCAGCACAUGGUCCACUUUCUUUCACAAAAUAAUUUUAAAAGUUUAGAAGCAUAGGAGGUAACAUUAGUGGCCUUGUGGCUCAGCCACGAGUACUAUGUGGUGCUCGAGAAAUUGAGUUUAAUUUCCUUCCGAUAGUUCAUGAUAAGGUCCGUCACUGUCCUGAGACAGAUUGCGUUUUUUCUUUUUUCCUUUUUUAGUGUUUUAUUGACUAGCUAGGUGUGACUUUUCCUACUUUAAGGCACGAGGCAGAAAAGAAACUGGGAUUUAGUGCUUAAGAAGGCAAAUUUAAUUCGAUUUGGAUCUAAAAUUUGCCAGCAACAUGAGAUUUUCCAGCCUAUCGUUGCUCCACAUAUAGACAAGGCACUUGUAGAAGUGGCUUGUUUGUAGCCAUUCCCGAUAUUUGGACUCACUUGAUUCACCGGACACUUUGAUAAAAUUUAAUAUUUAUUAUUUAAUAAUUUAAAUUGAUUUAAAAUUAAAUUAUACCGAAGUUGUGAUUUAAAAAUUAUUAUUUAAUUCUUACUUUUAAAUAUGAAGAUUAUUUGAUAAAAAUAAUUUAAAAUUUAUUAUAAAUUAUCAAAUUAACAUAUUUAUCCUUAUAAAUUAUAAUUAAAACAGAAAAGGUCAAAUGAUUUGAGUAUCCAUAGAUGUGGUAAAAUAAUAAAAAAGAUUAUAAAAACAAUUAUGAUAAAUAAAGAUAAAAAGUAAAAUGAAUAUGUGAAUUUAAAGAAUAAAUUAAUUAUUUUUAUUUAUUACUUAAAAUUAUUUUUGACUUUAAAUUAUAUUAUUAAAUUAUUUUACCAAACAUACUUAAUUUAGUUAAUAAUUUAAAUUUAAUUUAAGUUAUUAAAUUGAUUCACCAAAUACCCACUUAAUCAAAGACUGAAGUAUACAUUAUUUGGCCAAAUGCAGCUAUUGAAAUUUAACUUUUUCCAAACUUAUUCAUUUUGUGGAAAUAUUUUUAGAAAUGAUUUUAAAAAUGCACUAUUCUGUGUGUUGAUUUUAUAUUUUGGCAUUAAUCCAACAUAGAAAACGGUUCUUAUUUUCGCUGUUAAAUAGGUACCAGAUCCUUAAUUAGUGCCGUGAAUCCGGCAGCUUCCAAUGAGUAAUUUGGACUUGGGUAUUGACAAUGUGUGGCCAUGCUUCUACUAUUUUAUUAUUCUUGAAACAUAUAUGAUAUAUUGGACUUUAUACAGGGAAAAAAAAAAAAAAAAGUCUUCACCAAAAAUGAUUCCUCCUAAAAAAUAGACUCCACAAACUAGGUUUAACAGGAAAAUGAUUCUAAUCUAGUAGUUUCCAGCCACAUGAGCAUUUACGUAACAAUAGUAUAGUUGAUAACGACUUUUAUUUUAUUUAUUUUUAAAUAGUUAAAGGGAUAAUUUUUGAGCUUAAAUUUUAUUUUUUUAUUUAGAAACAUUUUACUUUAUUUUUUAAUCAUAAUUCUAUUAUAUUAAUGUUUUAUUUUCUAUUUUUUAAUAUAUAAGGAGAUACUAAAUUUAUGUGAUUAUUUUUUAAAAAUUUAGUAUAUGAAAUUAAAUAAUUGGAUAUAUAUACAUAUAUCAUAUAAUGUUUUUUAAGUGUGAUUUUUGAACUUUUUAGUCAUUUUAUAAGUUUAAGCUUUUGAUUUUUUUUUUUAAACUUUGGUAUUUUUUAUUUUAUAUAAAACUAUUUUGAUUUAAUUUUAUUAAAAAAUAUUGGUAUUAUAAAUUAUUGUAUUAAUUAUUUUUUUAUAUUAUAAUGUAACUGGUAUAUACUAAAAAAUGUAUGCAAGUUCAAUUUAAGUUUCAAAUUAAAAAAUUUCAUUUAAAUAUUUAAUAACUUGUUCAUAAUAAAAAAUUAAACAACAUAAUACAAAUGAAAAGAAACAUAAAAGAAAAAGGAAAAAAUGGUCCUCUCUGUGUGUCACAUUACUAGGUCAUCCUCUUUUUCUAUGACCCUUACAAUAGAAUGGCAUAUUUGUCAAAUCUACUUAUGAAAGUUGGAAUGUUUCUACAUGUGUAGGGUCCAUUGGAACUAAUGGAGGAAAGGCUUAACGUCUAUGUAAAUCACAACGUUGCCUAGGUGGGCAUAGAUCUAGUUGUGUAACAUGAGAUGGUGUGAGAGUACAAUAUAUGCAUUGUAGUCUCUAUGGGAAGAGAGAUAGGUAAUGGUAGGGUGGUAGACGGUAGGGUGAUCUCUAAUAUAAUGACAUUUGAUGUGGUGGCUUCUAAGAGAGGAGAUAUAAGAGAUGGUAGAAUGACAUUUGGUGUAAUGGUCUCUAGUGCAAUGACAUGUGAUAUGGUGACCUAUAAAGAAGAGAUAUAGGUGAUGGUGAAGUGGUAUGUGGUGUAGUGACCUUUGAGAUAGAAAAUAGAGGUAAUGGUAGGUUGGCAGGUGGAGUGGUCUUUGGUGUAGUGACAUCAAUUAUAAAUGUCUCCAAGGGAGGAAAUAAAGGUGAUGGUAGGUAGUAAAUGUUGAGGUGGUCUUUGAUAUGUUAUGCUCUAAGAGAGAAGGUAUAGGUAAUGAUAAUAGGGAAUUUGACAUAGUGGUGUUGGAAAUAAAAAGUGAAAGUGACCGUAGAGGUGAAAGGGCAAGUGUAAAAGCCUCAAGUACGAAUGGAGUAAUUAAUGUGGAUGGUGCUAACAUAGUCUUAGGUGGAUACACAAAUAGUCAUAGUCAUCAACUAGCUUGCCCACCAUCUGUCUUUCUGCUAGUGAUAGGUUACAUCUUAAUAGUAAUGGCCAACAUAAGUGGUGUGGAUCCGAUUUUUUUACGUGUGUCCCCACUCAAUCGACAAGACUUAUUUUUUAUUAGUGAAAAAUUAAUUUUGGAAAAGUUGGAGUCACCACUUAUUUUAUUUUAUUUUAAAAAGGAAAGUAAAACAAGAAAGAGAACUCUAAAGAAGUGACUUCAUAGUUUUGGAAAAGUUAGUCUUAAAAAAUCCAAGUCUUGGUCCGGAGAUCAGGUUACUUAUUGGGAAGAUACCUCUAAGAGGUAAUACCCCUCUAAACCCUAAAGAAGUCUCUAAUGACUAAGUUGAGGAGAAUGUGGUAAUUAAUUAAUUGAUUGAGGGUACCUAGGUAGACUAAGGUGAUUUCAGAAUUAACAUACCAAGCUAGAAAGUCCAAUCAUGAUCAUAAAAGAGAGUCAAAGUAUGUACCUGAACUGCUUCUCAAACGCUAUCAUAAAACAUCAAAGUUAGUAUAGAAAUAUAACACAUAAUAUUUGUUUUAUCCAAGCAAAUAAAGCAUACAUCUAAGCACCCAAGAAUCACAUCAAGUAUGGAUAUAGUCAUCAAUAGCAUACGUGUCCAUAGAACUAUCGAAAGUAAAUGUGGAGGAGCGUAUCUGGACAACAUAGAUAACUUAUAAUGUGCUUCCACAAGACAUGGGGGUUAGAUAAAAGUUAUAAUAAUAAUUAGUAAAUGAAAGAAUUCUAGCAUGUUUGGUAUCUAAAUAACAUAGCAAAAAUGAACAAGAGUACACGAAAACAUCAAUUAUCACACGAGUCAUAUUGGCUAGUAUUUAAUCAAUAAACCAACAAUAAAUGACUAUAAACAUAUAAAAUGACAUAUUCAAAGAGACCCAAACAUAAAGAGCCUAGAACACAAGCUUACACUAAAUUUAGAAAACUAAAACAUGGAAUUUUAAAAGCAUAAAUUAGCAAACAAAUUGAUGGAAACUAAAUUUAGAUAACUUAAGAAUAUUUUUCUUAUCCUUCAAUUUAAAUCAGUAAGCCAACAAUAAAAAAUUAUAGAAACAUGGAAUAUCAAGAUCAAUGGGAUACCUAAACUAUAAUUUUUAAAAGAAAAUAAACUAAGCAUAAUAUCUACAAAGCAACUAAACUAACAUUUUUUUAAAAAUAAAUUAAACAUGACAUUAAUGGAGUAACCAAACUAAAUUAAAGUAAACUAAAAACAUUUAUGAAUUUUCAAACAUGGAAUCAGCUUUCUUAGUAAAUUAAAAUUAUUAAAAUAAAAUCUAAGCUUAAAAAUGAAUUAAAUACUAACUAAAGCAAAUCUAAAACCAAAUAUUUAACACAUAGGAUCAAUUAUAUUAACAAACUAAAAUUUUAUAAGAACACUUAAACCUAAAGUUGAAUUAAAAACUAACCAAUUUUUAAAACUAGAUCUUUAACCCAUAGGAUCAAUUAUAUUAACAAAUAAAUAAUAAAUAAUAAAUAAAUAAAACUCAAACCUAAAGAUGAACUAGAAAUGUACCAAAGUAAAUUCAAAACAAGAUCUUUAACACAUUAGAUCAAUUAUAUUGACUAACUAAAAAAAAAAAAAAAAAACACUCAAACCUGAAACGAUGUAUUAGAAACUAACCAAAGCAAAUUUAAAAUAGAGUCUUUAACACAUAGGAUCAAUUAUAAUCACUAACUUAAAUUACAAUUUUUGAAACAUGAACUAAUUAGUGUUGGAUUAAUUAAACUAAUUAACUAAAAAAAACUAUAAACUAGAAUACGGUGAAUCAAGAAUUCAAAUCAACAAACAUAAAAUAUGGGUACAAUGAAAUGAAAAUCUAUUAAACUAAUAAGACGGAAAUAUGACAAACUCAUGAACCCACAUUUUGAUCAACUAGGAAAUAGAAAUUAAUAGACCUGUAGCAUGGAUACAAUGAAAUGAGAUCAGUUAAAUUUAUUUGCCGAAAUUCUAAAAAACACAUACACUCAAAUAAGAUCUAAAUCUAAGACCAAGCAAAACUCAAACUUUCUCAAUCUAAUGCAAUGAAUCAAAACUAAAAUUAAAUAGAAAUCAAACCAUUUUUUUUUUAUCUAAUAUAAUAAAUCAAAGCUAAAACUAAACAAAAUCGAAUUUUCUUAAUUUAAUAUGAUGAGUCAAAGCUAAAAUUGAACAAAGUUCAAACCUUUAUAUAAUGGAUCAAAGUUAAAUCUAAAUGAAAUCCAUACUUCCACAAUUUGAUAUAACAAAUCAAAAAUAAAACUAGAUAAAAAAAAAGUCAAAGCCUUUCAACUUGACAUAGUGAAUCCAAACUGAAACGAAACAAAAUUUUAACUUUUCCAAUGAAACCCAAUAUAGAAAAAAUUAGCUUACCUUCUUUAGAAUAUAUGUAUGGGCCAUAAAGAAGUCACCUUGGUGCAUGUGUUCCUCACUUUGACGCCAAUGGACGACUUUCUAUGGUAGCAAAUGGAGAUCCUUUUUGGUGGUAACUUGCGUGUGGAAACCUAUGGUACAACCAAUGUCAUCUUUUAUUGUGCGUGUGGACCAAUUUCUUCUCGAGAACUCAUGUGUGUUGUGCUCAAAAUAUGUUGCCUGUGAGAAUCUAUUGGUAUACCCCACAUAUGGUUUCCUUGAGAGAAUCUGUGGUUGUGUGUGGGCGUUUUCUUCAUGACAGCAUGUGGAUGUUCCCAUCUAUGGUAGAUUGGUUGUGAUGCUUUAGUGCAUGGUCUCCAUAGGAAUAGUGUGUUAUGGAAAUUUGGUUUUUUUAUUGGUGCAUGUUGUCUAGACUUUCCCAUAUGCGUGGACUGUGUGUUCAUGCUUUUCUUUUCGGAUGGUCGCCUGUGUUAAUGUGUGGCGGUGUCUACAAUGAAAGAUACAACCCUUUCUCUCCUUCUGCGUGAUAGAAAAGUCAAUCCCCCAUGGUGCGACUAUGUUCCCUCGUCCUUUUUGAAAAAUUUUGGUGUUUUCCCCCCAAAAAAUCCCCUCCAAAAAUCUAAUUAUAAAUGUCUGCUUUGGCCUAAUGUGUGUGCUACUUUUUUUUUCCUUCUUUUUAUGGUUGUGCGUGCUUUUCUUGAUACGUGGCUUAUUUCUUAAGGAUAUGAUUCGCUCCCAAUUGGUGUCUCAGCUGAUUCAUGUCCUUUCAAUGGUCCCUGACAGUGGUGCCAUUUGAUUCGUGUCCAGCUGGUGUCCCUUGAUUGUGGUCCUCAGAAGGGAGUAAUCAAUAAAAUUUAUAACCUAUUACACCAUGUAUUAGGAUAGCCUUAGCUAGCAUAGCAUAGUGGCUCUAGGGUCGUUUAUUGGGAUGAGUUUUCACUUCACAAUUGAUAUUAAUUCAAGAGCUGAAUUGGUGCCUUUUCAUUUCAAGGUUAGCUUUAAAAGAAAACAUAAUCUUUGGUGGAAAAAGGUUUGGUUUUAAACUAACCAAAAAUAGUAACUGAUUUUACUUACAAAGAAAAGUGUUCUUUGGAGUUUAGAUCACUAGGCUCAGGUUCCUCAUACAAAAAGGAGAGUUCCGAUCAUUUGUUUCUUUUCCUCGCAUUAGAGAAUUAACAUAUAGUUAAUUCUCUAACCGGUGCGGUACAUAUGCUUCCCAUUAAUGGGUUCAAACACUAAAUACCUCUCACUGAUGCACCUUGCAAUGGCUCGUGCCUCUCACCUAGCAUUUAUCAUUCAAGGUGAUCUUUAACCUUGGAUUACCCAUCAAAAGCUCGCAAGAGAUAACUAAAGGAUGUCUCCUUAGAGUCCAAAAGCUUACCAAGUGUUGGUUAUUCUAGAAAAUCCUACCUUCAAACCACCUCCCAAAGGCUCGCAAGAGAUAAACAAGUGCAUCUCAAUGGAUGAAGAUCACUUGCCUUACCAAGUUUUGGCCCAGAUGAUUUAAUGACAUUUUAAGUUAACUAAAAAGAUAAAAACCAUUAACGGGUCACACUUUCUCUUCAUUAAAAACUAAAACAACAAAACUUCCAAUUUAUGCAUGAGGAAACUUACCUGGCUUUCUUCACUUCAAGAGAUGAAGAGCCUAGCCACUCAUCAUUUGAGGAAAAAUCCUCAGAGUUUGAUUUGCUAGAAAUAAAAAUAAUGAGAAAACAAAAAUAUAUAUAUGAAAAACAGAGCAAGUUCUCUGUAAUAUAUUUUUCUUCCUUAUACAAAAGGUUGUCUCUAAGAACAAGUUCCCGAGAUCUAUCUGAUUGUAAAUAAAAUUACAACUAUAUAUAAGAGGUUAUUCACCCCUUUGUUCUUUCUUAAAGACUAAGGAAUCCUAUGAUAGGUGGGUUACAAGGAGAGUUUGGGGAUUUAGACAUCAAAUAUCUAAAGCAAAAUAUCUCAAGAUGUUAGUCGGAAAUAUCAGGAAGCUUCAGGAGAACACCGCGACACUGUAUACUGAGAGAAAAACUCUCCGGGUAAGCUCUAUCAAAGGAUCCAGACAUGUCUGACUGGGAAAGUUGAAACGUCCUUCUCUCCCAUCCGGAUGUGAGAUAUCCGGAGAAAGUGAAAUGUCGGUCGGACAGAAUUCUUUCCCCGGGUGGAAUGAGUUGUGUUGCGCGUCGCAAGGGGGACCGUCUGCGUGUACAAGUUGUAGGGACCCCUCUCCCGGAUGACACCGAGCGCGUAAGGCUAUCCGGAUCAACUCCAUUCGGAUUCCCCAAGAGGACAUGUGGCGUGCUCCCCUAUCAGGACUCCCUUAGGGAGAAGCACACGACACUCGUGAACAUCAUACCCGGACGAUAGCAUGUCCUAUCCGGAUGUGUUGUCCGGAUCAUUGACUAAAGUGAGCAAGCCUUGCUACGUCAUUCGGACAGCUUGCCACAUACCAUGUUCCGUCGCCAUCUGAUGGUGUGUCCGAACGCCUUGUCCGGACAUCUUUUGCUCCUUGCAUUCCGGAUUUGCUUAUGACAAAGGACUUCAAAGCUUCGGUUCUUCAUGUUUCUGAGCUUUCCAUUGCUUUGCCAUGGAUUCCAAAGAACUCUCCUUAAUCACGGAUUGCUUUGGUGAUCAAAAAGUUAUCAAAACACAAAAACUUAACAUAGUUUGAUUAGAAUUGAUUGCAAGGGUUCUUAAUAUGUUAAUUGGGUUAAAAGGUGAUAACUACUACUCAAAAGUGUUUAUAAGAAUUAAUUACAAGCUAUGAAAUAACACUUUUUGAGUAGUAAUCAGGAUACAUCCUAGUUUUUCAUGGAAUUGAUAGUGGGUUGUUGUGCAUGAAUGCCACCAUUUCAACUAUGCUGUUGUUAUUUUUAAAAAAAAUAUGGAUUAUGCGCGAGUGGCAAUUCUCCACUAUGGAAAGUGGAUUGCUCCUUCAACCCAUGCAUGGCUACGUAUUCCUAUGUCUUUCUACUUGUGUUUGAUCCUCCAAAAAAAAUUUCGGUUUAGUGCUAGUAGAUUUUAAGUGGUGGAUCCCCAUUUUUUGAAAAUGAAGUGGCAGCCUCCCAUUUCAAGACAAAAUGGUAGCCUGCCUUUAAUCUUUGGAGAAAAAUCUGUGCAUGACCUUUUUUUUUCCCAAAAAAUCCGUGCAUGGUGUCCUUUAAUAUUUGGAGAAAAAUCUAUGUUGGAUCUUUUCUUUUCUAGAAACAUUUGUGUGGUCUUUUUUGUUAGCCCAAGGGUUCUUCUAAUCAAGUUUUGAUGAUAACAAACCAUGGUUAAGUGACUAAUUGGUUUAAUGAUUAAGAAUCUCAAACAUAAAAUCGAAAAUUCAUCAAAGGACCAAAUGGAUACAAGAUCGAGACGCUUGGAAGACUUGUAAUCAUAGGAAACUAAUGUAAGAUGAAUGCAUGAGUGCACUUAGGAUUUUCACACGUUUCAUGCAACUUAGAAAACCCAGUUUAUUCUUUAAAACUUCAUCCCAGUUUAUUCUUUUUAUGGUUGUGUGUGCUUUCCUUGAUACGUGGCUUAUUUAUUAAGGAUACAUCCCAGUUUUUCAUGGAAUUGACAGUGGGUUGUUGUGUGUGAAUGCCACCAUUUCAACUGUGCUGUUGUUAUUUAAAAAAAAAAAAAAUGGAUUGUGCGCGAGUGGCAAUUCUCCACUAUGGAAAGUGGAUUGCUCCUUCAACCCAUGCAUGGCUACGUAUUCCUAUGUCUUUCUGCUUGUGUGUGAUCCUCCAAAAAAAAUUUUGGUUUAGUGCUAGUAGAUUUUAAGUGGUGGAUCCCCUUUUUUUGAAAACUAAGUGGCAGCCUCCCAUUUCAAAACGAAGUGGUAGCCUGCCUUUAGUCUUUGGAGAAAAAUCUGUGCAUGACUUUUUUUUUCCCAAAAAAUCCAUGCAUGGUGUCCUUUAAUAUUUGGAGAAAAAUCUAUGUGGGAUCUUUUAUUUUCUAGAAAAAUUUGUGUGGUCUUUUUUGUUAGCCCAAGGGUUCUCCUAAUCAGGUUUUGAUGAUAACAAAUCAUGGUUAAGUGACUAAUUGGUUUAAUGAUUAAGAAUCUCAAACAUAAACUCGAAAAUUCAUCAAAUGACCAAAUGGAUACAAGAUCGAGACGCUUGGAAGACUUGUGAUCAUAGGAAACUAAUGUAAGAUGAAUGCAUGAGUGCACUUAGGAUUUUCACACGUUUCAUGCAAUUUAGAAAACCCAGUUUAUUCUUUAAAACUUCAAUUUCAUUAAAACCCGAGUUUUUAACUAAUGUACCUUAGGCAAAAUGUUUUAUAAUUGGCUUAAUAAUUCACCUAAAUACAUUUUCUAAGUGUUAGAAAAGAAAGGAAUUAAAAAAAGGUUUUCGGGGCAAAAAAGGCUCAACCGGUCGAGGCUAUGGUCAACCGGCUCAACCGGUUGAGGAACCAAUCGAUCGGUUGUGCUUGUCCGAUCGAAGACCAAUCGAGGGAUGCCAAAAAAUUUCUCUCUCUCCUAGUGGCCUUCUCUUCCCGGUCGAGGUUCGGUCUAGGCAACGGUAACAUGUCAAGCAUUAAAUGCUCCGACGACUAGUGAAUCGGUCGACCCCUAGCCCGAUCGGACGAGGUUGCCUUUUGCUGUUUUUGACUCCCGAGCUUAGAAACCUAUAAAUUGAGAGCUCCACUUCAUUUAUUGAUAAAAGAGAACACUUGCAUUCAAUAGUCUACCUACCUUUUCUUGAUCAAAAAGCUCUCAUUUCCUUCAUAGUGCAUUAAAUCAUCACUUGCAUAUCCUUUAGUGCACUAUUGUGUGUCAUCCUAGCUUUGUUUUGUAUUUGAGCUAUCCUUAAGCUAGGUUGAGGGAUUAUUUCUUAUAAAAAUCUGAGUGUUAAAGCCUUCAAGAGAUUUGAAUCUUGAAGAGAUUGUGUAAGAGCCCAUUGGAGCCGGAGUCCAAGUGUAAGAAGAUUGGAAGCUUGGUUGAAGCUUCAAGUUAGUGGAACCCUCACUCGGUUAGGAGGUUGAGGAGAGUGGACGUAGGUAAGGAAGUGUCGAACCAUUAUAAACCCGAGUUUGAAUUCUCUAACUCUAUCUCUUUAUUUUGCUUAUAUUGUGUUUGAAUUUGUUGUGAUUGAAAAGAUUUUAAAAACCUAAUUCACCCUCCCCCCUUUUGGGUUUUUUUUUCUUAAUUAAGCAUAACCUUUGUUUUCUAAUUUUCUUUUUAGGAAAAUCCAUGCGUGGUAUGUCCAAACUCUCCAAGUGGCAGUCUGCCUUCUUCUAAAAAAUUUGUUUCUAUUUCUUUAUUCGACUACCUUCCAUGUCUUCCUAAUGAGUGCUUGUGCUCAAUGGUCAAUCCCUGGUGGUUGCCUCCUUUUCCCAUAUAUACGUGUUGCAAAAUCAACAUCCCACUAUAUGUGGGUUGCCUCUAUGGCAAGUUCACAUUUCCCACAUGAAACCUAUGAGUUUCCACCAAAAAUUGCCAUGAAAAAGUCUUUAUAUGCAUCUCAUGCAAUAAAAAGUCAAGCCAAUACUCAUCUUAUCUCGAAAAAUAAGUAACCAAAAUCAAGAUCAUGCCUAAGUGAACUAUGCCAAAAGAAGUGUCCAAGUGACCUAUUAUGAAAAAAGUGCCUAAGUGACCUAAGGUGAAUGUGUGUAAGCUGGAAGGUGUCUAGGAUGUUUAGGACAAUGCCUAAGCCUAAAAUAGGGUUGCCAAGGGUCACAAUGGGGUUAGAUAAAUCUCUCAAUCAGAGUCUCCAAGGUGGCUCAUAAAAGAUAAGCUACACGAGUAAUGAUGGGCCACCAGGGAAUUAUUGUAAAGCACCAAACGAACACAUAAUAGGACAUGUGUUAGAAUGAAAAAAUGGAGGGUUUACAAGUGGUCUCAUGGAUGAGCUUGAUAAUUUAAAUGACUCACAUAAUGAACGUAUGUGAUGUUUCUCUCCAAUAACAAGCAAAACAUCACUAGCAAUAUGAUGAAUGUCUCCUAAAUCACUUGAAGUAGUCCUAGCAAAUCAAUUAGAAAAAUCACACAUAUUGCUCUAAUGUAAUAUUAUAUACAUCUGUCAAUGAAUGGGAGAACUAAUGACACAACCAUCAUGUUGAUAUCUCGAACCCUCUAAUCUCAUAUGUAGGUGGGAUCACACUUAGAAACUCAUAACACAGUAAUGACCAAUCUAAGUCAAAAUGUGUUGGUGAUCGGAGGCCCAUGAAUAUGAAGUUCUAGGAUGAUAAUGACAUCUUAUAAAGUAAUGAUCAUCUCCUUAAUAGAUAGGUGAAAUGUGUGUGUCUUAGGACACCAUCUCUCAACAAGACUUGUGAUCAAUCCCCAGUCUAGUGUAACAUGCCUAUUAUGACAUCCAUCGUAAAAUCUAGACUAGAUAAUAUAAGGACAAAUGUGAGGGUUCAUCUCCCUUUCCCACAUAAAUUUAAAAAAUUAUUAUUGACAAGUUAAGACCAAACUAAGUUGCAAAAUAUAAAUAAGUCCAUUAGAUAACAAAUUUAUGUUUUCUCAUUUUCUCAUUUUUAAAGAGAUAUUAUGUGCUUCCAUGUACAUACAUGCUAAAGUCAAUUAUACGAGACUUAUAUCCAUCUUGUAGAACCAAAUCGAACCUAUCUAAUAGAUCCAGAUUAGAAGUAUGUCCUCUAUACUCCAUAUUUAUAACACAUUUAUAAAGAUAAAUGCUAAAAAAAUGUUAAAGAUAUAAAUUUAAUGAACCAUACUUUAUGAUUUUAAUUCUCAAUUAUUGUUCAUAUUUAUAAGAGAAAAGUUAAAAAAAUUGAUAGAGUUUUCCCUCUAUCAUGGACAUUAUCCCAAAUAAAAAUAAAUUGAUUAUGCAAAUUACAUUAAUAUUUGUAACCAAAUGAUCAAUAACUAUCUUGUAUCAAUUUAGUAAAUAAAUUUAAGUAUAUCUUUUCAUUUAUGACUAACAAAUAACUCAUACUUGUCCAAUAAAAGCCACACCUAAUUUCUAAAAUUUUGUCUUCACCUCAAGUGAGUGUUACAUUGAGAAAGAAAAAAUAUGAAAGAAAAAAUGAACACCUUUUUCUUUUAAUAAAAAAAGGCCAUAACGAAACAUUAAAUCUCACUGUUACACCUAUCUUCAAUGGAAACAUGAGGAUGUGAAUGGUGGCGGUGAUAUUCUUUGCUUGAAGCUCAUAAACAAAUAUUCCUUACUAAGCCUAUGCCAUUUAGUAUUUCAAUAGUGGACCCCCCCCCCCCCCCCCCCCCCCUCCUUGCAUUUCAGAUUUAGCAAACUUAGAACCAAAUAACAAAGUGCAUUUGAACCCAUAAAGAAGUAAUGAGACUCUCCUAUAUUGGCAAUAGAAGAAAUUUUUGGAGGUAUAGGAGAUUCACGGAUGAAGAAGUUGGGCCCCAAUUGAGAUAAGACCCAAGAAAAGAUGGGGUAGAGAGGGAUGGUUGGAAAUUGUAAAGUAAGAUUUUCAAAAUGUAGUUGAUGACUAAGAUUUUGACAAUUUAAAAAAGGUUUAAAAAUGUAGUUAGCAAUCGGGGUUUUGUAACAUUUAAAAAAUAAAAUAAAAUCUCAGGCCACAUGGUAGCCCAUGUGAUUCAGAAGCUUGAGAAUUAUUUUAUAAGAAGACUUAAUUUGUGAUUUUUUUAUAACUAUAUUAUUUUUUUUCUUAACACACGAAAAAAAUUAUGAAAUAAGACAAUUUUCCUAAGAAAGCAUGUAAGUGACUCUUGGUUAUUUUAUUUAACUUCUUCUAGUUUGGAGAGGAUUAAUACCUUUGCUUUUACUCACUUGCUUGGAUAUGUACACGUUGUUCAUGUCACUUUUCAUUUAAUUUUCUGAUUAAGGGAAUUGGAACCGUACGUAACUGUCUUUAUUCCCUCUGAAACUUGGACUUGGAGUUGGACUUUCAAUCUCAUCAGUCGUGUUUCCAUAAAAAAGAAGAUGGAUUAACCAAUUUUCCUAUGCCUACUAAUCAUACACAAAACUCCACUUCCAAAUAAAAAGGAAUGGGAUAUCACUUGUUAAUAGUGGCUAAAGACUAUUAAUAACCAUGCAAAGAAAUGUCACAUUUUUUGUUCUACGCAAAUUUUAUUCAUCAACUACUAGAACCAUUUCAUACAAUAGUAGCUUUUCGAUCCUUUGAUAAAUGGACACUUGAUGUGAUAACACCAACUACACCUAUAUAUUCAAGCAAUCAUGCGUAUAUAAUAGUGGAUAUGGAUUACUUCUCUAAAUGGGCAAAAGUUUUGUCAUUCAAGGAAAGUGAACGAGGAAACACAAGUUUACUUUCAUCGGAACUAAUAUUAUAUAUUGAUAUGACUUCCCAUUAUUACUUACGAUGGAAUAUGCUUCCAUAAAAUGGCCUAGAUGAACAAACUAUCCAAGAAGUUUGGGAUCAAAUAAUAUAUAUAUAGUUCAUGUGUGAUUCUUUGGUUGACAACCUUGUUAAGGGGUGAGUGAAGCACUUUGGGCAUACCACAUACUACAUGCUAGACUUCCACCCAAGCUACCCUAUAUUCCUUAUGAACAAAGUAGAAGUUGUCAUCUCUCUUGAAUACCAAAUCCUUUCACCUAAUAAUGCUAUCUAAAAAGGUCUUAAAAAGGAUAAAAAUGCGCAUAUUUGAAUUUUUGAAUUAGGAGUGCUACUUAAAAAGAAGCUAGAUAUACAAUAAUAGAAUGUUAUCAAGCAUAUCUCUUCAAAGUUUUUGACCAAAAAAUAUAUGAUUUCUCAUUUUAGGUAGGAGACUUAGUACUCACUAUUCAAAAACCAAUUAUCAUUACUCAUAAAAACUAAUAGAAAGUUUGGGCCAAAGUAGGAUGGACCUUAUAUUAUGCAACAAUUAUGCCUAUAAAAUUGUUGCAAAAGAGGUUUUAGAAUCAAAUCAAUGAAUGAAAAAUUAUUAAAGCAUUACUAUGCUUGAAGGCUAGUCAUUUUCCCUUAAAGUGCAAUAUUAAGUUGCAUAGUACUAUGUGGAUCCGCAUUUUUCACAUGCGUUCCCACUCAUUGUCGAGACUCACUUUUUAGAAGUGAAAAAUUAGUUUUAUUAAAGUCGAAGUUGCCACUGGGGAUUUGAACCCUAACAAAAGGUUCAAUUUAAGGAUAAAAAUAUCGAUAAUCACAUAUAUAUAUAUUGGUACUUUGAUUUUAUGAAUAUAUUGAAGAAAUAUGGACAAAUAUUUUGACACAAAAUAUGUACAAAAUAAAAAUUAUAUAAAAAGUAAAAAUAAAUAUUUUAAAAUUAUUUUUUUAAAUAUAUAUAUAUAUAAUUUGACAUAUUUGAUAAUAAUAUAUAAGGGUCUCCAAAAAGCCCGUGGCCCGCUUUAGGCCCGGUCCGACCCGACAGGCUAAAGCCCGGCCCAAGCCCGCCGGGCCCAAGCUCGGCCCGAGCCCGUUUAUGGGUGGGCCGGGCCGCGAGCCCGUAGGCCUGCUCCUUUAAAAAAAAACUACAAAAAUAAAAAGUAUUAAAAAAAAUAUUCAUUUCAAAAUUUUAUUCAUUGAAUGUAUAAUUACAUUUGAAAAUGUGGGAAAAGUUUACAUCACUACAAAAUAAAUACAUCCCAACUAGGUUGGCACCUAUUUAUUUGUCAAUCAUCUGUAUUUUUCAACCACAAAAAAUAAAAAUAAAAAUAUAAUAUACAUUUAGUCAUUAUUUUCUGGCGGUGAUGGCGAACUAUCAUGCAUCCAUGAAGAUCUUGAUAAUUUUAAAGAUUCCAUAUCGGUAAGCAUCUUUGUUUCUCGAAUGGAAUCAUACAUCCUUUUAUCUGCUAUUUCCCAAUCUUUCACACAUAUCCCUGCUUUAAUAACAUCUGACGCUAAGUUGCAUCGUUUUUUACUAACUACUCUUCCACCUGCACUAAAAGCAGCUUCUGAUGCAACUGUACUCACAGGAACUGUUAGUACAUCACGAGCAAUUAUAGAAAGCACAGGAUAUUUGUGUUGAUGUGAUUUCCACCAUAUUAAAAUAUUAAAAUCUUCUUGAUCUUCAAAUGAAAUUAUAUCAGUAUUAAGAUAUUUAUCUAAAUCAGAUGUAUUAUUUGGAGAAUUAUUUGUUGUCUUUUUUCGACUUUUCAACAUUUCUAGAGCUCCUUUAUAAAAAGAUGAGGAGUUUGUAGAUGUAGGUGGUAAUUUAAUAGUAUUAAUAUCAUUACCAUAUUUUUCUUUAUAAUAGUUAUAUAAAUUAUAUAAUAAUGAAUUUAUUUCAUUUUUAAUUUCUUCAAUUUUUAUUUGGUCAUUAAAAUAAAUAAUUGUUAACCAUUCAUCCAAAGCUUCAAAUUUCAAUCUAGGGUCCACAAUUAAAGCAAUAUAAAAAAUUAAAGGUAUUUCUCCCCAAUAUUUUCUAAAUUUUUAUAUCAUUACAAAUAUUGUAUCAUUAAAUAUUUCAAAACUUAAAUAUUUUUGAAGUACAAUAAAAAUAUUAGUUAUUUGCGUAAUAACUCGAUUUGAAGUUGGAUAAUAUACACCACAAAAAAUGUUUGUUGAAGUAUCAAAAAUUUCAAAAAGAUCUCUUAAAACAUCCGCAAUAUGCCAAUCAUAAUCAUUUAAUGCAUAAAUAUCUGCUUCAUAAUCAUUGUUAAUUAAUUGUAUUUCAUAUAAUUCGACUACUUUUCUAUAUUUUGUAAUAUUUUCUAAAAGUUUAUAUGUGGAAUUCCAUCUAAUAGCCAUAUCCAAAUUUAUAUUUUUUCUUUUCAUAUUUAACAUUUUGCAACAAUCAAAAAAUAAUUCAUGUUUUGCUUGAAAACUAUUAAUACUAUAUGCAAUGCCUCUAAUUUUUUUCCAAUGUACUAUCAACAUUUUUUAAUCCAUCCUUUACAAUUAAAUUUAAAAUAUGUGCACAACAACGCACAUGAAAUAUUUUAGCAUGAUCUUCUUUUACUUGCCAAUAUCGUUUUAGUCUAUGUAUUGCUGCAUCAUUAUUAGCAGCAUUAUCUAAUGUUAUUGUCAAUAUUUUAUCACGAAUGCCUAAAUCUAUAAUUUCAUCAUUUAUUAAAGAUGCUAUAUUUUUACCACUAUGUGGAGUAUUUAUUAAUUUAAAUAAAAUUAUUCUUUUAUUUAAUUUCCAUUCAUUAUCAAUGUAGUGAACAAUUAUAUAUAAAAAACCAGUAUGAGUUAAAGAUGUCCAAAUGUCAGAUGUUAAACGAAUAUUUCCUUCAAAAUUUGCAAAAUUUUUUUUUAAAAUUUCUUUUUGUGUAUAAAUUUUUUUCAUAAUAUCUCUUUUAACUGUAUUUCCAGAUCAACCUUUAAAUUGAGGAUUAAUACCUCGUUGAAUUGUUCUUGCAAAAUCAUGAGUUUCCAUCAUGUUGAAAGGUUGUUCUGCUCUUAUUAUAUAAUCAAUCAUUUCUUCACAACAGUUAGAUUCAUCAUAAGAAAAUGUUUUUAAAUUUCCACUUUCAUUUUUACUUAAUUGCAUAUAAUUUCUAAUAUCUACAUUAUUUUUAGUUUUACAAUUUUCAUGAUGUCUUUUUAAAUGACUUGUAUCUGCAUUUGAGCCACCAGUAAGAAAUUUAUUACAAAUUUUACAUUUUGCUUUUAUUUUUUUUUUAUUAUUUUCUAAAAUUAUUUCUAUUCUAUCAAAAAAAUUCCAUAUAUUUAAAGUAAAUUUUUUGUUUGAUGAUAUUUCAUCACAUGGACUAGACGAAGAAGCACUUGUCAUAUUAUAAUUAUUGAUAAAAUAUUAUGCCAAAAAUAAUAAAGUAAUAAAUAUAAAAAAAAAUGUAACAAAAAAAAUAAAGUAGUAGGGGUGAAGUAUGUUACUCAAUUAGAGAACCUAUGCAGAAAUUCCUAGCAAAUUUGAACUCUUGGAGCCACCAAUGCUUGUUUUGCACCAUCAACAAUAUUGUAUAAUUUGAGGGAAAAAUAAAAGAAUUUAAAAUAUUGUAGAAUGUGAGAGAAAUAGAGAGAAUUUGAUGAAAAAAUGAAAAGGAAGAAAAUGUAUUUAUAGGAAGGUUAAAAAUAAUAAUAAUAAUAAUAAUAAUAAUAAUAAUAAUAAUAAUAAUAAUAAUAAUAAUAAUAAUUGGCCAUGUGACCGUUGGAGGCUUAGCUCCAACGGUCACAUGGGCUGGAGCUAGGCUCCAACAGUCACAUGACCGUUGGAGCCUUUAAUUUUUUUUUUUAAAAUAAUAUACUUUAUUUUUAUAUAUAUAUAACUAACUCAAUUAAUAAACAUAAAAAGAAUAUAGUUCAGUUGGUUAGAACCUUGAAGUUUAAACAUGAGGGGAGGGGUUUGAAUCCCUCCCUCUCCCUUAGGGGCUUUUUUAAAAGCCAUUUUGGCUUAUUUCAAAAAGCCUGUCGGCCCGACCCGCCCUGCAGCCCGCGGGCCUAGCAUUUUAGCAUGGCCUGGUCUGUUGACUAGUCAAAUGGCUCAUAGGCUCGGCCCGAACUGGGCCGCGGGCCUCUUAUUUACGGACCGGCCCGACCCGGCCCGCCCGUUGGAGACCCUUGAUAAUAUCUUCUAUAUUAAGUUACAUUAUAGUUUAUUUUACAAUAUUAUUAUGAUAAUAUGUCUAAUUUUAAAAUAUAUUUAAUAUUAAAAUUAUGAUCUAUUUUAAUUUAAAUGUAUUCAAUGAUAUCAAAUAAAUAAUAAUAUAUGUAUAAUUCUUUUAUUAUUUAUAUUUAUUAUUUUUAAUAAAUAUAUAGAUUAUAUAAAAAAGACCGGAUAUAUCUUUUCAAAUUUUGUAUCGCUCUCCAAGGAUAUUAGAUGUAUGGGAAUUUGUAUUGCUAUCUACGGAUACGUUGAUAUAUGGGUGAUUUAUCAGGAUAAUUAGAAAUUCUAAUUAUGUAAGCAGGUACGGAGUUCUGUGUCGGUGCGAUCUUGUCGACAACAGCUCCAAAUUGUGCAUCUUGCUCAUAGAGAGUAGCGGAAUGCACCAAUCGUAGGCUCAGAGUACCACUGAGUCGUCUGGCAGAGACCCAACUGAAGGUGCCUGUGUUGUUCCUGAUCUGAUCAGGCUUCAAACUACAAGGUGGAAUACUGGUUCCCCUAUAUCAGAAGCUGGAGAUACCCACCCCAUAUGCUCGUCUGGAUGUGCUCCUACCCUUUGAAGCCUUCUUCCGAGUCAAGUCCGAAUUGAUAAGGCUAGUGAGUUCCCAACCAACUGUACUCAGCAUGCUGCCAGGUGGAGACCCUCCAUAUUUGAUGGCUUCCUAAUAUUAAAAUGCUGACCACUGGUCUUCAUGUUCCACAGGCUUAAUUGUGUCCUUUGCUGAAAGAAUGGAUAGUGAUCCAUUUUAACACAUGAUUCACGCCGUCUUUGCCAUUCUUCAUGGUCUAGCCCUUUUAUAUAUAUGCUUCCUGAACUGUUGCUAUUAAUAAAAUGUGGUAUCUAUCCCGUACACCUUCCUGAUGGCCAGCGAAUGCAGAAGCUACAGAAACGGUUCCAUCUUUUGCUUCCGCCACUUUGGCAUCCUCCAUGAUGAGAUCGAAGGUGAAUAAUCAUAUUCUGGGGAUUUAUGUCCUGGAUAUUCUCAGUAAUGCCCAAUUUCCUGGUGCCGGCCUCAUUUCCAUGGGAACUGAUGGAUAACUUAAGGCUUCUACCAUCUGCGUGGUUCGCUUCUAACACAGGAAACUUCACGGCUAAAAGCAAGAUACCAAGAACAUCAAGGCUGUGACAAAAAUUAGUAUUUUUAACUUGUAGGAAUUUGAAAGGCAACCAACCAUCUAGCUCUGUUCUUAAAGCUCCCAUAGGAGGAUCAGAGGCUGGAUUGCUCAAGAUGAACUCAUCCAUUGUUGCACUUAAAAAGAAUUGGCAUGAAUUGUGGCCGCUCUAAUAGGUUCCCUAAACCAUCAUCCAAGUGGGCUUGCGGAAGGUAGCGAGUUUAAAACACCUAGGGCGAUGAACAGUGGACUGUGAUGCUCACAAAAGAGAAAAGGAAGAAUUCAAUAAUUCCUAAGAAUCCAUUUGCCUGUCAUCCAAAUUUUUAUAUUCUCUUCAGUCUGACGCGUUAUGCCAUAUAUUAAAAAUAGCGGCUUCUUCCAAGCCGAGACAGACUGUGCAAAGUUCGCAAGGCCAAUCAUCACCAUAAUCUGAAGUUGGCCUCCUCAAUCGCAGCUUGUAUCCGAAUGCUCACUUCACGGGAUGGAUUGUAAUGAAAACUAAUCUCAGUCCCAGCUAUGGCAGCAUCCUCACUUGACAGCAUUUUCUGCAUAUUCUAGAACAAAGCAAUAAACCCUCAAAGGCUCCUUCGGAUCAGAGUUAGAAGACUGUCCCUCAGGAACGUGAACACUAUGGUGGUUCUGAUAAGCAGUGAUAUUGCAUUAGAGCCUUUUGGAACAAGAGGAUCUUUUCAGGUGGAAACUGUAAACUGCUUCAUGUUGGGCUGCAACCUUUUCUUCAAGCAAUACUUUCUUUCUGUAUCACGACUUAUGUUGCUUCCGGAGCCAUCCCGUGUGGACUGCCCUUCAGUGAAAGAAUAUGUGUGUUGACAUGUUGGAUUGUAAUCUUUGUUCCACUCUAAUGGCUUUUGGUCCUCCUCUUUCUCUUUAUGACAGAGAACCAUUUAGUGAUCCAUCUCUAUAUUGUAGCAUUGCUGGUGCUUUGCAAUACUACACUCUCACCAAGCAUAACAUCUAUUUUUCCGUGACCAAAGUAUGUCGGUUUAUGCAUGCGCAAACUCUUAUUCAUUGGCAAGUUGUCAAGCGUAUCUCAUGAUUUCCCAAAGCCACAAGUUCUUAUGGUCUUUCUGUUCAAGCUUACAAUGAUCUAUCUUUUCUUGGUUAUACUGAUGUCGAUUGGGCUAGUUGCCCUGAUAACAAGCACAAUACUAGUGGGUACAACACUUUUCCUGGUCCUAAUCUCAUUUCAUGGGCAUUUUCAAAGCAGAAGGUUGUGUCUCACUCCAAUAACGAAUCUGAAUAUAGGGGACUCACUAAUUAAUGUUGUUGCCAAGGUCACUUGGAUUGAAUCUGUCUUACGUGAGUUGCGUGUUUCUCUACCCCAACCACCAAUUUUGUUGUGUGACAACAUUAGUGCUACACACUUGGACAAACCAUGUUGAAAUACACUAUCAUUUUAUCCAUGAAAGGCUUAUGCAUCACACACUCAAAAUUCAAUACACCUCUUCUAUAGACCAACUAGUCAAUGCUAUGACCAAAGCUCUUCCUUCAUCUCACUUGUACAAUCUUCAGUGCAAGCUGAUUGUUCUUCCCAAACCACUCAACUUGAGGGGAGAUGUUAAGCCAAUUUAAUAAAUUGAUUUCUUUUGGUUAAUUUGUUAGAAUCAUUUUUAUUAGAGGUUUGUUUGUACAAUUACAUCCAUUUAUCAGGAGAGUACACGUGUACAACUCCUCUUUUAAUCUCACCAUUGUAUAUAUAUGAUACACGACCUUACUCAGAAUUGCAUAACAUUUCCUCUGCUCAUUCCUUUUCUUCUUUGAAUUUUCCCUUACCUCACUGAUUUUGAUUUAUACCUGGUGUUUUCACCUUUGGUCUCUACCUUUCUAGCCAGUUUUCUAAUUAAUCCGUAUAUGGUAUACCUGUCAACUAAUGAGGAGAAAGAGAAAAGGGGAUUGCUGUUCCACCAGCUACAUAUAAUAAUUAAUUACAAUCAUGGUAAUGGAUCCUGAAAUCCAUCCUUUGUGGAUUUUGUACGGAAUAUUGUUGUUAUGUAUGUGGGCUCACUUAGAUGUAUAUUGCUAGCCUGUCUGGGAAAUGUGAUUGCAGGUCCAGAUUAUGAUGUUGAUAUUAGUGGGAUAAGCAAGAGAUGCAGUUAACACGUAUGUGAUGGACUUGAGUAACUUUUCCAUUUCAGUCCAUUUUUUAAGAUUAUGCUUAGUCUUAUUACAAGGAAAGACCAUAAGAAUCAUGAGUCAUUGGCAAGGUAAUAUCAUUCCCUCUUUACAGGCUUCUUCACCUUUUGGUUUUUUUAAUAUCCAUCAAGAUCUUUUAAUUGGAGGACAAUUACAAGUAUAUAUAUAUGUAUUAAAAGGGGAAAAUAUUAAAACAGGAAAUUUUAGGGAAAAUAUAAUAAUUAUUUCUUCCUUCUUUCCCAUAUAGAACUACACAAAAUAAAACUUUAAUAAUUUUUUCUUAUCUUUUUUAUUAUUAUUUUUUCUUAGAAACAUCCGUGGUCUCACAAGCUUGUAAUCCUAGAUUGUUAGGCUCCUUUAACAGUGCCCCAACAUCGUGGUCCAAUGACAAGCUUCCACGCCUUAAAAUCAGAAAAUGCCAUUAAACUUUAUCAGACAUUACAGUUCAAGACAAAGCUUUCAUUUGCUUAAUGUGAUAAUGAAAUUGUUAAUUUCAUUUCGUGGGCAUCUAAAUUUGGACGAGCAAGACCUCUGAAUUCCCUGUUUUUAUCACCAGCAGAGGAGAUAAAAUCUUAAUGGUGAGAAUCUCCACGUGAAAUUUAUGUGUACUGUCAACAUAUUUUUGUUUAUAUAGUCCAGUAGCUGCAGGAAGUCUAGAUUAUAUAGGUAGCAGUAGCACUAUUUAUAGCACUCGAUAUUCGCUGUAUGAAUACAUUAAACCUUGUUUUCAAUACGCAUCACAAGCAAGUACUAGAUACUACAAGGAGUGACAGUCGCAUCAACAUUUCUUGAUAAUAGCAGUGACUGAUUUAUACACAGAACAGUACUGUACACGUACCAGUCACCAGAGAUAGGAUCUUAUUCCUACAUACGACUCUUAUUGAUCGAAGUCACUCAGUUGGGGUAGCCUGGAGUUGGAGGUUUGUGUGGUGGCUUCUUCUUUGGAGGAGGCUUUAUCUUUGGAGGCAUCAUCUUUGGAGGCAUCUUGUGUGAGUCUUCUUCAGCAUUCUCUACAGGAGGAUGGCCAGGCUUAUGACCCUUAGGUGGUUUGCCAACUGGGAUUGGUGGCUUGUGUCCUGAGAGUGGCUCCUCUUCUUCGGGAGGUUUGCCAACUGACGUUGGUGGCCCGUGUCCUGGGGGUGGCUUGUGUUUUGGGGGUGGUUUCACUCCACCGGGAGGUUUACCAAUUGGUGUUGGUGGUUUGUGCUCAAUCGGUGGCCUCUCAACUGGGGGGCGCUUGGGGUAAUCAGCGAGUGAAGAAGUGGUGAGAACCACCACUCCAAGCAACAACACUAGCAAGUAUGUGGAAGACAUCUUUGAGUUUGGCUCAGAUGGUGUAGAACUAGAAUCCUGGGUGGCCUUUUAUAUUAGUUGGGCCCUAUGCCCGAACGACAAGUGUCAUGGUGACACAUAAAGUGAUGGGGUCGAUUUGGGCCUACCGGAUUUGAAAACUUGGACAAUUCGAGAAGCGUCUCCUGACUCCGGGUUGUAAAGUGAAAGAUUAGGUAUCGACCAUUGAAGUAUGAUCACAACUUUUGGCCUUUGGCUCUCUCUACUGCCGUAUAGCUUUUUUCCUUUGGAUAUUUUUCUUAGCUAGACACAAUUAUUGAGCAGUCUAAUCUCGAAAUGGGAUUAGUAUAGCUUUAAGCAAAUUUAUUAUAGUUAGUGGAGGACUUUUAAGAGUGCAGACGACAUUUAACACAUGCAUGCAGUAGUAUAGGGGACAUAACACUAUUCUUUUUCCAAAGAUUCACAUGAUUUUUAUAUUAUAGUAUUGGCACAUUGUAUGUAGCUGGUUUUGUGGUUAAAAUUCCAUAUGUAGACACUGGCGUUUCUCCAUUUCUCACAAUUGAUGUUUACCUCCACGAUUACUAGAUUAGAUAUACCAAACAAUAACACAUUGUAUAAUCUAUCCGCCCUUCAAAAUCUACUGUAUGAUGAAAUGUUUCAUGUGUGUGUGAAGUGUUAGAAAUGCACUAUAGGCAACAUCAUCUUCUUUUGUCUAGGCUUGGGCCUCAAAUUAUACUCCCAUGCCAUGAUAAAUUUUCAUGUGCAUUCUCUAAAGAAGAGUGUCUUGAAUGUGCCAAAUCAUUUUGAUUGAUUUUAUGAUGUUAAUUGCUCCGCAUAUGGAUGGGUAUGUGCUUUAUUUGCUUAUUCAAUCCACAAUUACCUUGAACUGAAGUCCUAUUGGAGCUCUAUUAUUUUAGCAACGUCCUGUCAAAUAGGCUGCUAACUUGGGGUGGUAUGGACCCAAUGAUCCAUCUUAAUCUUGGGUUGAUUUUGUCUGACUCUAUCUAUCUCAGAGAGAACCAGGAUCACCAGUGCUGGUCUGCUUAAAGAAGACUCAGUACUGGAUUAAUAUUGGUUUGGGUCAAUAGCUUAUAAUGCAUUGAAUGCAGAAUAAACAAGAUCAAUGAAACCCAAAACACACUGCCCACACAACUUCACUCUGGUGUCUGUUAUUCAUCAAUUCUAUUCCCACAUGAACUGGUUCAAGUUUAAGAAAAUGACAACGGAUCCACUGUAUUAACUUGGUUUUGCUUGGUUUUGAGCUAGUUGCCAAACCAGCCAUGAGUUUUACCUCUAAUGUCAAUGAACAAACCCCAAAUGAACAACUGCAACAGCUUAAAGAGAAGGAAUGGAGAUGAAAAUCCCUGUUUCUUCUCAUUCUGGGGACAAAUUAGAACAUAACUACAAAGGUUCUAUUAAUUGACUUACUCUACCAUGAAUUAUGGUUCUUUGGUUUUCCAAAUUUAAAUUGUACAUGAGAUUAUUUUUUUCCUUUAUAUAUAAACAUAUUAAGGUUUUCUUAUUUCGUGGGCAAAUGCGCUAAGGAUGAAAGUCAUUUCAUUUGGCUGCAACAGCAUCUUAUAAUCAACAUGCAUAAGCAGCAGUUUUAAUUGAUCGAUUGAACACCGACUCACAAGAAUAGAUAGAAUGGUACAAGACAGCUCUUAUUAAUUUAUACUCGUUACUCAUUUUAUGUAGCCCCAUUAAGAUGGCUGGCUGGACCACCGAGGUCUGGGGGUGGUGUUGCUUGUGUGAUGCAGCGGGCCGGGCAGACACUUCUCUAGUUGCUUCUAUUUGGAGUUAGAGGAUCAGUCUCUGCCAACCUUGAGGACUCUCUACCUCAGAGGGUCCAGGUGGUGGACUCUGGUGUCGGUAGCUUUGAACUCUCAGUAGACUAGUGUGUCUUAAUCAGUCACUGCCAGAGGCUGGCGUAGGCAGUGACGAUAAGGUGAGACAAAUUACCGAAUAGUCAAUAUCGACUGCACUUGACCAUUAUAGAUUUGUUCUGACAAAAGUGAGAAAAGGGAGAAAAUCGGAUGUUGACCUUUAUAGAAAAAGAUAAGAUUUACUGCAACACAGAGCACUGAUUUGUUACUUGGAAACCAAGUUAUGCUAUUAGCUAGCCUCCAUUAGCAGCAGGGUACCUUGCUGCCUGAUCCUAAUCUGAGUUCCCAAGGUUUCAAUCUUCGUUUGUUAACGCUUCAGGAUUUGGAUAUUUCAGCUUCGUUUCUCCAUUUAGCCAACGCUGCCUGGUUUGGAUUUCAAUCCUCAUCUGGAACAUUCUUUUUUCGGUCUGAUUCAGGAAGUGUUUGGUGAUAGUUGAUUAAAAUUAAACAGUACUAUCAUACAAAUAAAGCUGAUCUAAUUUUGGUGGGCAAUAUACCAACUCAUUUAUUCUUGAAAACACCAUGGGGAAUUGGAGGUCCAUCCGAAGUACUAUUUGAUGGGACUCACAAAAAGAACAGGUGCACAUUUAUGAGAUCCGUGGAAGAGAUAACUAUGACAGCUAUGCAUGUACAACAGAUUUAUGUCGAGUUCACCUCGUAGAUAUUUUGUUUUCAGUGUCGGUGGACCCCAAAAUGGAAAUCGGAAAUUAAGGUUAUAUUUAUUUUUUUAUUUAAUUUUAAAUAGAAUUUUAAUUUUUAAUAAUAUUAAGUAUUAAAUUAUUUUUUUAAGGGUAUUUUAUUUUUAUUAAGUAUUAAAAAGUAAAAAAAAUUAAUAUGUUGCUUUUUUAUUUUAAAAAAAUUAUAUAUUUUAAUUUUUUCUAUUUACUAAAAAGUUUAUAAUAAAUUAUAAAAAAAUAAAAAAAUAAAAAACUUAAAUUCUGAAAAUAAAUUAUUUUUAAUAAAAAAAUCCAAAAAAGCAAACACCACCUAAAUUUGAGAUGACUCAAAAUUUUAUAUUUUUUUUCACCUAAAUUAUAUUCAUAAAUUUAAAAUUAAAAAAUUAGGAAGUUGAAUUUUAUUUUGGAUAAUUGGAAACUACAAGAAAUCAAUAAAAAUAUUUGGAAAAAAAAGAAAAAGAAAAACUAUCUAUAUAUUCACCCCCUUCUAAGAAACAUAACUUUAGUUUUUAACUAUUUUUUAAAAUAAUUUUUGAAAAAUGUUAUAUAAUAUUUUAUAAAACAAAAAAUCUGUUUGACAAUUUGAUAUGUCUUUAACUUAUUUUUAAUAUUUAUAUAUAUAUAUUUUAAAAAUAAUUUUAUAUUUAGAACUUUAUCUUUAAUUAUUAUAUAUAUUUAUAUAAUUAUUUUUUUUAAAACAACUCUUAAAAAAUAAGUGAAAGUAAUUGAAAACAACUCAAAGAUAUUUGAUGAAAACACUCUAAUUUGUAUUUUUGAGAAUAAAAAAAUAAAUAAAUAAAUUUCUAGUUAUCAAAUGUAUUUUUUAAUUCUUUUAUUCUAAAAAAUAGAAAAUCGUUUUUGAAAAUAAUUAUUAAACAACAUUCUUAAAAAUUCACUCGUUACAAUCUAGAUUUAAUGCAAGAAUGAUUGAAGGAGUCCUCCAAUAGAACCCAAAGUUAUAAACAUGAACAAGAAGCCCUAGAAACACCAAAGAUCUCAUAUGGUAUAUAUAUGAGCUUGAUUGAGAACUGUUUUAAAUUCAGUUUUUUUUUUUUUUUUUUUUUUUUGUUUUCAAAGUCAAAACAAGUUUACUUUUAAUUUUUACUUCUUUUUUUUAAUUUUAUAAAUAACAGUUUUUUAAUAAUUUAUUUUGAAAACAUGAUUAUUUUUAAAACUUAUAAUGAAAAUAGGAAUUUUUUUUUUAAUAUCAUGGUUAUUUUCCCUUCUUUUAAGGAGGGCUAUUUUAAAAAUAAAUUUACAAAUAUGAAAAAUGAUUCAAACUAAAGCAGUACAAAUAAAAAACAUUUUUAAGAAAUAUUUAAAAAUAGAGAAAAUUAUUUGAGAACAUUUGAAGUCCUUAAAUAGACUUUUGUUUUAGAAAAGGCAAGAUAAUUAUUUUUGAAAAUUGUUUUCAUAAUGAUAUGCAAAAACCUACGUAAAAACCAUAAUUAUAAUCGGCCACAUAUCAAAUCUACUAAAUAUGAAAAGUAAGUACAUAAUUAUAUUUGACUUAGAUGCAAGGAGGAAAAUGUCGCGAUAUUAUCGCCGAAAUAUCGUGUGUCGAAGGGUAUCGACACGAUUUUUCUUGCAGAAAUAUCGGCCAGUCGAUUUUUCGGGAUAAAUCUCGAGAAAUCGGCAAUUUAUCGCGAUAUAUCGGCGAUUUUUCCUCGAUAUAUCUUCUGGUCAACGCGGGUCAACGGAGUCAACACGCUACAGUGAAAGUCAAAUGUGCUACAAUGUCCCCGCUACAAUCACCUCCCCAAACAAAUUGCCAAAUUGCUUCCGAGGGGAUUUGAACCAGCCUUCUUGCCAUUUGGGCUAACUCGCCCUUAUGAUAUAUAUUGCAUUAAACAUAUAUAUACUUAAAGUCCUUAUAUAAAGAAAAUGUUAAAAAAAUAUUUUAAAGAGCAAAUUAAUUAUAAUUAUUUUAUAAUUAAAAGCAAAAUUUUCUUUUAAUUAAUUACCAAAAAUAUAAAAAUUAUAUAAUUUUCUUCAUAAUGUUUUUAAUAUCAUUAAUAAUUAAUUAAAUAUUAAAAAAUUAUAUAUAUAUAUAUAUAUAUAUAUAUAUAUAUUAUAAUUUAUUUUAUAUUGUUUAAUACAAUUGAAUUAAAUGGAUCAUAUUUUAAUAUUAAUAUAUAUUUUAAAAUUAGACAUAUUGUAAUCAAAUAUCAUAAUAUUAUAUGUAAUUUAAUAAUAAAUGUACACUUAUAAAAUUCAUAUUUUUAUCGAUGCAUACAAUAUUAUUAUCAAAUAUGAUAAAUCAUGUUAUACAUAUAUCAAAAUUUUCAAUAAAAUAACUUUAAAAUGUCUAUUAUACUUCUAAUUAUAUUAUUAUGAGGUUUUCUUUACAUUUUCAUGAGUUUUAAACAAUUUUAAGCACCAAUAUUUUUUUCCAAAAUAUCCACCGAUAUAUCUCCGAUAUAUCCAAUAUAUCUCCGAUAUCUCCGAUAUAUCCGUAAAAUCGAAGUACCGAUAUAUCCGUGAUUACCGAUAUUUUCAUCAUUGCUUAGAUGCAACCUUCUUCCAAAUGACAUACUUUAGUCAAUACUUAUAUUUUUUCGUUUCACUUCUUUGAUACAACACCUCAUGGAUUUAUUGUUUAAUUUAUUUGUAAUUAUAAAACUAUUUUUCAUUUUUAAUAAGACUUGAAUUAAUUUAAUAAAUAUUAUAUAAUUUGAAUUUAUAAUUCUUUUUAUAAAAUCAAAGUAUAUUAAAAAAAAAACAAUUUAUCCGAAGAAAGUUUUUUAUUUUUUAUUUUUUAAAACCGAUUUUAAAAAUAACUAGCUAGACACCCUUAUUUUGAUAAAAUACGAAAUAAAAGUGUAAAAACAACAUGGCCAAAUAGGGGCUUAAAUUUUAUUUUUAAAACAUUUUUUUACACUAAAGUGCAUUUUAAAAACACCAUCAAAACCAACUACAAGUUAUGCUUCUUCCCGUAAUAGAAAUAUUUUAGGCCAAAAUAGAACCUCCCCAAAUAAAGACCCUAUACUAAACUCCUUUUCAUUUUAUUAAUACAAAAGUGGGGAAAAAAGGUCUAUGCUCACCUAAAAAACAUGAAUAUUGUGAAUUCACCAUUUCUAUAAGGAAGUUGAAAACUUCAAAAUUUUAUCAACAAAUUCUCUAAAAUCCUCAAAAUAUAUAGGGCCUGUUUCACAAAGUUUUUUAAAAUUUGUUUUUAUAAAUUGCUUUUAAAAUAUAGAAUAAAUAACAGUUUUUUAGAUUUUUUGAAAAAUAAGAGUGUUUGGUAAGAUGUUUUUUUUUUUUUUUUUUUUUUUAAGAAUUAAAUAAAAAAUAAAAAAAUUGUUUAGAUAAAAGAAUUUGUAUUGUUUUUAAAAACAAUGUCUUACUUUUAUGUUAUAAAAAUUUUAUUAAUUUAAUUUAUAAUAAUAUGAAAUGAAAUUCAAGUUAAGUCUUAUUAAAAAAUACAAAUUAAAUCUAUAAUUAUGCAUGAGUUAAAGAUAAAUAUAUAUUUUUUAAAACUAUAAAAUAAAUUUUCUAUUAUAGUGAAACAAAAAUUACUAUAAAAUAAAAAUAAUUUUAAUAUUCAUUUUUAAUACAAGUCAAAUAAGUACUUUAAUUAAUUUUUUUUAUCAUGAUUUCUUAUGUUUUUUUUUUUUUCUAGAAAUUAUUUUAAGUAAUAUAACUAAUUUUUUUUUUAAUGUUUUAUAAAAAUAAGGAUAUUUGGCAAGUUGUUUUUAUAAAAGGAUUUUAAAAAUAAAUGGAUUUUUUUUUUUUUUAAAAAAAGAACAAAAUGAUUUGUUUGAAUAAAUUGUUUUGAUUUUGUAAAAACAUUUUAAAUUCAAUUUAUAUAAUAUUAAUUAAUUAAAUUAAAUUGAAGUUUUAUUGAAAAUAAAAAUAAUUUUGUAAUUAAAAUUAGAUUAAAAAAUAUAUAGGUUUUAAUAAAUCGUAAAUAGUAAUAUUAUAAUAAAAUUAUAAAUUAUAUUUUUAACAUAAAAUAUACUAUUUAUUACAUAUUAAAAAAAAUAUUUUAUUAUAUUAAUAAUUUUAUGGUAUUAAUGAGUUUAUUAUUUAAGUUUUAAAUUAUUUUUAAAAAUUAAUAAAUUUGUUAACAAAUGCAAUGUACUAAAUGUGGUUUAAUUUGGAGUUAAUUUGUUUAGGGAAAAAAAUAAAAAAUAAAAAUCUUAUGUAAAAGAGAAAUAAUAGAGUGUGUGUGUUUUUUUUUAUUAUUUUUAAAAAUCAGUAAAAAGAACUUUUACUUAUUGCCUAAAAAUUAUUCUCUAUUUUAUUUUAUUUUUUAAAUCUAGAAAUAGAUAACAAUAAUAAAAAAAAUUAAAAAAGAAAAAUGUUUUUUAAAACUCAGACUUAUAAUUGCUUUUGUUUCUCAUUCGCACCCCUGGAUUCCUGGAUUCUAAACACAAAAUUAAGUUGAAUCGUCCAUCUAUCUUGUAAGCCAAGAAUUCACAUAGAAGAAAUAAUCGGAAUUUGAUUUGAUAUCAGAUUUAGAGUGGCUCACUACUCAUGCAUUGUCCCACAAUAGUAAUGCUUUGGGCCGAGAUAAACCCAUUUGUGGGCCCAAAUAAAACCCCUGGUUUGAAAACAUCGAUUUUACAGUGGCCCAAAAGAUUAUCUAUGAGGGGAAGAUAACUUGGAAGUCAAGCAAACACAUUUAUCGCUAACUUUUCUCUAAUUAUAAAAUUAUAACUUGGUCUUCUACACGUCUCACUUAAGAGGCGGAGCCACUUGGCACUACCUUUCCAUAUUGUAAAAGGAGAAGAAGCAGAAGGAGAAGAUUCUUAUGCCAUUCCACACACCAUGGCUAGUACUGCUAUGCUGCUUGGCCCGCCGGCUCUCCGCCAUCCUAAUUCUCCCGCCGGCACUGUCUUUGAAGAUGGGGUCAUUCUAACGGAUUCCCUGAUCGUCCGCACCAGUAAUCUGGAGCUUUCUGAAAAACCGCCACUGGAAUCCCUGGCGUAGUGCUCUGUCAGUGGGGAUAUUGCUAUGGAUUGUUUGGAUUCCCAAGCCCACAAUCUUCAUCUUCCCGGGAAACCGCCGAUGGGCUUAACGGAAAACAAGUCUCCGACCUUUUUGUCUUCCGGGAACCCGUGCUUGGACUUCUUCUUCCAUGUGGUUCCCGAUACGUCGUCUGAUGAUCUGAUCCGACGGUUUGAGUUGGCUUGGGAAUUCAAUCCGCUGACGACGUUAAAACUGAUAUGCAACUUGAGAGAGGUGAGAGGCACCGGAAAAUCUGACAAAGAGGGUUUCUACACGGCGGUUCUCUGGCUCCACGACCACCAUCCCAAAACCCUAGCCUGCAAUGCUAGGGUGUUGGCCAGCUUCGGUUAUUUCAAGGAUUUUCUCGAGAUUCUCUACCGGCUUCUGGAGGGCCCUAAAAUUCGAAGAAUCGAAAAGAAAGACUGGCUGGAUCGAAAAGGAAGGAAGAAAAAUUCCCGGAAAAGGAACUCAAUAUUCAAGCGAGAAAAUAGGCCUGGAGUUGAAUUUCCUGUAGAAGAGAAGGAUGUGGAGUAUAUGGUGGAAGAAUUUGUGGAUAAAGAAAAGGCUAGGGUACUGAGAAAGGAGAGAGAACUUGCUCUUGCCAAAAGAGCCCUGCACAAGUAUUCUACUGAUUCUAAUUAUCAGUUCUUACAUGAUCAGAUUUCAGAUUUAUUUGCUGAACUUCUGAAAUCUGAUAUUCAGUAUUUAAACUCCGGUGAGCUUUACAAGAUUAGUCUCGCAUCCAAAUGGUGUCCCACAAUUGAUUCUUCUUAUGAUAAAUCCACCUUGAUAUGUGAAAAUAUUGCUCGAAAGGUUUAUUCUCGCGAGGAAUAUAUAUCCAGAAUACCAAGGAAUUGAGGAGGCUCACUAUGUUAAUAGAGUCAGGGAUAGGUUGAGAAAACAAGUACUUGUUCCAUUACGUAAGGCCCUGGAGUUGCCAGAGGUUUUCAUGUGUUCGAACCAGUGGGGAUCACUUCCCUACAACCGUGUGGCUUCAGUGGCCAUGAAAUCAUACAAGAGCCUCUUCUCAAAACAUGAUACAGAGCGGUUUGGUGUGUAUCUUGAGAAAGUGCAAACUGGGAAGGCUAAGAUUGCAGCUGGUGCAUUACUUCCCCAUGAGAUUAUAGCUUCAUUGAAUGAGGAGGAUGGCGAGAAAGUUGCAGAGCUUCAGUGGGCGAGAAUGGUGGAAGAUUUAUCAAAGAAUGGGAGGCUCACAAAUUGCAGUGCGGUAUGUGACGUAUCAGGAAGUAUGAGUGGAACUCCAAUGAAGGUGUGUGUGGCUCUGGGGCUGUUAGUUUCAGAGCUCAGUGAAGAUCCAUGGAAAGGUAAUGUAAUUACUUUCAGUGCAAGUCCUGAGCUUCACAAGAUCCAAGGAGACAGCCUUGUAUCCAAGACUGAAUUUGUGAGGAUGAUGGAAUGGGGUGCGAACACUGAUUUUCAGAAAGUUUUUGACAGAAUCUUACAAGUAGCAGUGGAGGGAAAUCUGAGUGAAGAUCAAAUGAUAAAGAGGGUUUUCGUUUUCACUGAUAUGGAGUUUGAUGAAGCUUGUGGGAGGUAUAACUAUUGUGAAUAUGACUAUGAUAUGGAGGAAAUUGAUGAGAGUCAGAAGGCAUCUCAGAAGUGGGAGACAGAUUAUGAAGUGAUACAGCGGAAAUUCCAGGACAAAGGAUAUGGAAAAGUUCCGGAGAUAGUGUUUUGGAACCUUAGAAACUCAUCAGAGACUCCAGUGAUGGCCACAGAGAACGGGGUGGCCUUAGUAAGCGGGUUUUCGAAGAAUCUGUUAGACCUUGUUUUUGGAAGGAGGUGGAAUUCUGACCCCUCAGGAUGUGAUGGAAUUAGCCAUCUCUGGUGAAGAUUACAAGAAACUUGUUCUAUUUGAUUAAGAUAUCAAGAGAUUUAUCAAUAAUAAUAUGUUUUUUUUUUUCUAUGUGAAAUACAUGUAAUAUUAACUAUGGAGUUAUCAAAGUUCUGGAAAUUUAAUUAUUUCUUCUUUUCAAGUUUUGUUUGUCUUUGUUAGGAAUUCCCCUUGGGCGGACCCAGCUGGGGACUUGGAUUGAGGAAGUAAGGAGGCGAAAUUGUGUUCUUCUAUGGACAGAGAAAAAAGAUAAAAAUAAAAAAUAAAAAAGGAGGUUAUUUGCAUUUGGAUGUCAUGUGGUUUCAGGGUACAACUACAAGUUCGAAAUUGUACAUAAUGUGAAAAUUCCUGUGUGGAGAACAGCAUAAAUAUGUAUCUCAGUGUGUUUUGUUUGAGCUAAUUGGCAAAUUCGCUUUAAACAUGGUCACAUGGAUGCAUAUUUAUUUGUGAAAUGAUAGUAGUCGAUUACUUGGUCAGUAAGGUUUGUAUCUCUAACUCCAACAUCUUAUUGUAGUCUUUUAAAAUGUCAAAAGUUUAAUGCUAGCUUGAGAAAUUUUGGAAUGGAGACAUUCUAAACAAAGUUAAUAAUCCAUGAGACUUGGUAAAACCGAUCAGAUGAUGCUUACGUACAUGAAUGCCUUCUUUAAGCCGUAUCCUAUUUUCAUUGAAUGAGACGUGCCAUCUAGUUUUGUUCUUGUCUUGAUUGGAUCAUGAUCCCGGGAAUUGAUUACUGUUCUGAAUUUGCGAAUGUUCAAGGUAUUAGAGAAAGUUAAUAUUAUCGUUAAUUUACAUAUUAGUAUUUAUCUAGUUAUUAUAUAUUAGUUUGAAUUAUAAUAUAAUAUAGAAUUUGAAUCAAGUUUACUAUUAGUUUGAAUUACAAUAGGAAAUAAAGUUUGAAUUAUAGUAUAACUCAAAUAUAUUUGUAUAUAAAUAUCCAUCUUUAUCAAUGAGAAUAGUAAACCAUAUUUUUCUCUAUCUUCUUCUUUCUCUAUAUAUAUGGUAUCAAAGCCUCCAAAUCCUAAACCUAGUCUCAACUUAGAGCAAAUUUAGGGUGCAGGGUUUAGGCCCCGCCUCCCCCAACCCUUACCACAAAUGGUAGUGACCUUGUUAUGCCUAUGUAUUGUCAAUGCCUCAUUUUCUAUGGUCUUCAAUACAAUAUCUAGUUUCAAUGUCUCUUUCCUUACUAUCUCCAAUGCAAUAUAUUGAUUUCAAUAUCUCUUUACAACCAAGAGCUCCAAAUUUUCCUGGUUCAAAUCUACCAUAAUUUUUAUUCUCCUUUGCUUUUUACCAAUAUUAGUUCCCCUAAUUUAAUAUAUAUCUCUUUAUUACCUUCAACUCUACCUCUCUCUUUCUUUAAAAGCUUCCUCAAAGAUUUGAUUGCUUUCUUGCAUGUUUUGGGAAAACAAACAUGCUCAUAUUCUAUUACCUCUACUUGAGAUCUGCCUUAUACUCUACCUUCUUCUUUACCUCCUAUAUCAUCUACUACAUUAGCUUCAAAAACAUUAUUUAGUUUGAUGCUAAAUAAGGCUCCUAAUCCUACCCUUCCUUCAACUAACUUUCUUUUACAAGUCCCUCAAAGUUUUUUUUUUUUUUUUUUUGGAAAUUUGGCUUAGAAAGAUUUCAUUACUCUUACCUAAUCUUUCAACCAUCAAGUCGAAUCCACUUAUCUCUUGAAUCCAAGGAGACUACCCUCCACAAAAACAAGGAGAUUGACCCCCACAAUAACAAAGAGAUUGUCCUCCAUAGAAACAAAGAGAGCUUCCUUCAUGGAAGCCGAAUACAUCGCAAUCUAUUUUCUUUCUCUCAAGAUCAAAUCUCCAAUCGGAGCUCCAUCUUGUGGGGAUAUAUUAGAAAAAGUUAAUAUUAUCCUUAAUUUACAUAUUAGUAUUUAUCUAUAUUAUAUAUUGAAUUAGAAUAGAAUAUAGAAUUUGAAUUAAGUUUACUAUUAGUUUAAAUUACAAUAGGAAAUAGAGUUUGAAUUAUAGUAGAACUCAAAUAUAUUUAUAUAUAAAUAUCCAUCAUUAUCAAUGAGAAUAGUAUUCCAUAUUUUUCUCUUUCCCUGAGGCUUCAGAAUGUGAUCUUGAACAUUUGAUCUUUUGGAUUCUUCUUGUUUCGGUGGUUUAAUAUAAUGGAAUGUUUAAUUAUAGCCUACUUUAUCACCAUGGAUGUGCUCCUGCAGAUUUCUUGAGGGUGAUGGUUAUUUUGUCAUGUUUCUUGAAUGGUUUGCAUCAGCUGCCUGAGCUGUUGUUGCUGGUCACUUUUGCAACCAGGGAAAGAAUCAUGGCUUUGGAGAAGCCAGCUUCUGUUUUUGUUGCCCAGCUGUUAGUUCACUAAGAUUGGGGGUCCUAACAUGUAUGUAUAAUCAUAAGCAAGGAAAUUUUAUGUCUUACGCUAGAUAGGUACCAUGAUAUGAUGUUUGAUUGAUUUAUUAACUCUACCUGUUUCAAAAGGCAUCAACAUUAAUUUUACCCUUUUAACACAUUGGAUUGUUUGACCUUACGAGAUUUUCUAUUUCUGUACUAUUUGAACUGCAAUCGUUAUGGUCCUUAGGUCUCUAAACCUUCGUUUAAAAUAAAAGUAAGGAGCACACAUAGUAAAAGUUAAUUUUGGGUAACUUUUAAAACAAAGAGAAAAGUAAAAGUUGUUUUUGAGAAAAACAUAUAGAAAUUGAAAGAUUUUUUAUUUUGAGAAAAAAAAGUCAUAGAAAAGAAAUAAUAUCCCCAUAUAAGUAGAUAUGAUCUAUCCGAAGUGUAGCUACUCUCCUGGAUUUAUUCUAACAUUUUAAAAUUUUUCUCAAUGGGCAAAGGAAUAUCAAAUCAAGCUUGAGUAGGAUUAAUUUCUUAAUUUUUAAAAUAACUUAUAAUUAAAAUUUUUUGGUGUUUUCUUUUUUGGACAAUUUUUUAUGAAGACUCUGAAUCAUGCAAGAGAUAUGGUUAUUUUAAAAAAAAAAAUAAUUUAAAACUCAAAUACAUAAUCAAUGUCACAAAUUUAUAAACAAAAGGUUUUUAAAAAAUACUAUUAUUUCCCCUCUACACAUAAUUUUACUUUUCCGAUUUAUUUAUUUUUGUUGGAAAACAGUCUUCAAAUCAAGUAAAAUUAAUAUGUUAAAUUUGUUAAACAAAUAAAUUUUAAAAUACAAUUUGGAACUCAAAAAUCAAUUCAAGUAAUGCUAAAAUUCAAAAAAUCAAAUUUGGAAUAAAAUGACUUUGUAAAUUUUUUUACUAAACAAAUGAAUUUUAAAUCAAGUGAGAUUUAAUACAUUGGAUUUUUAUGAGAAUAGUAAUUUUAAAAAUUAAUUUGGAACUCAAAAAUAGACACAAUAAAUACCAAAAAUCAAUGAACCAAAAUUGGUUUGGAAUAACUCCAUAAUUUUUUAUUUAUUUAUAUAUUUAUUUUUUUGUGCACACGAAUUUCUUACUAAGCAUAUUGCUUCCAAAUUGAGAAAAAUUUACUAUUUAGAUUUUUUUAAUGAGUUUAAUGGUAUUUAAAAAUAAUUCAAAAAUUCGAAAAUUGACUAAUUUAAUAUUAUAAAUUCAUAAACCAAGACUAAUUCAAAAUGCAUUGGGGGCUAAGGGGGUUGAAAUUAAUGCUCCAUUUGGUUGUGGCCACCAAUUGGCAAUGGCCACCAAUCAACCAAUCAAGGUGGCUAAGGGGGUUGAAAAUAGGGACAAUGGGGUGGGUUUGGGACAGGACACUCAUAUCCCAUUCCCAUCCCAAUUACACAGUUAUUUCCCAUCCUUAUUCCAAACUUGUGUUGGGGCAAGUUGAUUUGUUCCCAUCUUUGUUAACGAAAUGACUAAUAACCUCAUCCUCUCCUUGUCUUAGAUGUACAUUUUCUCAAAUUUGGUCAGGUAUGAUUGAUUCAAGCCCUAACCUUAAUUGGUAAUGAGUGGAUACCACACCUAAUUGCAUUCUUCUUUCGUUGCAAAAUAAUGAGAUUAUAAUAAUCUAGCAAAUAAGAAAAAAUAGUAUGGAAGUUCAAAUUAACACCAUAACUAUCAAUAAUUUUAAGCUUAUAGAUGACUUAAAUGAUUGAAAACUAAUGCAAAAUACUAAAAAAAAAAAAAAUCAUCUAAAGAAUUCACAAGAGAAUAGAACGAACAAAACCAAAUAGGAACAUGGGUCAACAUUAGUUACAGAUUUUGAUCCCUUUCAAGGCCAAUCUUUGAACCAAGACUUCAUCAAAUCUACUACUUCAAAGGCUUUUGUGUUCUUCUUGAGUUGUACUCUGGAACAAAGACUUCGAGGUGAUGCUUUAGAUGAUUGCAUUACACAUAUUUAGGGUAGGGAGAUUGGAGAAGCUUGAAGAUGCCAACGAUGGGUACAAUUGAGUGGUCAAUAAGAACAAUGUGGCCUAUGACUAGUUUGAUGUCAUGGUAUAGGAGUUUUGGGCAUUGAGGUGAAAGCAAGAGCAACAUGGAAUUGAUUUCAAAGUCUUUCAAUUAGUGUAAAGGAGGAAGAAGAAGUGGUAUUGAUCCUAGAAAUAGUGUUUUAGGUGUUGCAUUAGAGGAAAAGAAAAAGAAAAAGAAGGAACCAUUGGAAUUAGUACGAGUGUGAAGAGAGAAGUGUAUACAUAAGGGGAAGUAAAAGCAAAGUUCUAAAAAUUUAUUUUUUUAUUGGUGGUGUAUGGUUGCAUGAUUAUCCCUAUAAAUAAUAGGAGUUUUUUGGUGUUCUACUAGUAGUUGAAGGAUAAUUUCAUAAGAUAAUAUUUAGAGCGGGGUGGGGUGAGUUGUGACAAAAUCCAUACCCGUCCCAAACAUUGGUUCAGGUUUUUAAAAUAUUUUCAAACUUAUCAUAUACCCAAUUUUAUAUUUCAUACUUGUCCUAAUAGAGACAGGUUAGUCAGGGUUACUUGAGUAGCCUACAAAACUAUCAUCCCUAGUUGAAAUGCUCUUUUUGGCAGUGGCAGCUAGAAGCUCGAUCGAUUGACCUACAAGACUAGUUGUCAUCAUUUUAAAAAGAGUUUUGGCUUUGGUUGUGAGUGCAAUUGAAUCUAAACUAACAUUUCCUUAAUGCAUCUACUUCAAUCCUAAACUUCUUACUUAAGCCUCAAUUGUUGUUAAGAUUUUGGAAAACCCAUUUCCUUAAAUUGUAAAUUUAAGAAAAAAAAAAUUAAAAGUGAGACAUUUCUUGAUUGAAUGUUGUUAAAGGUCCCUUGGAAUUAAGACUUGGUUGAAGCCUUGGAAGAUUAGCAGAACUCUCAACUUAUGUUUGAACCUUGAGGAGAGUGGACGUAGGCCAAAAUUUUGUCAAACCAUUAUACAAAUUGAGUUUGAAUUCUCAUUUCUUGAUUUCUUAUUUAUUUGCUUUUUCUUAUUAUUACUUGAAUUGUCAUUUGCAUUCAUUAAUGUUAAAAUUGGUUAUAAUUAGCCAACACUAAUUCUCUUUCCCCUUCCCUUAAUUUCUUGGGUGUAAACCUAGGUUGGAUUAACUAGAUUUUAUCAAAUCUAUUAAGAUGGUAAAAGAAUAAUUAUUCUUAACAUACAUAAGAUCAUCUUCAAUCAAAUGACUCAUUGGCUGAUAUGUUGAAUUUGCUUAUUACUUGCAACUCAAAAUUGUGUUCUAGUUGAUAUGUCAAGUCCUGAGUGUAUGGACAUUAAAUUUGUAGUACGUGAUGAGUAUUUAGAUGGUCCAAUUCCAAGAAAGUGAUUGAAAACUAGUUCAAGAAAGGUGCAAAAGGGAAUUGUUUUGGUAUUUUCGUUUUUAUUCUUGAAGGUGGCAGAGCUAAAAUUUGAGAAAUCAAGCAAAACAUACUGAAAUUACAUUGAAAGAAAGAAAAUGGGAGUUAAUGUCUUGCAGUACAUGAUAAGGACUUCAUGCAUGUAGUGUGACCCAUGUCUUGGACUGAUGCCACACUCACGGUUACACUUAUACCCUUAGUUCUCUCUUUACUACCUUAGCUAACCUAGAUCAGGUUAUGAGAUAGGCACCUCACCACACCAUUACUUGCCCAUUAAUUAGUGACAUUUUCAAGCAAUGAGGUAACAUGGUGACACCAAGAGGGUAUAUUCCUCACCCCCAACAAGCCUAGACCUGGUCUAAAAAAAAUGGAGAAAAAUGACGUGUUGUUAUGCAGAAAUAUAGCAACCAUGCCUUCCUCAUUACUUAGAUUCAGAAUGUGAAGGUGAAAUUGAGAAACAGAAACUCUUGAAACCAAAAUGAAAAUUGAUACUUUUACGAAGAAUUACAACAACAUUAGAGGAAGACUACAUUCUUCCUCUUUAUUCCUACAUUUCUACACUACUUCUACUCCACUCCAUAUUUCUACAUACAUCUUUAAUCAGUCUUCCCUCCUUUAUAUAGAGCCAUCUUCACACAAAUUCCGCAAGGUAGAAAAGAGGAAUGAAACUUGGAGCAAGGUUCGACUACUGGCUGUAGCUUGUCAAGGCUGAAAGUGAACUUUUUUUCUUGGCUUUUCUGGGCAUAGGUAGUAACUUGUAGGUUCCUUUUUGGAAUGAAAAUGGUACGGCUAGAACAUGUGGCACUCUCUUGUUGGAUGAUGUGUCAAGCAUGUGGCAGCCAUCUAGUGGAGAUUAUGUCAAUUUUGGGAUGGAGAGUUGGCAUCCAAUUGCAAAGAAAUAUGACAUCUACCAACAUGCAAUGUCAACCUAUGUAGAUCAUAUGAAGAUAGAGAGGAAAAAUAUAGAAAUGGAUAUAUAACUAGAACUAGCUUUUUAUUAAAUGAGACGGAGAGCCAACAAUGAAGGAAAAUCAAAAUUUUUGGCUCAUAUCAAAGAAUUCACAUUGUGUUACCCUAGGUUUUCUUAAAACUUACUUUUAUGAUAAUAAAAAAUCAUUAUUGUUUAAUCCUUUGUUUUAAACGCAUGUUUAGCAGGUUGUAAAAUGUAAAUAUCUUUCGAAAUUCAAAUAUGAAGAUAUGACAUCAUUUCAAGCAAUAUAGUCUCUAGGAAUUAAUGUAAAGCUAAAUUAAGGUGCAAUUAAGUUAGUUCAAUGCAUUAUUUUAAGAAACUUGACCUAUCAAAACCUUGUCUUACUUCAAAGCCUCUUUUUCUUUUCUUCCAACUAACAUUUUAAUAAGUGAUCGCAAAAGUACAAAAUUAGAUGAAAUCCAUUUCAAUGGUUAAAAUGAUCAAAUUCAAACUUUUUCUAAGUAUCUUUUAAAAGCAUCAAUAUUGAAAGACAAUUUUAUAUUUAGUCAAAGCUUGGACAGAGCCAAAAAGCACACAAAAAUUUAUAUUUUCUAGCUCUCUACCUUGGAUGGUCUCUUGAUCCUACUUGGAGAUGUGCAUAAAUAAAAGGAUUUGAAAAUGACAAUUGACUAAGUAUGUAGUCAAUCAAUUACUCAUUGAUUGACUAGUUGAUCAAUUAACUUUGCAACAUCAUAUGCAAUCCUAAUAGCUAGUCAUCUAAUCAACUAGGUAGUAAAUCAAUAGGCCAAAAAUAUGUUUAUAAUGACUAUUUUGUACAAAAACCACUUAUAUAGUUAAAUAUAAUGCAUUUCAUUUAUAAAUCUUCUAAUUCUUGAAUAACAAUCCUAUCAUCCUUUGAAAGUUUUUAUUACACCUUUUCUACAUUUGUUCUAAAACUUAUACAUCACCCUUAAUUGUACCAUGAGAACCUAGCAUUUUUUUUUUUUUUUUUGUAUUUCAUCAAAGUUAGCUCUUGUACUCAUUGUUGUAUUAUUUUUAUUGUAACUUAGAGAGCGAGUGUUUUCAAGUGAGUGAAAUUGACUUGUAAAUAUUGUAAAGAUUCAUUGAUAUGUAUCUCAAACUAGGUGUACAAGUUGAAACAUUUGCUAGUAGAUUUUCUCAAGAUUUAGAAUGAGCUUAAGGCUAUCGAAUUAGGUGGGGUUGCGCCAAACCAUAUCACAUCGUUGUUUGCACCUUUUUUUUCACUCUCUUUUACUUAGUUGCUCUAUAUAUAUUGUCUAGCAAUAUCCUAAAGGCUUGAUGGGCUAGGGAGCAUCCCUCUGAAUGAAAAAUUUUCAUUCAAUUCUUAGUUGUAUUACGCAUAUAUAAAAUGCCUCAUUGUUUUAAUGGUAUUCAGUCGUGGCACCACAGAUAUGGACAUCUAAAUUUUAAAAGUUUGAAACUUUUAGCUAAAGAAAAUAUGGUGCUUUGCCUUUUUGGAAAGCAUGUUGAUGAAAUCCAUGAGAAUUGUAUACUUGGAGAGCAACAUCGAGAUAACUUUUUUUUUUUCUUUUUUUAUAAUGCAUUGUUUGUCCAAAUUCCGUACAAAUUAGGCCACCACAUGUUCAUAAUUCUCCCUUCUUGAAUUUGAAAACUCGGACAAUUUGACAAUGCGACACCUAAGUCCGGUUUUUAAAUGCUAAAGUGAAAGGGCAGGUAUGGACCAUUGAAAUGUGAUAACAACUUUUGGCCUUUUCCUUUUCUCUGUAGCCAUGUUGUCUCUUUUUAAUUUCUUUUGCAUGAUUUUCUUACCUAAACAGAAUCAUAGACUUGUUUAAUCUCUAAGUGGGAUUUCAUCCACCUUAAGCUACUGUAUUAUAUCUCGGUGGAGGACAACCGACAUAGAGCACAUGCAAGUGGGUAUAUGGGACAUGAAAUAUCUUCUUAUAAAGCUUGUUUUGCAGUUAAAUUAAUUGGAUAAGUAGACACUGGCGUUUCUAAAUUUCCCACCUAAGAUAAUGACCUUAUCCUUGACUGCUAGAUACACAAACAAUUAUACCUUCAAAAUCUACUGUGAAGUGCUUCAUGUAUGUGUGAAGUAUUAGAAAUUUCUUUCUUGGCAACUUGUUUUUUUCUUUGCGGUCUACUGAUAGGUUUGACUAAAAUUAUAUUCCCUGUCCUGCUAAUUAAUUUUCACGUGCAUGCUCAAAAGAAGAGUAUGACCUUAGUGCACCAAAAUCACUUUCAAUAAUUUGUGAUAAGUUUUUUUGCAUGACAUUAACCUUAUUCAUUUAGAUAAUGUUUAGUUCUCAUAAAUAUUAAGAAAAUGAAAAUAAAUAUUAAGAAAAAUAUUCUUAUAUUUGAUUGUAUUAUGAAAAAUAUCAUAAAAAAUCAAAUAUAAUUAAAAUUAAUUAAUAAUUUAUAUAUUUUAAAAUUAUUUAAUUUUUAUAUUAAAGAUAUAAUAUAAAUGAAAUGAGUUUUAAGUAUUAUAUAAAAAUGAUUUAUUUAUUUAUUUAUAUAUAUAUAUAUAUAUAUAUUUAGUUUUUCUCUUUAUUUUAUUUUCCUUAUGUUUUCCUCACAUUUUCCGGAAUCAAAGAUAGGGAAAUCCACAAUUACCUUCAACUGAGUAGAUUCUAUUGUUUUAGCAAUGUUAGGCUGCUAACUUGUGGUGGUACGAACCAAAUGAUCCAUGUUAAUCUUGGCUUGAUUUAAUUUGGCUCUAUCUCAGAGAACUCAAGGAUCACGUCAACUCUGGUUUCUACUAUUCAGGUCCAUUCCCAGAUGAACUGGUUCAAAUUUGAGAAAAUGGUAACAGACCUUUAGUGAUAUUGGUUUGGAGCCAGUUGCCAAACCUGCCCUGAGCUUUACCACUAAUGUCAAGGGACAAAGCCAUUUGAACAAAAACAAUAGCUUCAAGAGACUGAAUCGUGGAUGAAAUCUGAUCCACAUUUCUUCUCAUUUUGGGAAAAAAUGAGGACUUAACCACAAAGAUUCUACUGCCUCAUAGUGCUUUUCCUGAUCUAAGGUUGGCUCGUUUCCCAAAUUGUGAGGUGCACGUGCCACUCUCACGCUCAGGAGUGUAUCCACGUGGUGGACAUAAGAUGGUGGCUUAAUAUCUGGUGUCGGUGGCUUUACUUUACUAGGAGAGUAGUGUGUCUUCAUCUCAUUCACUGCCAGAGGGUGGCGUAAGCAGUGACGCUAAGGUGGGGCACAGUCAAUAUCAUUUGCAUUUGACCAUUAUAAUUUUCUCCCGGCUUUAAAGUAACCUUAUCGUGAUAAUGGAUUACUAGCACUAGUUCAGAUGACAGUCAUGUUAAAUUCGGACCAUGUUUGUGUCACAUUAUCAGCAACCAUGUGCUUGUGGUUCAUGCUAUCUGCAACUAAACUUGAUAUAUAACCAGGUGAACUUCAAUCUAAAUUCUGGAAGUACUCAUGUGAUAGAUGGUGCCUGUCUGCAGUGAGUGUAUCUAUAAGAGGGAAGGCUUGGCAAAUGUUCAGUUUUCUGGGAAUUCAACAGGGAUCUAAAAUAGAUUGUUUUCUUUGCUGAUUUCAAUGGUUGAAAUUUGAGAAGAUUGUGUCCACAUAACACAACUAUUACUGGUCCUUCUGUUGCAAUUUAUCCUCUAAGGCUCUAACAUGUCUUCCAAUUCCCACUUCCCACUUCCCUGUUACUCCAGGAAAGCUGUUUCUGUCAUUGUGAAGAAGAAAAGAGACUGUACAUAUCGAUGCUUUUAAGUGGACUGGAGAAUUCAUAUCAGGUGGUCUGCAGCCAUACAUGCCACUUUGUGAAGGUUGGAACAGUCAAUCACUAGGCUAUAUUAGUGGGGCCCAGCCACUUCAAUCAAGGACAAGUCUUCAUACUUAAAGUCAAAUUCUGCCUUUAGUCUCAUUAUAAAUUGCUGUUUAAAUAUCAAGCAAACAUUUGUUUAAUGCGAUUAAGACAGCACUAACUCAAUACUUGUUCUAUUUUUGGAUGCAAAUGCUUGAUAGUUUCAUCAUUGGAGGGGAUAAAGGUGCAUUCAUGAUUAUGAAUACUUGUAGUUAUAUUUUCAUUCUCUUUUUUCUCAAUGGGACUUGUUGGCACAAUUUUGCUGUUCAGAAACCUACCUCUCCAUGGAAAAUCAGUUGUGAUUGAUAUUACUGGAUAUAUUCAAGAAAGCUAAAUGUAGAUAGCACAAAAUAUUAUCGACAUAAAUAGCAUUAACAGCGUACGUAUGUCUCAAUGCUCAUCAGCUAUAAGCAAGGGGCAAACACUUACUAUGAGCAACUUACGUCAAAAUUCCGGAAUAGGACAUAGAAGUGACAGGUCAGUAAAUAUAGAACACUGCAUAUGAGUCACAAGAAAGGAAAUUACGGGUACAUAGCAGCUCUUAUUUUACAUCCUACUCAUACUGAUCAAAGUCACUCAGUUGGGAUGGGUGGGAGUGGGAGGUUUGUGGGGUGGCUUGUGCGGAGGAGUUGGCAGCUUCUUUCCAGGACCUGGUUGCUUCUCUGCUGGAGUUGAAGGAGGCUUAAUCUUCCGAGGUGGCUUGUAUGAGUCUUCAGCAUUCUCAGCAGGAGGGUGACCAGGGUUGUGACCACAAUGUGGUGGCUUCUCUCCCUUAGGUGGUUUGCCAACUGGGGUUGGUGGCUUGUGUUCCGGAAGUGGCUUCUCUUUGUGUUCAGGAGGUGGCUUCUCCACUGGAGGCUUGUGUUCAGGAGGUGGCUUCUCCACCGGAGGCUUGUGUUCAGGAGGUGGCUUCUCCACCGGAGGCUUGUGUUCAGGAGGUGGCUUCUCCACCGGAGGCUUAUGCUCUGGUGGUGGCUUCUCCACCGGAGGCUUAUGCUCUGGUGGUGGCUUCUCCACCGGAGGCUUAUGCAAUGGUGGUGGCUUCUCCACCGGAGGCUUGUGUUCAGGAGGUGGCUUCUCUACCGGAGGCUUAUGCUCUGGUGGUGGCUUCUCCACCGGAGGCUUAUGCUCUGGUGGUGGCUUCUCCACCGGAGGCUUGUGUUCAGGAGGUGGCUUCUCCACCGGAGGCUUGUGUUCAGGAGGUGGCUUCUCCACCGGAGGCUUGUGCUCUGGUGGUGGCUUCUCCACCGGAGGCUUAUGCUCUGGUGGUGGCUUCUCCACCGGAGGCUUGUGUUCAGGAGGUGGCUUCUCCACCGGAGGCUUAUGCUCUGGUGGUGGCUUCUCCACCGGAGGCUUGUGUUCAGGAGGUGGCUUCUCCACCGGAGGCUUAUGCUCUGGUGGUGGCUUCUCCACAGGAGGCUUGUGUUCAGGAGGUGGCUUCUCCACCGGAGGCUUAUGCUCUGGUGGUGGCUUCUCGAAUGGGGGAUGCGUAGGGUAAUCAGCUAGUGAGGGGGCGGUGAGAACCACCAGGCCAAGCAACACUACUAGCAAGUAUGUAGGAGACAUCUUUGGGUUUGGGCUCAGAUGGUGCAAAACUAGGAGAAUUGGCUAGCCUUUUAUAGCGGAUCGUACCCAAUAAUGAAAUGACACGUGUCAUUAUGACCCAUGUGUCAUGUGGUCGAUUUGGGUCCUACAGUGUUGAAAACUUCGACAUCCACUUUUUUGGCCUUUUGCUUUCUCUACAGUCGCCUUGCUUUUUCCCUCUUUUCUUUUGUUUUCCUCCUGCCCCAUUCUAUCAACUAAUCACAAUUAUGUAGUUGUUUAAUUCUUAAAUGAGAUAUUAUCCGUCAAUCAUAUUAUCUUUUAUCAAGAGAGAACGGAGUGAAAAGUGGCAAUCCAAAGAAAGAAGAUCCAUAAUGCAGCUGUAAUUUUAUCGUUUACUUUUAUCUCUAGGACCACUGCAUUUUUGUUGAGAGGUGCAAUAAUACACGUCUUUAUCUGCCAUUCAAUGUUUACAGUAAAGAGAGGGCACAAAACUCUUCACUGCUCUGCAUGUGCCCCAAAAAUGCAAUUGGACAAAUUAUGAUUUGCAUGCUAAAAAGAGGCAAAUGAGGUUAAUUAGCACCAAAAUUAUUUUGUUUUCUGGACACCCCGGGGCCCUUUGGUUGGUUUGGGGGUCAGAAAAUGAACAUCAUAGGGGGUUUUUCCCUAAUGUGCAUUUGCAUUUGUAUCUGAUGGCUUUAACUCGCCUUGUUACUACAAAGAAAUUGUCACAGAUAGGAACUUAUUCCAGGCUGAGUAUCUCCGCAUGGACCCUAUAAAAGAAGACAAGUCAUAAUGAACAUCUAACCUUUGUUCAAUUUGAUUCAAUGCCCCUAUUGUGUCCAUCUCACAAAUCUGAAUUAUUAUAUCCAUUGAAUACAUAAAUUAAUGAAGAAAAUAUGAAACCCAAGAUACAUCUCUGCACAACCUCAACCCUGGUUGCUAUGUUUCACUUCUAUUCACAUGAGGAUAUUGAUUACGGAAUAAGGAAACCUAGCAAGGGUUUACUCGGCUCUGGUUUGAUGCUAAUUGCCAAACUUGCAACAAGCCCUGAGUUUGACACCUAAUCGAUGGGCGAAUUAAAAGUCUCCUCCAAACAUAUAUUCCACAGCUUGAAGCUCACAGAAGAUGCUAUACAGGCAGGGAAAAACCUUCAGAGUUAGCUACCAAAGAUAAUUAUCAAGGAGAUAUCACCAAGAGAAUUCCAUGGAGUCUGAAUCAAAGACAAAUUGCUCGCUCGUGGGGGUUCUUACUUAAUUUCUUUUGGGUAUAACUCACUGAGGGCACUGGCUUUGUUAUUUGCAUUUCGCAUUUAGAGUUCUGUUCUGGAAGGUUUGUUCUGGAAACAUAUAAAAGGAGCAUCAUUUUGUUCUAGGGUAACCCAUAGUUGUGAGUGGGUCCAUUUGCAUGCUACUUAGUUGAAAAGUUGGACAAUUUGCUCCGACGCCUACCUCCUGGAUUCCAUGCUCGGAUAAAGCAAGAAUAAUAAAAUAUUUAUAAUUUACAAAUGGGGGAAAGAAAAAAAUGUCAACAACAAACUAGGAAAAAAGAGUAGUAAAAUUUAUGCCACAUGCUAUUGAUAGAAGGGGCAUGUAUUAGAUCCAUCACCAUUUGGUAAGAUUUUAGUAUUAUAUUUUUCAAGGUUCAUUAUUUGAGGGUGUGUUCUUCAUCUCUGUUGCAUUGCUUCUUACUAGGCCCACUGAGGUGGGUUCUUCACCUUUUGUAUAUUCUCUGCACUAGAUCAAUGAGAAAGGGGGAAUUUUGGUGAAUUUGCAGCCGUUGGAUGAUUGAUUCUAGGCUCAGUCCACCAAUGAUGCUCUCUUCACUCUUUCUCAUCUAGUGUCAUUCACAACUAUGUUUUGAUUCAUAUUUGUACUAUCAAAGAUAUCUCAUUAUUCUAGCUCAUUAGGUAGAGUUCCUAAUCUUCCUCCUUUUUGGUCUAUGGACAGUAUUGGCUUCAUAUUAAGAUCAUGUUUCAAUAAUUGCACAUUAAUGAAUGGAUCAUGACCCACAUAAACAGAGUCAGGGUUGAGUCAGUGAACCCUAAAAUUUCACAAUUCUAAAUUUGGGUUCUUUAACAAUGCAGGGUCAAGGACGCGUGGUGAUGAAGGAAAGCUGGUAAGCUCAGUGUUACUUCAAUUCCUGCCAUGUAGGAUGGUGAGGAGAUAUUCACUAUGCAAUUAAUAAUAGACAAUAUUCACUAUGCAAUAAUAAAGCAUAAAUUAAGUUGAAUGAAAAGCAUUUUCUUUGCAAGGAGUUGAUUUUGGUUUCAUAGUUUGUUCAACUGCUAUUUUGGAUAGGAAAGUGUGAGGAGAAGAAAAUAAAAAAUAAAAAUAAAACAAAAAAUAAAAAAUAGAUUUUAUAAAUUCAUUUAAUUUAUUUUUUUUUUAUAAAAAUUAACUAAUUUAAAAUAUAUGUAAAUUUCUAAUUAAUUUAAUUACAUUUUUUUUUUCAGUUUUUCAUAAUAAACCAAAUAUUAGAAAAUUAUUUUUAUUAAGACACCCAAGAUGAGGUAAUAUGCAAUGAAAACAUGAAUUAUAUUAAAAUUCAAAACAAAUUAAGAGAAAUCGGAAAAUAUACAUAGAUAUCUAAACAAAGAAAUUUAAAGAGAAGGAACCACAAACUUUAUUUACAUAAUUUGAAAAUAAAAAACAUAAAACAUACUUAUAGUAAGGAGAAAUUGAAUAUCUUACAAUGGAAGAAGGGAGAAAAGCUUUGAAGAAAGCUUUUGCUUGGAAGCUUACAUGGUGAGAGGUAGAGAAAGGAGAGAGAGAGAAGAAAAUGAAAAAUGAGAAGUGGAGAAAAUUGGAAGUUUUGUGUGCUUACAACUGAGGAUAGAGCCUCCUUAAAUAGCAAAAAAUGGAAUAUUAAAUAGUACCAAUCAGGAGACAAAAUAUUGUUUGCUUUUGAAACCCGUGCAUGAAUAGUAAUCCCGUGAGUGAAUAGUGAAUAAUAAAAGUGAAUAGUAAAAGUCACUUUCUACUAUAGCACUUUAGACUUUUUCAUCGAGAAUCUUACUUUCGGCUGAGUGAUGAUAGCUGAUAGGUUGCUUUGGAUUGUGGAGUCAUAUGUUUGAUGUUUUCGGUGCUGAAACCGCUUAGUUGGAGAAUAAUCUCGUCAGUAGAGCAUCAUGAGAAGCUUGAAUGGAGAGAGCUUAAUGAUGCCAUAUGAUUGGAAGGAAUCCUAUUUUAAUUUCCUUAUUGGAGGGAGAAUACCCUCACAAUCAUCUUCAUUAUCUUGAAGGUAGUUUGAUAUAGAGUCAUCUGACUCAGCAUAAGAGUCCUCUUGGGAGAAGCUUGAACUGCUUUUGUCAAGGAUUUUCUGAAAUUCUUGAGGGGUUUUUGCUAUUGCUAACAUGGUUUGGAGUUGCUGUUUCUUAAGAAGAAACUGUGCAAUAUCAUAAGAUGAUGAAGCUUGUGUAGGAUGCUUUAGGAAAUAUUGCUUUAUUGCUUGUAGUGAGGUAUCAUUUUUCAAGGCAUCCCACCACUUAGACUUGAAAGUCCUUCCAAGGGUUGGAAAGGCUGCUGAUUCAUCUGCUAUAAUGAUAUAAUCCCACUGGACUAUCCAGGCAAGGCCAAAUUCACUAAAAAAGAAUAAUAAUUGGGGAAAACUGAAAGUUCUCUAGGGAUAACAAAAGAACUUUGGAAUAGCUCAAAGCCAUCCAAAAUGGGUUUUGGGAGAAUUUUAAUAGUUGGACCAAAAUAUGUCCACCAAUUGUGGAACCAAAAUGGAAAAGAGGGGAGUUGAUGCUUAGAUGGGAAAUAGAACAUCCCUGAAUGAUGGAAGUCCUUGUUCUGGAUCAGAAAAGCAUUGAACCAUACUCUUUGGUAGUCUCAAUAAUUGAAAAUUUUAGGUUUUGAAGGCUUAGAAAAUUCUCUUGAAAAAUUAGGAUUCCCACCCCACUGCUUAACUGUAAGGAUUUUAUAAAUAUGGUAAGUGGAGAAUGCCAAAUCCAAAUUGCUGAAUUUAUCAGCAUUGUGCUUGAUUUUAACAGAGCCGGUUUCCAUAAGGAUUGCUUCAUAAAAUUCUCUUGUUUUUAAAAGAUCACCAAAGGGAUAAUGAAAAUUUUCAUGAAAAGCUUUUGCUGCAAUAUCUCUAGGGUUUUUAGAGAAAAACUCUUUUUCAAUAACCAAAAGAGGUUGAUUUAAAUCUUUUUGCCAAUAUCUUGCUUUUGCUGAAAGAGGUGUGGGGUUGGCUACCACCACAAUUUGCUUAUUUGAAAAAGAAGAGCUUGAUGCUAAUUCAUUUUGAGAGGGAUUAGCUUUAGUAACCUGCUUAAAGGUCUGAGACACAGUAAUAGUUGGAUACUGAGUAGCCUUGACUGGUUUAGAAGGAUUCGAAGGAUCAUAGUACAAGGACAAAAUCUUAUUAGGCAUAUGGUCAGAAGAAUGAAGCCUUGCUUCUUCUUCUAGCUCAACUUGUUGGCUCCAAAGUAUUUUAUGGGGAGAAGGUUCUUUGCUGGUUUUAGAAGACUAGGAUUCUGGAAGUUUAGGAGCUUGGGUAUUCUUUUUAGGGGCCAUGGUUUCGUGAAUCCUGUAAAAUUCACAAGUUAAGAAAUCAGGGCUCGAAGAAUGUUCUCCUUUAAUAUACUCAAUUUGUAAAUUAAAAUUGCUUAAAAUAGCUUGAUAUAUAGCAAAAAUAUGCUUAGAAGUUAUAUUCUUAACAUCCUUUUGUAAAACUAAUUUUGCAAAUUUACAAUCAACUCUUAAUAAAAACUUUUGAUUCAAAAGAUCAUCUUGAAAUUUUGAAAUGCAUAAAACAACGCUUAAAGUCUCUUUUUUAAUGAUGUUAUGAAUGAGUUGGGUAGUAUUCCAGGUUCUUGAAGUAUACCUAACUAACAUCUCAAGGUUACCAACACUUUGCUUAAGAAUCCCACCAUAACCUAUGUCUGAGGUAUCGAUCCCAACAAACUCAAAGGUUUCUGGAUUGAUAGAGCCUAAACAUGGUAGGGUCUUGACUUUGGACUUAACAUCAAUAAUGAAAACAAUGGUGAAAACAGAAAACUGGUUAAAGUUUUCAUCCAUUAUAUUCUGGAAUUCUGAGGUGCAUUCUUAAGAUCAAAGGGCAUUAUGAACCAUUCAUAAUGUCCAAGAGAUACCACAAAGGUGGUCUUAUUUGGAAUAGGACACCUAAUCCAACUUAAUGUAUCAUUAAGAGGCAUGUAGUUGACGACUAGUCUAGGUGUUCCUUUUUCUGAUUCAACUUGUUCCUGAACAUAGAAGGUUGAACAACUCCAAAGGGACUUAGACUUCCUUAUCAACUUUUUAUCAAGAAGAUCCCAAAUCUCCUUAUCACAAUAGCUUAACAAACCCUUGUUCAUCUGGAUAGGUCUUGAUUUAGUGGGAAUAUUCUUGUCACUAAAGUCUAGUUCAUAAGGUAAUUCUACCUCAUGUUGUUUCCUAUGCCAAAAUGCAUUAGGAAUGUUAGAGCAAACUUCUUCAACAAUCAGAUUAAUUUCUUGCUCAUGACUUUCCUUAGCUUGAAUCACCUGAUCCCUUAAGGUGUUUAUAUUUUUCUUAUUAGGUGGUUGGCAAAUUCAAAAAUAAUUUCCUUAUCUAAGAGCUUUGUUCUUAUACUUUGGUCAUCUACCCACAUGGGAUAGAUGGAGCUUAAAAAGGGGAUUCCAAGGAGAGCUUUCUCCUUAAGAUCCUUAACUAGAAUGAAGGUUUGCUUGAUGCAAAUGCCUUGGUUAUUUAUGUGAGCAUCUGACAGCUUAUACUCAAUGUCAAGCCUUUUACCAUUAGCUCCAAAGAGAGAUUCUUUGGUUUUCUUACAAAACUUAAUAGGACCUAGACCUUCUUGUAGGCAAUUCAAAGCUGUUCCUGAAUCAAUCAAAGCAACAAUAUCAAUGACAAAUUUACUCUUAAUUACUAUAGUAAGGGAGACUUUCCACCUCUGGAAAAUAACCCUACUAACAGUAUUUAAGUAUCCAUCCGUCUUUUCAUCAUUAGCAUGUGAAGAUUCUAGAACCUCUUCAAGGUUUUCCUAGUUAUCAACAAGAUUUUCUAUAACAAUCCUAUUUAUUUGUUCUUGGAGAUCUGAAAAACCUAAGCUUGUGUAUUGUCUUAAAUCUUUAAUUUCCUUCUUAUACUGUCUUACUUCUUCUUGAAGAUCCUUAAUGGUUACGUCUUUGGUAGACUACUGGUUAAAUCUUCCUAAGAUUUCAUUUAAGUUAUAAGAAUUUACUGUCUUCUUAAUCUCUUGCUUAUCGACAAAUUUCUUAAAAACUUCAUAAAGAUCUUGUUUAGUUUUUUCAUCUUCAACUUUCCUUAAAACAUCUAGGACAAGUUCUUGAUCUUGGCUUAUGACAUUUAUAGUCUUAGGUUGGCAAUCACAAUUAUCCUUAAUGUAUUCUUCUUGGUCACUAGAAGUUUGGCUUGAGAUUUCCUCACCACUACUAUCUAGUUGGUUAAUACCAUUUUCAUUAUCUGAAUCAAUCCUUGAUUCAGACUCUGUGGAAUUUAACAUUACUUUACAAAGCAUAUCUUUUAAGUCUUCUGUGACAUUUAAGUUAUUAAUUUUCUGCUUAACCCUACAAUCUUUCUUAUAGUGGCCUAUCUUACCACACUUAAAACAAACUGGCUUAGAUUGUGAAGGAGCUUCUAGCUUUUUAUGGGCUUCUUUGUUCAUCAUUCUUUGGAUGUGCCUUUGUUUCUUAGUUUCAUUCAUCCUAUAGUUGCCAUGAGUUCCUCUCUUGUUGUGAUAGGACUUUUCCUUACUAGGCUUUGUACUUACUUGUUUCUUACGUUGCUUAGAGGGGGGCUUAGUUUCUUUUUGGUUGAAUCCAAACUAGCUACAAAAUGAACCAAACUCAUUCUUGUAGAUCCUUUGUUCAUUUUUCAUCUGUUGCUUAAGCUUAAAGUCAUUGCACAGUUUAAUUGCUUCUGAUGUGACAAUGCUUAUAAUUUCUCCAUAAGAAAGCUUAUCAUAAGGGAUUUGUCCAUUAAACUGUUCCCUUAUCUUAAUCCUAAUCCUCUCAGAGAAAAGUCUAGGUAGUCCUAAGAUGAAUUUUUCUUUCCAAAAAGACUGGUUAUAGUUUGAUCUUAGUAUGACUUUGGUUAGGAAAACUUCUCUAUACCAUCUAAAGUCAUGAAGCUUGGGACACUUAAGGUUGGUUAAGAGAUCUACAAUCUUAUCCUUAAUCUUUGCAGGAUCUCCAAUGAAGUGCUUUGAAAUUGAAUAGAUUAGAGUAGCCACUACAUCCUCUAUAUCUUGUCCAUCUUCAUCCUUAACCACUUCAUUUUCCUCAUUAAUCCUAUAGGCUUUUAGGAUACCAUUUCUAUCCUCAAAGGUGAGAUAAUUAUCCCACCAACCCUAAAGUUGACCUGUAAACCCAACAACAAUUGUUUGAGCUACAGCAUGGCCUGACAAUCUAUUGUUUAACUUAUAGGUUGUACUAACCAUGGUCAUUUCUUGAAGCUUAGUGAGUAUGUUGUACUCAAUCAUACCAUCUAUGUUCCAUUCAUAGAUAGUGUCACUAGUGUAGGAAGCUUGAGUAUGCUGGUUUCUUUCCUCAUACUACAUAUCAGGAAAAGUUGGUCUAGGGUAGUAAUUCCUAGUUCUUGGUUGUUGAUAAUCCUCAUAACUGUUUGGUUAGGAGGUUCCUUAAAAAUCUUAAUUAGUUCAUCAGCCUCUGCUUCAGAACUAAUUUCUCCUUUAACCAUAUUGAUUCUCUUGUGAGAUGGUUGAGGUGUCUCAGAGACAACAAGGCUAUCCUUAACCUUUUGGCUUAUCCUAUCAAUGAGGGCUUGAUCAAUAUGGAGAUUCUCUAGGAAUUUCUUAGAGAAUUCAAAAGGCUUAAAUAAAGACUUAUUAUCUUUCUUAACAAACGUAGUCUUAAUGUAGUCUUGUGUUUCAAUGAUAUCCUCAAACUUGUUGAGUUGAUCGCCUGUAGUCUUAAGAAACAUGUUAGUGUAGUUGUUUUGUUCCAUGAUUCUUCUAACGUCAACAACACUAUCAAUUCCUUUAUUCUUUGGCCUAGUCUUAAAAGGUGAAGCUUUGACUAUGGUUCAAUUAAUGUUCUUUUAUAUCUUAGCUUCUAGAGGGUGGAUGGAUUCUAUGAUAGUAUCGUCACUAGUUUUCCAUAUCUUAGUUUUUUUGGAUGUGUCAUUGACACGCUUACUAGGGUAAUCUAGAUAUUCCUCUUGUUUGAAGAGUUCAAACCAGAUCCAAUACUUAAUGUUCUUCUUUUCUUGUCUUAAGUAUGUGUAGAAUUCUUCUUGGUAGAGGGUUCUAAUGUCUUUAAGGACCUUGCUAAAGAACCAAACUCUCCUUUUCUUAUUGACUUCAGAAUAGAAGUCUUUCCUUAAGAGGUCCUUGUUGAUUCAAAGUCUUCGUUAAUUAGGCUUACAGUGUUAAUCAACUGAGAAUAAGUAGGAGACAUAUCAGGAGAUUCGUCCUGAUGUGAUUCUUGAGUAAACUCAUUUUCCUCCAUGUAAAAGGGUUUGGCCACGUUGGUGUGACUUCUAACACCUGUUAGCUUAAUAUUCUUAGGAUUUGCUGAACUAGAUCCUUCCUCUAUCCUAGUGGUUCUUAUUGGGAUAGAUGAACUUGAAGCUCUAGAGGGCUCAUAAUAUGAAAUUCUAAGGCUGCUAGAAUGAUGAAAAGAGUUGGAGAAAAUUAGAUCUCGUUCUCCAUCAGGAUAUUGAACAAUCUGUUCAAUUCUUUCAGAUCUUUGCUCUAUGGCUGGGACAACAUUAGCAAAAUGCCAAUUUUCUGGAAACUCAACCUCAUUCCACUUGAUUUUCAUGGGGACUAUGAAAUUAGACUUGUUUAUCAUAUCUAAGUGGAAGAUAGUGGUUUCACCCUUGGGACUGGUGCACAAUGCUCCAAAUCCAACGCUUAUGGUCAUGCUCUUAUAGGCAAAUCUGGUGAUGAUGGAAACAUGAUUGUUUCCUUGCUUGAACUUAAAGUCAUGGGUCUUAACAUGAAGGACAACUGAAUCUAAGAUGUUGACAUCUCUUAGUCUAACUGUGAAGUUAGGGAAACACUGGAAAUAAACAGGACCAUCAUUUAAUCCUGCUUGGGUAGCUCCAAUAAUAGAAUCUCGGUAAUCAAGAUGUCUAUUAUCUCUUAAACACAUGACAAUAAAGGUGUUUAGACCUAGUCUUGUCAAGGGCUUAGCUGCAACUUGAAUCAUGCCAAAGUGUAUGAAGUUGUAGUCUCGCUUAUGCUUAUCAAUGGACUUACUAUCCAAGAGUCUUAUGACUUGAUCGUCGUGUUCUAAACUUACUGACAUUUCAGGGGUUUUAAUGGUGUAAUCUGUAAAGAACUUAAAGGUUCCUUUCUUAUAAAUUUCUUGAUUAGGUACCUUGGGUAACUUCCAAUCAUCUAAAUCAUCUUGGAUCUUAGGAUAAUUGAUCUCUUCAUUGUUUACUCUUGAGAAUUUGUGGAUUUCCUAGACAUGGUUCUGAAAAUCAAACUCAUUUUAAGGUUUUAAUCUAGAGCCUAAUAGCAGAUUAACAGACCUAGUGAGUAAUCACCCCAACCCUUUUCCAACCUUAACAAACGCCUAUCUCCAGCUAACAAUGGGCUCAACUCGGCAAGGAUCGCACUCAGGCACACUACUAUCUUUCCUAGGAUAGAUCAAAACACCCAAAACAAACCCGACUUCCUUUUCCUAGGAUAUAUAUAGUAUUUUGGGUUUGAGUAGGAGUUCAUGUUUUGUAUGUAAUUGUAGUCUACGUUGGACUAGGUUGUUUGCUCCUAAUUGAAAUAGGAAUGGUUGGUGUCACAUCUCAUUCAUUUUCUCAUCUAUUUCCAUGUUUAGAUAACUCAAGUAAUCAUAGGAAUGAAAUUAAGAAUGAUUUGAGGGAAAUGAAAUCUCACUUGUAAGUGGGAUCUCAAUUCAUCAUUAAUAGAAGGUAUUUUGAUUACAUAGUGCAAGUUAUUUUUAAAAACACUUUUCAAAAAUUGAAAAACCAAAAACUCUCUUGGAUAAGUUGUUUUUAAAAAGAAUUUUUGUAUUUUUAUUUUGUAAAAAAAAAAAAUAGUAAUUCAAUUUAUAUAAUAUAAAUAGACUUUAAUUUUAUUAAAAAUAAAAAUAAUUUUUUAAUUACAAAUAAAUUAAAAAAUAAAUAUUUGUAAUAAAAUAUGAAUAGUAAUAUUAUAAUAAAAUCAUAAAUAAAUUAAAAAUAUUUUUAAAAACAAAUAAGUUUAAUUUUUUUGAGGUACAAAUGAGCCAAAUUUUUCAUUAGGUACACAACCAACAAUUUUUAUUGGAAACAUUCCUCAAAAAAGAAUUCGUUUCCCAUAUAGCAAAGAUAUUUAUUAUUUAGUAUCUAACCAUCCGUAGUAAUCAUAUCAAUUCUACUAAGUUAUUUAAUAAUUCAUUUAUAUAUAGUACUCAAUUAUGAAUUUUUUUAUUUGAUGUAUAAUUAAUUAAUCAAUGUUUUGAAUUUUGAAUUAUUCUUAAAAUUUAAAACAUUAAUUAUGUCUAUUACUUUUUAUAGUCAUUAUAUAUAUAUAUAUAUAUAUAUAUAGAGAGAGAGAGAGAGAGAGAGAGAGAGAGCUUAAAUUUAUCUUUAAAAAUUAUUAAAUUUAUUAAUAAAUUCAAUACAAAGACUCAUUUGAUUUGAAAUUCAUUUCUUUAGUGAAAAUUUUGAAACUAAAUAGUACUUUGUUUUACUUUGUUUUUAAAUCAUACUCACAAAUAAGUUUUUAUCAUUUAGCCAAAAAAUCUCAAAGAUGUUUCUAAUUUUAUUUAUUUAUUUAUUUGUAAAUGAAAAUAAAAAAUUAGUUUAAACUAAAUAUGCGGAUAUUAUUGUUAAUUUAUUUCAUUUUUUAUUUCCAUUGUUAUUUAACAUUGAAACGGAAACAAAUAAUCAUUCCAAUCUUACAUUCUUAUAUGCAUCUAAACACAAGAAUUGAAAUCACCAAAUUCAUAUUCAAGGCAAAAUAGAAAUGGAAAAAAAAUAUUCAUUUUCAUUCCUCAUUCUCAUGUGCUAAACAUGACAUUAGUUCUACUACCUAUUUCACCAUUCUUCUUGAUAAAUUUGGUAUAUGCAAUAUUGAUCUAAGUGUGAGGUGAAUAAGAAUGAUGAUGGGAUGGGCUUGGAAAUAAGGGCAAAGUUUCUAGGUGCUAUCUAGAGGGGCAACGCGACUUUUUCAAAUUUCGAAUAUUUGUUCUCAACAUAAAGCAAAACUUUACUCACACAAUAGAUAAGACUCUGUUUGUUUUCUUCAUCCACGACUAUAUAAUGUAUAGCUCUUACUCAAGGGAUGAGCUACUUACUAUUAAGGAUUGGGUAAGAUAUUGCCUAAUGGCCAAGAAGGCAUGUCAAAAAAUAAAUCUAAUCACCAUAAAAAAUAAUAGGGGAAAAUUAAUAUAUUAUGAAUGAUGACUUUACUAUUUCUCUAUAUACAUAAUUAUAUAUUUUGAAUUUUCUCACUAGGUAAUGAGAUUCUAAAUCAACUGAAACAUAAUUAAUAAUUUAUAUUUUUAAUGAAUCUUUUAAUUUUUAAAAAUAAUUUAAAAUUUUAAAAAACAAUUCAAUUAAUUACAUAUUAAAUCAAAACAUUUCAAAAUAUUGUGUUUGUAGAUGAGUACUAAAUGCUUGCAUAUAAUAAUAAUAAUAAAAAAAUUGACUCAUUUAGAUGUUAAAAAAGUUAAAUGUUUUUCAUUAUUCAUUUUAAGUAAAAUAUUAUUGACAUUAUUAUUAUAAAAUUAUUAUUAUUCAUUUUUAACAAAAAACAAAAUAAGUUAUUCUUUUACCAAGAUGUCAAUAUCUAUAUUUUUCUAACAUAUAUUAAAAUAGUAUACUUUUCUUUUAUUAAAAAUAAUAAUUAUUAUUAUAUUAUUAUUCAAGUUUUAUUAAAAAAAUUUAUCUUUUAAUUCAUUUGUAAUUACAAAAUAAUUUUAUUUUAUUAAGAAUUUAAUUUAAUUACGCUUUUUUUUUUUAUAAAAAAAACAGUUAUGCUUUUACCAAGAUGUUAAUAUUCAUAUUUUUCUAGCUAACAUAAAUAGAAUAGUACACUUUUUCAUAUAAAAAAAUAAUUUAUGAUUUUAUUAUAAUGUUACUAUUCACAUUUUACUAAAAAUAUUUAUUUAUUUUAUUUAUUUUUAAUUAUAAAAUAAUUUUAUUUUCAAGAAUUUAAUUUUAAAAAAAUAGAAAUCAUUUAUUCUUUUACCAAGAUGUUAAUAAACAUAUUUUUCUAACAUAUACUAAAAUAAAAAAGUUUACUUGUUCAUUAAAAAAUAUAAUUUAUGUUUUUAUUAUAAUACUACUAUCUAUGUUCUACUAAAAAUAUUUAUUUAUAAUUAAAAAAUAAUUUCAUUUUUAAUAAGACUUGAACUAAAUUAAAUUUAUAAUUUUUUUUUAAAAUAAAAUAGAAAAUUAUUUUUUAAAAACAACUUAUUGAAAGAAAUUUUUUAUUCUUUACUUUUAAGAACUGUUUUUAAAAGCAACCUAUAAACCCCUUUGGGUCUGUUUGGCUAUGUUUCAUGCAACUUGUUUUUAAAAAUUGUUUUUUAUUCUUUAAUUUAAUUUUUUUUAAGUUAAAGAAUAAAAAACAACUUUCUAGUGUUUUAUAAAAAUGAGAGCUUUUGACAAGUUGUUUUUAAAAACCAUUUUUAAAAAUAAAAAAUAAAAAACUUAUUUAGAUAAAUUGUUAUAUAUAUAUAUAUAUAUAUAUUUGUAAAAACAUUUUAAAUUCAAUUUAUAUAAUAUAAAUUUAAUUUAAUUUAAGUCUUAUUAAAAAAAAAUUGUUUGGAUAAGUUUUUUUUUUUAAAUAGUUUAUUAUUUUUGUUUUGUAAAAACAUUGCAAAUUCAAUUUAUAUAAUAUAAAUUAAUUUAAUUCAAGUCUUAUUAAAACCAAAAUAAUUUUAUAAUUACAAAUAAAUUUAAAAAUAAUUUUUUUAGUAAAACAUGAAUAAUAAAAUUAUAAAUUAUAUUAUUGUGGACCCUGCAUUUAUGCUCAUGCGCUUCCACUUGUUGGCGAACUCAUUUUUUAUUUGAAAAUGAUUUAUUUUUUUAGAAAAUGACUUAGAGUCGCCACUUAUUUUUGUUUUAUUUUUAAAGGGCAAGCAAAAUAAGAAAGAAAACCCUAAGUGUGACUCCUUAUUCGAAAAAGGUAGUCUGUGUAAAACCGGAUCAGGGUUCAGGGAUCAGGUUACUUAUUGGGAAGGUAUGACAAUGACCGUAGCACUCCUCUAAGUCCUUAAAAACGGGCCUCUACUAAAAAAAAUAAAGUAAUCAUGGCAAUCAGUAAGGAAAUCACUGGAUACCCAGAACAAUUAUGCACAUGUGAGAAUUAAAACAUGCAUAAGAAUGGACAAAGUGAGAGUGGGUGCGUACCUUGACAACGAACCACAAUGCGUUAUCAAGAAAUGGGGUUAGUGCACGAUCAAUGAACAUAAAACACGUCACACAUGUCACUAAGCAGAGUGAGAAAUCAUCAGAUAUUACAAUUCAAUCAAAUUUAUUUUUAGAAGAAACAUCUGUUGAUGUAGAGCCCCUACCAAAGCCUAAUUUAUUUUUGCAUGAAUCAAUUUCAUAAAUUCAAUCGCUUGGAAUUACAGAAUUAAAUUCAUGCUUAUUUUAAAACAUCUUUUUAAAAUCAUGGAAGAUGUGAAAAUGGUUUUCCAAAGAGAAAAUGACAACUGAUUUUAUUGAAAAUGGGAUUUUGGGGACCUAAACGUUAAAGAGGGAUUAGGAAUUGAAAAUUAAAUCAUUUGAAAAUUGAAUUUUUCAAAAAUCAGUUUUGAAAGCAUGCAUGCAAGUAUGGACUGUGAAAGUGGGCCUAGGGAGGGUGGCCAUGCAAAAUGAGGUCAUACACGUGGGCCUUGGGUACAAUUGGGACUACUUUGCUGGUGCCAGUGGUGCUUGCAGCUGUCAUCCAUGAUUUCUUCAUUGGGAUCAAUUUCCAUUCUUACUGCCAAACAUUCCAUAACAAUUGACCAAACUAGUAACCCUGACCUUGCAUGAAAAUGAACGUUACCUAGAAACUCACUGCCAGUGAGAUUCAUUGCUCUUUCAAAAGGUCUCAUUUUCUUUCUCAUCCAAUUGCUUUAAGGAGCAUUCUAGCGUCACGAUUGGUGACUGCGCAUCAUCUAGAGCCUUCUUUCUUCUCAGAAUCAGGUUUGCGUGCAGAGGCCUGUGCUUGUUCAAGGUUGACCUAAAUUCAUCUAGGUUUAGAACCGACCAGUUGAGCUUGGGGAGCAACGACAAGAAUAUCAGUCACUUGCGAAGAGAAAACUCGAGAUCUUUCAAGUAAUGCCUGACAUAGAUUCCUCCAACCUGUGGCCAAUAUCUCAUUCCUUGUUGGCCAGACGCCUAUUAGGGCGUAUCUCAAUCAAUAAUAUGAUUUUUCGUUUGUUCACAAUAAAGACCGGAAGCCAUGGUUGUGAUUUAUGCAGUACAGAAGAAGUUGCCAUGGCUGGUAUCCUUACAAAUUCUGGUGUUUCUGCUAUCUGUUCAAGUGCAAAACACAACAGCUUUAUCAAGUUUGUCCCUAACAACUGAUAUUGAGCCCUCUGGAGGAAACCUUGAUAAAUUCAUAAUCACUUUUGACUCAUGCAUGGGCUGCCCAUCAAAUUUUCCUAGCAACGAGACGACUGCUGUCAUCUACUGCAAAGAGAAUUUCUUCUCGCAAAGACAAGAGGAGUUUAAGAAUACACACUAUUCUGCCAUUUCAUUUCCUCUUUCUCCACAACCAACAUAAACCAUAGUGUCUACAUUAGAGUACUUAGAAAGAGCUUAACUGAUGACCGUUUUUCCACAACCAAAUGCCCCAGGUAUGGCACAAAUUUCACCGAAAACAGAAGGGAAAAGGGCAUCAAGAACACGCUGUCCUGUAAGUAGUGGGGUAUCAGGACUACUCUAGGGAAGUUAUUUCUGUCAUUUUGAAAAAGAAAAAUUAAAGAAUGUACACAUGCUUUCAAGUGGACUGGAGCAUUCUACAUAUCAGGUGGUCUGUAGCCACAUGUGCCACUUUGUGGAAGUUGGAACAGUCGAUCACUAGGCUAUUUAGUGUGGCCAAGCCACGUUAAUCAAGGACAAGUCUUCAUACUUAAAAGUCAAAUGGUGCCUUUAGUCUCAUUACACAUGGCUAUUUAAAGAUGAACUAAUCUUUAGUGUAAUGUGAUUAAGACAGUACUAACUGAUCAAUAUUUUUUCUAAUUUUGGAUGCAAAUGCUUGCUGGCUUCAUCAUUGGAUGGGAUAAAGGUGCAUUCAUGACUCUGAAUACUUGCAGUAAUACUUGCAGUAAUACUUCAUUCUCUUUUUUCUCGAUGAGACUUCUUGGCACAAUUUUGCUUCUCAGCAACCUACCUCUCCAUGGAAAAUGAGUUGCGAUUGAUGGUACUGGAUAUUUUCUAGGAAGCUAAAUAUAGAUAUAUAGCACUCAAUGUCAACGAUAUAUAUAGCAUUAACAGUAUAUGUCUCAAUGCUCAUCAGCUACAAGCAAGGGACAAACACUUACAAUGAAUAACUCACGUCAACAUUCCUAAACAGGACAUAGAAGUGACAGAUCUAUAUAUAGAACACUGCAUAUGAGUCACAAGAAAAGAUAAUACGGGUGCAUAGCAGCUCUUAUAUUACAUAUUACUCAUACCGUUCAAAUUCACUCAGUUGGGAUGGGUGGGAGAAGGAGGCCUCUGGGGUGGCUUGUGCGUGUGAGAAGUGGAAGAAAGUUGAAUGGAAUGAAACUGAAAAACAGGGUAGAAUAGAGGUUUCUUGAAUCUUCUGAAAUCUUUAUUUUUCUGAGAUUUAUUCUCUGUUUUUGUGAGUCGUGACUCUACAUAUAUACAUGUAUUUAAAGUUAGUUAUGCCUUAUAACUAAUUAUCUAACAGUACCAAAACUAAUCAUCUAGUUGCAUGUUUCUAAUUAAUGCUAUUUAGUUACAACUAUAUAUGGCUUAACAUCCUCUCUCAAACUCAAAAGUCUAGCUAGAACAGUGAGUUUGCUUCAUAGAUUGAGAAAUUGUUGAAUAGGUAAGGCUUUGGUAAGAGCAUUAGCAAUCUGGUCAUAAGAAGGAAUGUGUUGAACCACCAAAGUCUUAUUGAGCACCUUUUCCUGAACAAAAUGGCAAUCUAGUUCCACAUGCUUAACUCGAGAAUGAAAAUAGGAUUGGCAGCAAGAAAGGUGGCUGAAAGAUUGUCAUAGAACAAAACAAAAUAGGAGAAUAAGAAGAUGAGAUAGAAAACUCCUGAAGAAGAUGUUGAAUCCAUUGAAGUUCAAAAGCAACAUUUGCUAAGGCCCUAUACUCAGCUUCAUUGCUGGAACGAGACACAACUUUCUGCUUACUGGAGUUCCAGGAGACUAGAUUAGAGCUAAAAAAGAUGCAAUGACCACUUGUACUUCGACGAUCAUCAGGGCAACCAACCCAAUCAACAUCAGCAUAAGCAGUAAGUUGAAAAUCAGGAGAAGAAUAAAAGGAAAGACCAAAGGAAGUAGUGCCCUUAAGAUAAUGCAACAAUCGUUUAACAACUUGCCAAUGAAGAUCAGUUGGUUAUUGCAUGAAUUGGCAAAGUUUAUUGAUAGAGAAAGAGAUGUCAGGCCUUGUAAUGGUACAAUAUUGCAGGGCUUCAACAAUGUUGCGAUAUUGAGAAGGGUCAGCCAAGAGGGAACCUUUAGAGGCAGAUAAAGUGUGAGAGGUAGUCAUUGGUGUAUCAAUAGGUUUAAAAUAUGGAAGACCAGCACGAGUUAACAAGUCCUGAAUAUAUUUGGUUUGGGAAAGAUGAAGAGAAGAUCCUUGCCAACAUACUUCUACACCCAAGAAGUAAUUCAGAAUACCAAGGUCCUUGAGAGCAAACUGAAAGUGUAAAGACGAAACCAUUUGGUGGACUAGCACGGUAUUAAGACCACUAACAAUAAUGUCAUCAACAUAGAUGAGAAUAAUGAUCAUGUCAGUCCCUUUCCGAAGAGGAGCUUGCUUCAGACCCUACAAGGCUUUGCGAAGUUUACAGAAAAAACCGGGUUUAGAAUGAUCAACAAAGCCUGGAGGUUGAACCAUGUAAACCUCUUCUUCUAACUCACCAUUGAGAAAGGCAUUAUUAACAUCUAAUUGUUCCACUAACCAACCAUGAGAAAUAGCAAGAGAAAGAACAAUUCAUAUAGUAGUUGGUUUAACAACAAGGCAAAAGGUUUCAAAAUAAUCAAUACCAUAUGUUUGAUUAAAACCCUUUGCAACUAAGUAGGCUUUAAAACGAUCAAUUGAGCCAUUAGCUUUGAGUUUCAGCUUGUAUAUCCAUUUACAACUAAUAAUGCGUGUAUUAACAGGUUUAGGAACCAAUGUCCAUGUGGAAUUGGUGAGAAGAGCAUCAUACUCAGUCUUCAUAGCAGCUUGCCAAUUAGGAUGCAAUAUUGCUUCUUUGAAAGAGGAGGGUUCGACAACAGUAGUUUGGAUAGCAAGGCUAAAUAUUUUUUUGGGUUUAAAAAUACCAUUUUGGCUACGAGUAACAAUAGUUCGGUUUGGAAGUGAAAGAGGAUCAGUGGAGGAGGCUGGAACAAGGGAUUGUGGUAAAGUAGGAAAGGAAGGUGGAUGAGAUGGAACAAAAUCAGUAGGGACAAUAAUGGGAGAAGAAAAAUUAGGUGGAGAAUGAUGAGGAUUCCUUGAAGAUGGUGUAGGAAUAGAGAGAAUACCAGAAUCAAGAAGUGUUAAAGAAGAGUUGGAUGAUGAUACUGGUUGACAGGAUAAAGACUUUGUUAAAAAUGGAAAUCGAGUUUCAUCAAAUACAACAUGACGAGAAGCAUAUAUCCGAGAGGAAGCCAUAUCCAAACAGAGGAAUCCCUUGUGUUUAGCACUAUAACCCAAAAAACAGCAAACAACAAAUAUAUUUGCUAGCUUGUGAGAAGCAUAAGGGCGAAGAUAAGGAAAACACAAGCAUCCAAAACUUCAAAGAGAUGUAUAAUAAGGUAAACGAUUAUAAAGAACUCCAUAAGGAGAAUUUUGUGAAAGAACAGCAGAGGGAAGGCAAUUUAUGAGAAAAAUGGCAGUUUGAAAUGCAAAUGACCAAUAUUUGAGAGGGUAUACCAGCUUGUAUUAACAAAGAAAGACCAACUUCCACAACAUGACGAUUCUUUCUUUCAACUCUUCAAUUUUGCUAAGGAGUAUAAUGACAAGAGACUUGAUGAAGAAGACCAUUUGUAGCCAAAUAAUUCUGAAAAGCUGAAACUGAAACUCAUCAAAUUGAUUUUUAGUAUCAAAUUUUCUUCAGACUGAACACAUUGAUUUUUAGUAUCAAAUUUUCUUUCAACCAUGGCUUGAAAAUGUUGGAACAUAAGUAAAGCUUCAUCUUUAGUUUCCAAAAGGUACAACCAUGAGAAUAUGCUAAAAUCAUCAAUUAGCAAGAGGAAAUAUUGAGCAUUACCAUUGACAGAAACUAUAGGAGUUGCACCCCAAAGAUCAACAUGGAUGAGACCGAAUGGUUUUAUUGCUCUAGAAGUGGAUAUUUCAAAUGGAAAACGAUGGCUUUUAGCCAACUGACAAGACUCACAUACAGAGUUAUUAUUGUCAUGUUUCAAAGGUAUUUUAUAAAGAGAUAAGAUUUUGGAAACUACAUUAAUAGAGGGAUGACCAAGUCUAUUAUGCCAAAGCCUCAAAGAACCAACGGCUAAAGUACUACUAGUAGAGUAAAAUACUAGUGGAUGACCAACAACUCUUGGUGUAGCAAGAAGUUUAUAGAGACCCUUCUCAAUUUUUCCUUGAAGAAGAGCAAGUCUCGUUUCCUGAUCCUUUACCACAAAAUGAGAAGAACGAAAUUCAAUAAAGGUGCCAUUGUUUGAGUAAAAUCGUUGCACGCUAACUAAGUUGGUGGUAAUAGAAGGAACAUGUAAGACAUCAUUGAAAAACAAAGAACCACUUGAAGAGGCAAGAGAAAAUUUACCAAUAUUUGCAAUGGAUAAACCCUUACCAUCUCCAACAAUUACUUUGUCACCACUGGUAAAUGGAUUAUGGAUUGUUAAAUUGUUAAGAUCAGAUGUGAGAUGAUGGGUAGCCUUUGUAUCAAGAAACCAAUAAGUGUCUCCCAUUGUUGCAGAAGUUGUAGUCAUAGCCUCAGGAUUGUUAGAGGUGGAAUGUUUAGAAUCUUUUGGCUGAUAAUCAGAGUUAAACCGAUACCAGCAUUGUAAAGCGGUGUGUCCGAACUUACAACCGAGAGAAAUAAUCUUUACUUAUUCUCUAAAAACUGUUCUUUAUUCCACACAUUAUUUCUAAAAACUGUUUCUAGAUAACAAUGACAAAAUAGUAUUAGGAAUUUUUAAAAAUAAAAAUUGUUUUUAAAUUACAUGAUCUAUAUCAUUCACAUUUGACCAUUAUAGCUUUGUUCAGGAAAACACUUGAAAGUAACCUUAUCGUGAUAAGAGAUAUAAGUUGGCUGUAGUUUCAAACUGAAAACAGAGGAUGGCAAUAGAAAGCAAAGCAUUAGUUAUCUGCAAUCAGUGGUGAUCAUGCCCCAUGUCAAUUUCGGACCCAUAUCUUAAAACCGUAUAAUUUGCAUUUCAACAUUUCUGAUUUCUCAGAUGUUUCAUACUCCACAGAAGAACAUUGUUUGUGAAAGCAUGCAUUUAUGCUGGAUUUUGGAUGAUGUGGGAACUGGGGCAAGGAUCAUAUGGAAGAGUGGUCGAUUUUUUCUGUACUUUAACAUUUGAAAUAGGAGCAGCACGGGCAUUUGUGGGGCUUAAUUGAUUUUGAAGCCUGAAAUUGCGUUUCUGUCAUUUUGUAAAAAAUAUGGCAGAUUCCAUGCUCUCAUAUGUUUGGUCUGUGGCCAUGUAUAGAUGCCACUUAGUGACCAGUUUGUAACUGUCAAUCAUAGUGUUUUGACUCUGGCUCAACAACAUCAGCCAUUGACGGAUUUUCAUACAUGCAAAUCAAAUAGUCUUCUUCCUCCCUUAGGAAUUUCGGUUUAAAUGUUAUUAAGCAUACAUUUGGCUGACAAUUAUUAACCACUUCAUGAUAUGGUUUCUUACCCUUAAUCAAUGGUUUCUAAGUGAAUAUAUGCAGAAGGAAAUCUGAACUGUAGACAGCAGUAUUGAUAAUUAUCAAUAUUCUUUAUAUAAGAGAAUAAACAACGUCAUAGUGAUCGUCGCCUACAAGAAAGGUACAUUUCCCAACAAGAUGUAGUUGUGACUGGUACAUGGACGUAAUUAACUCGUAGAAAAGGAUAAGACCAGUGCACGGCAGCUCUUAUUUUACAUGCUAAUUAUGCUAACCAAAGUCACUCAGUUGGGAUGGGAGGGAGAUGGAGGUUUGUGCGGUGGCUUGUGGGGCGGAGUUGGUGGCUUCUUUUCAGGAGCUUGUGGCUUUUUCGGAGCUGAAGGAGGCUCAAUCUUAUGAGGCGGCUUGUACGAGUCUUCUUUACUCUCGACAGGAGGGUGGCCAGGGUUGUGACCAUAAUGUGGUGGCUUCUCUCCCUUAGGUGGCUUGCCAACUGGGGUUGGUGGCUUGUGUUCAGGAAGUGGUUUCUCUCCCUUGGGAGGUUUACCAAUUGGGGUUGGUGGCUUGUGUUCUGGGAGUGGUUUCUCUCCCUUGGGAGGUUUAGUGGGUGACUUGUGUUCUGGAGGUGGCUUCUCCACCGGAGGCUUGUGCUCCGGUGGUGGCUUCUUGGUUGGAGGGGGCUUGGGGUAAUCAGCAAGAGAUGGGGGGGUGAGAACCACCACUCCAAGGAACAACACUAGCAAGUAUGUGGGAGACAUUUCUGAGUUUGAGCUGAUCAGAUGAUGCAAAACUAGAAGAAUUACGUGACCUUUUAUAGCAAGUAGCUCCCAAUACCCACAUGACACGUGUUACUGUGACCAUAAAUAUUAUAGGGUCCAUUUGUGCCCUACCGGGUUGAAAACUUGGACGCUUGGCCGAGGACACACCGAACUAUGGAGGACUAUUGACGUGUGAUCACAGCUUUUGGAUUUUUCUUCCUGUGCAGCUGUCUAGCGGUUGGCAUUAUUUUUUUAAUCUUAAAUAAAGGCAUAGUUAUAGAGUACAUUUAUAUAUCUUCAGAUAGCCAUUAAUAUAUUUGAUGAAGAAAGACAAGUGCAUACAACAUGUAUACGGCUUGCUUCAAUCGAGUACAUUUAUGAUCAGUUUUCCAGUGCAAGUAAACCAGUUUUUUGUUCCACAACUAUUUUGGAAUCUUGUUUAUCAGUUUCUAUCAUUAUAAUGUCACAUAGGCUGCAAACUUGGGCACCCAAAGAUCUAGUUGGGCAAAUUUGUUUCAGAAUUUCAAUGGUGGAUUCAGUAAUUGUUAAAAGGUGUUUCUUCAUUAAGGAAAGAGUCCUGUAAAAAUAUUGUUAAAAGGUGUCAUAGAAACUAUAAUAAUUAAAUAACUUCUUUUCCCCGUGGGUGGUGUUUCUUCUGGGGAUACCCAAAAUGAGUUCAGAUUAAAAUUGGUUCGAGUCAAAGCUGUCUCUUUUGUCCAGAAAUCAACUAUUUUGCGCAUUGCAUGAAUCGAUAAAGAAAAAAUGAAAGCCAAAUCACACCUCCCCUGCAAAACCUAAACCCCGGUUGCUAACUUUCUAUGUUUCAGUCCUAUUCAUACAGGAAUAUUGGUUCAAGUUUGAGAAAAAUGGCAACUUACCUAGGGAUUACUUGGUUGUGGUUUGCGACGACUAUUUACGCAACCAACCAUGAGUUUGACUUUAACGUCAUGGGUUGAAGCCUCCUACAAUCGUGUAUGAUAGUUCAAAGCUCGUAGUAGAAAUUAUACAGGAAGGAAGAAACCUCCAAAGCUAGCUCCAAAAGAGAAUUAUCACAUCGAUAGCUCCAGAGAUUCCCAAGGGGACUGAAUCAAAGACAAGUUCCUCACUUUUUCUUCUUUUGAGGCCAAAUAUGAACCAAGGAUCACACGACCUCAUUCAACUUCAUAAGUUUGAUUUCAUGCAGUUGAACACUGGGUGAAGGCCAUGACAAGAAUUGAUUAAAAAAUUCUACCACUGUUUUAAGUAAUGGAAGAUUAUUAUCUCUGAUUGGCACCACAACAGCACAUGCUGCUAGAUCUUUCUAGACACUCCAUGCAAUGAAAGUACAAUGGAUCUUGUAACGAUAGAAACUAAGCCAUGCUACAGUACUAGAUGACGAGGUAAAACUAUUAGACAUGGGUGGCAGCCUAUAUGGGAGGGACACAAGUCUAAUUGAUUUGCAUUUCAGCGUUCUAGAUGGGUAUGUUUUGGAAGAUUUGUUCUGGAAAUACCGCACCAAGUAGGAUUCUUUUUUCUCUUGAGUGGGUCCACUUGCAUGCCAAUUAUCGAGUUGAAAAGUAGAGCACCUACCUCGUGCUCGUGGAACCGAAGGUCAGUGAAGUGGGGCUCCUUUUGGCCUCUUGUGUUUCUGUUCCAACCAAGGCGGCGGAGGGAAAAACAGCAAUAUGUCUCCGCUAAAUAUCAACGCAUGAUAGCGAAUGAGGGAGAAAAAAAGUAAUUGGCAUCUCAAUCUCACAAACUUGGUACAGUAGUGACAUUAAUAGUCUUCCACAUGGUUUUUAUUUUAUUUUAUUUUAUAUUUUAUAUUUUCCAUUUUUUUAUUUUUUUGUAUGUCAAGGCUAAUGAAUAAAAUGCGUUAGCUUGUUUUGUGAUUGGAACUGCAAAUGUCCAAAUUGGAGUUUCUCCAUUUCUCAGUUCGGAUGGUUAACUUUAUAAACAAGAUAUAGGAAACAUGUGAACGUCUUGAGGAACAAUUCGAAUUAUUGAUUAGAACUCCUAGGUUGAGUUCCAAGAUUUAAAUCAGACCCCUCUAGCAGCUUCAGGGGUACCUAGCAAUUAGAACAUAUUAAUGAAGAUUUAGGAUUUAGACUCCGGAAUACAAAUUAAUAUGUAUCUUAUGCUCUGACUAGCUUCCCUGCAUAUGCACAAAAUGGAGAUGACCCAAAAAAUAGCAGAAUCGCCUUAGUUUAUGUGGUUAAGGUGAUUCUCCGGUUAAUAUCCACAUUGGCUCAUUAUGCAAAUCAACUGAGCUAUUUUUUUUUUAAUGUCAAAUAGGAACUCCUAAUUAACCUAACCAUUGGCCUGUGUAAAUUGAUUUCACAUGCACAAUGUUGUAGUAGAAGUCCACAUUUUGAAUUUUAUUUUUGGAAAGGUAAGGAAAAUGAAGCAUUGUGUAAUUAUAAAAAUAACUUCAUUGGAAUUCACAAGGUUCACCCAAAAUGGAGCUACAUCCGUAUUCUAUCUUACAGUAGACUAUAUAGAUUGUACAAUAGUAAAUUGCAAAUACAAUUAAUAAGUCUUGUGUUUCCUUACUAAUAAUCCUUUGACAUAAACAUUGCAGCACUAAGGUCCUCUUGGGCAGACACCUUGCACCCAUGAGAGCACUAAGAGGAAGCAAGGCGGAGUCAUGGGUGCAAUGUCAUGACUUGUUGCACUAAGAGAGGCUUGGUGAUGGCAUAGUGCUGCAGUAGCAAGAAUGUUGCCUUGGCAGGGACACGAUCUAGGGACAGAUGCCAAGAAAGGCUUAGCACUCACAUGAGUUGCACAAAGAUGAAUGAAAUAGAACAUCAAAGAGACAUCUUGGCAAGCUCAAGAAAGACAUGUGGGUUGGUAAAUGAAUGGAUGCAAGAGGCAACAACAUGAGGAGUUUCAAAUGGAUAGGGAAUGAGUCAAAGACAUUUGAAAGCUACAAGUUGGAUUCUAAUUACGAUUGCAAUUUGAGUUUGAGUAGGAGUUUAUAUUAUGAUUGUAAUUGUAGUAUGAGUUGGACUAGGAUUGCUUAUCCCUAGUCAAAAUAGGAGUUGUUCAUGCCACACCCUAUGAAAAGAGUUUGAGUAGGGACUAGGAUUGCUUGCUCCUAGUCAAAUAUGGAGUAGGUGGUGCCACACCUAUAAAAAAAAAAGGGACAACAUGAGAGAGAGAGAGAAUGAAUUCACCAAAGAUAUUGUGGGAGUUUUGCUUUGUUACAUCUUGUAUUAUUAUUUAGAAUAGUAAUAAAAUACAAGUUGGGGCUAGAGCCCCAUAAUCUCGUGUGCCUUUGUGGGUUAUUCUUUAUUUGCCAUCUCGUGUGGAUUGGAUUAGAUUGAUGAGGCGAAAUAUUAUGUGGGAAAUUUAUGUUGGGACACUUACCAUAACCAGGUAAAAUCUACCAAGUCUUUUGUAAUAUCUUCUACAAAUAUUUUAGACCAGUUCUUCACAAAACAUCAUAAUAUGUUUUGUGUUUCUCUUGGAUUUUGAGUUGAAUUGUCUUAGAUCAAUUGAAUGCAUCUCAAUAUUAUUAUCUUGUUUGAAGGCUUGAUGAUUUUCCAUUUAACUUUACUUUCUUUAGGUUAUGCUUGAUUCCUUAAAAGUACUAAGGAAAACAAAAAAUAAAAAAAAAUAAAAAAUGCAGAGGGUUAGGACAUGUGUUAUCUAAUUGUCCUAUCCAAAGAUAUUAAGAAAGUCAUGUAGGAAAGUAAUUGAAAACUAGGUCAAGAAAGGAGCAAAAGGGAAUUGUUUUGGUAUUUUCUUUUUUAUUCUUGAAGGUGGCAGAGCUAAAAUUUGAGAAAUCAAGCAAAACAUACUGAAAUUACAUUGAAAGAAAGAAAAUGGUAGUUAAUGUCUUGCAGUACAUGAUAAGGACUUCAUGCAUGUAGUGUGACGACCCAUGUCUUGGACUGAUGCCACACUCACGGUUACACUUAUACCCUUGGUUCUCUCUUUACUACCUUGGCUAACCUAGAUCAGGCUAUGAGAUAGGCUCCUCACCACACCAUCACUUGCCCAGUAAUUAGUGACAUUUUCAAGCAAUGAGGUAACAUGGUGACACCAAGAGGGUUUAUCCCUCGCCCCAACAAGUCUAGACUCGGUCUCAAAAAAAUGGAGAAAAAUGAGGUGUCGUUAUGCAGAAAUACAACAACCAUGCCUUCCUUAUUACUUAGAUUCAGAAUGUGAAGGUGAAAUUGAGAAACAGAAACUCUUGAAACCAGAAUGAAAAUUGAUACUUUUACGAAGAAUUACAACAUUAGAGGAAGACUACAUUCUUCCUCUAUAUUCCUACGUUUCUACACUACUUCUACUCCACUCCAUAUUUCUACAUACAUCUUUAAUCAGUUUUCCCUCCUUUAUAUAGAGCCAUCUUCACACAAAUUCCGCAAGGUAGAAAAGAGGAAUGAAACUUGGAGCAAGGUUCGACUACUGGUUGUCGCUUGUCAAGGCUGGAAUUGAACUUUUUUUCUUGGCUUUUCUGGGCAUAGGUAGUAACUUGUGGUUCCUUUUUGGAAUGAAAAUGGUACAGCUAGAACAUGUGGCACUCUCUUGUUGGAUUAUGUGUCAAACAUGUGGCAGCCAUCUAGUGGAGAUUAUUUCAAUUUUGGGAUGGAGAGUUGGCAUCCAAUUGCAAAGAAAUAUGACAUCUACCAACAUGCAAUGUAAACCUAUAUAGAUCAUAUGGAGAUAGAGAGGAAACAUAUAGAAAUGGAUAUAUACCUAGAACUAGCUUUUUAUUAAAUGAGACGGAGAGCCAACAAUGAAGGAAAAUCAAAAUUUUUGGCUCAUAUCAAAGAAUUCACAUUGUGUUACCCUAGGUUUUCUUAAAGCUUGCACAAAGCCAAAAAGCACACAAAAAAUUAUAUUUUCUAGCUCUCUACCUUGGAUGGUCUCUUGAUCCUACUUGGAGAUGUGCAUAAAUAAAAGGAUUUGAAAAUGACAAUUGACUAAGUAUGUAGUCAAUCAAUUACUCAUUAAUUGACUAGUUGAUCAAUUAACUUUGCAACAUCAUAUGCAAUCCUAAUAGCUAGUCAUCUAAUCAACUAGGUAGUAAAUCAAUAGGCCAAAAAUAUGUUUAUAAUGACUAUUUUGUACAAAAACCACCUAUAUGGUUAAAUAUAAUGCAUUUCAUUUAUAAAUCUUCUAAUUCUUGAAUAACGAUCCUAUCAUCCUUUGAAAGUUUUUAUUACACCUUUUAUACUUUUGUUCUAAAACUUACACAUGUACAUCACCCUUAAUUGUACCAUGAGAACCUAGCUUUUUUUUUUUUUUUUUUUGUAAUUCAUCAAAGUUAGCUUUUGUAUUCAUUACUGUACUAUUUUUAUUGUAACUUAGAAAGCGAGUGUUUUCAAGUGAGUGAAAUUGACUUAUAAAUAUUGUAAAGAUUCAUUGAUGUGUAUCUUAAACUAAGUGUACAAGUUGAAACAUUUGCUAGUAGAUUUUCUCAAGAUUUAGAAUAGAGCUUGAGGCUAUUGAAAUAGGUGGGGUUGCACCAAACCACAUCACAUUGUUGUUUGCACCUUUUUUUCACUCUCUUUUACUUAGUUGCUCUAUAUUUGUUGUCUAGUAAUAUCCUAUAGGCUUGAUGGGUUAGGGAGCAUCCCUUUGUGAAAAAUUUUCAUUCAAUCCUUAGUUGUAUCACGCAUAUAUAAAAUGCCUCAUUGUUUUAAUGGUAUUCAGUCGUGGCAUCACAGAUAUGGGCAUCUAAAUUUUAAAAGUUUGAAACUUUUAUCUAAAGAAAAUAUGGUGCUUUGCCUUUUUGUAAAGCAUGUUGAUGAAAUCCAUGAGAAUUGUGUACUUGGGAAGCAACAUCGAGAUGACUUUUUUUUUUUUCAUUUUUUAUAAUGCGACACCUAAGUCCGGUUUCUAAAUGCUGAAGUGAAAGGGUAGGUAUGGACCAUUGAAAUCUGAUCACAACUUUUGGCCUUUUCCUUUCUCUGCAGCCAUGUUGUCUCUUUUUUCUUUUGCAUGAUUUUCUUACCUAAACAGAAUCAUAGACUUGUUUAAUCUCUAAAUGGUAUUUCAUCCAGCUUUAAGCUACUGUAUUAUAUCUUGGUGGAGGACUUUUAAGAGUGAAACCGACAUAGAGCACAUGCAAGUGGGUAUAUGGGACAUGAAAUUUCUUCUUAUAAAGACUGCAUGGUUUUUAUAUUAGAGUUGUUGAGGCGCAAUGUAUUUAGCUUGUUUUGCAGUUAAAUUAAUUGGAUAAGUAGACAUUGUCGUUUCUAAAUUUCCCACCUAAGAUAGUGACCUUAUCCUUGACUGCUUGAUGAGAUACACAAACAAUUAUACCUUCAAAAUCUACUGUGAAGUGCUUCAUGUAUGUGUGAAGUAUUAGAAAUUUCUUUCUUGGCAACUUGUUUUUUCUUUGCCCUCUACUGAUAGGUUUGACUCAAAUUAAAUUCCCUGUCAUGCUAAUUAAUUUUCACGUGCAUGCUCAAAAGGAUCACGUCAACUCUGGUUUCUACUAUUCAGGUCCAUUCCCAGAUAAACUGGUUCAAAUUUGAGAAAAUGGCAACAGCCCUUUAGUGAUGUUGGUUUGGAGCCAGUAGCCAAACCCGCCCUGAGCUUUACCACUAAUGUCAAGGGACAAAGCCAUUUGAACAAAAACAAUAGCUUCAAGAGACUGAAUCGUGGAUGAAAUCUGAUCCACAUUUCUUCUCAUUUUGGGAACAAAUGAGAACUUAACUACAAAGAUUCUACUGCCUCAUAGUGCUUUUCCUGAUCUAAGGUUGGUUCGUUUCCCAAAUUGUGAGGUACGUGCCAUUCUCACGCUCAGGAGUGUAUCCACGUGGUGGACAUAAGAUGGUGGCUUAAUAUCUGGUGUCGGUGGCUUUACUUUACUAGGAGAGUAGUGUGUCUUCAUCUCAUUCACUGCCGGAGGGUGGCGUAAGCAGUGACGCUAAGGUGGGGCACAGUCAAUAUCAUUUGCAUUUGACCAUUAUAGUUUUCUCCCGGCUUGAAAGUAACCUUAUCGUGAUAAAGGAUUACUAGCACUAGUUCAGAUGACAGUCAUGUUAAAUUCGGACCAUGUUUGUGUCACAUUAUCAGCAACCAUGUGUUUAUGGUUCAUGCUAUCUGCAACUAAACUUGAUAUAUAACCACGUGAACUUCAAUCUAAAUUCUGGAAGUACUCUUGUGAUAGAUGGUGCCUGUCUGCAGAGUCCAUCAAUUGAAAAAUGGAGUGAGUGUAUCUAUAAGAGGGAAGGCUUGGCAAAUGUUCAGUUUUCUGGGAACUCAACAAGGAUCUAAAAUAGAUUGUUUUCUUUGCUGAUUUCAAUGGUUGAAAUUUGAGAAGAUUGUGUCCACAUAACACAACUAUUACUGGUCCUUCUGUUGCAAUUUAUCCUCUAAGGCUCUAACAUGUCUUCCAAUUCCCACUUCCCUGUUACUCCAGGAAAGCUAUUUCUGUCAUUGUGAAGAAGAAAAGAGAAUGUACAUAUCGAUGGUUUUAAGUGACUGGGGCAUUCAUAUCAGGUGGUCUGCAGCCAUAUAUGCCACUUUGUGAAGGUUGGAACAGUCAAUCACCAGGCUAUAUUAGUGUGGCCCAGCCACUUCAAUCAAGGACAAGUCUUCAUACUUAAAGUCAAAUUCUGCCUUUAGUCUCAUUAUAAAUUGCUGUUUAAAUAUUAAGCAAACAUUUGUUUAAUGCGAUUAAGACAGUACUAACUCAAUACUUGUUCUAUUUUUGGAUGCAAAUGCUUGAUGGUUUCAUCAUUGGAUGGGAUAAAGGUGCAUUCAUGAUUAUGAAUACUUGUAGUUAUAUUUUCAUUCUCUUUUUUCUCAAUGAGACUUGUUGGCACAAUUUUGCUGUUCAGAAACCUACCUCUCCAUCGAAAAUCAGUUGUGAUUGAUAGUACUGGAUAUAUUCAAGAAAGCUAAAUAUAGAUAGCACCAAAUAUUAUCGAUAUAAAUAGCAUUAACAGCGUACGUAUGUCUCAAUGCUCAUCAGCUAUAAGCAACGGGCAAACACUUACUAUGAGCAACUUGCGUCAAAAUUCCAGAAUAGGACAUAGAAGUGACAGAUCUAUAUAUAUAUAGAACACUGCAUAUGAGUCACAAGAAAGGAAAUUACGGGUGCAUAGCAGCUCUUAUUUUACAUCCUACUCAUACUGAUCAAAGUCACUCAGUUGGGAUGGGUGGGAGUAGGAGGUUUGUGGGGUGGCUUGUGCGGAGGAGUUGGCAGCUUCUUUCCAGGACCUGGUUGCUUCUCUGCUGGAGUUGAAGGAGGCUUAAUCUUCCGAGGUGGCUUGUAUGAGUCUUCAGCAUUCUCAGCAGGAGGGUGACCAGGGUUGUGACCAUAAUGUGGUGGCUUCUCUCCCUUAGGUGGUUUGCCAACUGGGGUUGGUGGCUUGUAUGAGUCUUCAGCAUUCUCAGCAGGAGGGUGACCAGGGUUGCGACCAUAAUGUGGUGGCUUCUCUCCCUUAGGUGGUUUGCCAACUGGGGUUGGUGGCUUGUGUUCUGGGAGUGGCUUCUCCCCCUUGGGAGGUUUUUCCAAUGGGGUUGGUUUGUGUUCAGGAGGUGGCUUCUCCACUGGAGGCUUGUGUUCAGGAGGUGGCUUCUCCACCGGAGGCUUGUGUUCAGGAGGUGGCUUCUCCACCGGAGGCUUGUGUUCAGGAGGUGGCUUCUCGAAUGGGGGAUGCUCAGGGUAAUCAGCAAGUGAGGGGUUGGUGAGAACCACCAUGCCAAGCAACAGGACUAGCAAGUAUGUAGGAGACAUCUUUGGGUUUGGACUUAAGACAGUGGAAAACUGCGAGAAUUCUCUAGCCUUUUAUAGCGGGUCGACCCAGUACUCACAUGACACGUGUCAUUAUGACACAUGUGCCAUGGGGUCGAUUUGGGUCCUACAGUGUUGAAAAGUUGGGCAUUUGAGGUGUGAGCACAACUUUUGGCCUUUGCUUUC
rnacentral:lncRNA from 1 species